UCUUGACCAGAUUAUGAUAAUAUUUAUUCCAUUGAUAUCAUUGCUUAUGAAACACUGCUGUCAAGUAGUACAAGAGGUAUAAAAAGAAAAUUAGCCAAUGAAAAUUAUGUUUCAUUAUAGCACAAGAGCUUGGGUCACAUCUCUAAACGGAGAAUAGAGAGACUUGUGUCAAUUGAAAUUAUAGACAUGUUAAAUUUUUCAUAUUUGUAUCAACAACAUUGCUAUUUAUCGCGAGGCUUUUUUUCGCCAUCUCGUCCUGAACUGCUGUGCAACCAAUCACAUCACAUGCUGGCCGGAAAAAAUGGGAUGGUGGGGUAAUGGAAUUUCAAUUGCAUAGCAGUAAUACGCCUUCGUGAUGUUCUCGUUAUGAUAUUUUUCGCUGGCUUAAGCAUAUUUCUUUGUAUCAAUUGUGUAUUGAUAUUCGUAGGACAUUCUCUACGUUACAAAAACAUAAAUCCUAGAAAUUUGGUUUGACCAAGUUUAGGUUAUGGCAACAAGUAAUUCAACCAUCUAAUGUUAAGGAUCGUAUAACGUCAAUAUGAUCUGGUCAAAAGGGAAAUUUAACUAAUAUAAUUUACUUUAAAAUAAAUUACAAGAUAAAAAAAUACAACAUGUCUAUCAUCAUCGUACACUUGAUCGUUAUUUGCCAUUCCCCUGCACAGUAUUUUGCAGUGGAAGAAAUCUAUAGCAACUAGUAGCCAAUAAAAUUCGUAGGACCAAACAAAAACAAUUACAGUACAAAAGUAAGGCCUUGAUGUAUGAAUUAGGGGGAAAUUGAAUACAUGCCCUAGUGUUUGGGCUGUAAAUUAUUGUAUUUUAGGCUAUAGUUAAAAUAGGAACUAAAAGAAAUGAGGGAUAAGUUUUUCAUAAAACAUUUUUACAUAAAUCUCAUCCCAAAAAUCUUUCGACCAUUUCAAAGGUAAAUUACAAGUGUUGUACCAUACAACGAUUUUAGAGGAUCUAAAUCCACAUAAAAUGGAUACAGAUCUUCUACAAAUGUUAUAUGUGCAACACAAGAAGGCCCUACAUAGAUAAUAAGUUUGAAAAGGCUCAAUUAAGUACCCCUCAUUGAUGACAUGAGUUUAGCUAACGCCGUCCUCCUAUGCUCAUGUUGAAUAAAAGCAUCAGCUUCUUCAUCAACACUUUCAUAAGUAGUACUAACAUUUUGAUCUCCAUACCUUAAGCCUCGUCGAUCGGUCUCAAUCUCAGUCUCACGACGAACCUCUAAAUAGUAGGAUUGAUCUGCUUCAACCAUUGGUUCCUCGUAUACUGUAACACGACGCUUUUGAUGGUGAUGCCCCGGAUAGUAUGCGGGUUCAUAAAUUUCGUGCAUGUGACUCCACCCGUAAUUGUUGUGGUUUCGGUUUUGGUAUGCCAUUUCUCAACUCUAAGGUGCACUGUUUUAAAGUUGGUUGUGAUUGUGUUGUAGUUUAUUGGUCUCAGUUUUAGAUAUUAUAUUUAUAGUUUUAGUAUUACACAUGUGAUUAACAACUAGUAAGGAAGUUAUAGACUUAUGGUUUAUUCGAAAAUGAUAUGAAUGAAUCAAAUGCCUCUUGCAAGAUAUUUUCUACAGGAAGGUGGAGCAUCUAGAGCAUUCAAUUUUUUCAAAGAUUCGAAAGCCACUACAUUCAAUCAAUGAAACUUUUAUUCGUUCAAAUAUUGUAAAGUGCAUAUCAAUUUCGAUUCUCUUUUGUAUUGACACGAUCAAGAAAGUGUUCUUUUAGAGGGUUGGAAUAUAUUUAGUUGGAAGUUUUUUGUAACAUGACUUUUAGUUGGAAGUUAAGACUUGAAAAGAUAAUGUUAAUCUUUGGUGGCUUAAAUGAUUGGAUUUUGAGAACUCGUGAUAAGUCACUCACAGAGUAUAACUUUGUUUAAGUAGAUUUUUUUUAUUUUAUUGAGUGUCAAGUUAAUUAUGUAUGUUAGCAAAAGUUUUUUUUUAGCAUUAUAAAAGAUAAAUUAUAUAUUUGAUUCACCGAAAAACAUCCAAAGUUUUUUUUUUCCUUAAAAAAACGGUUACAAUAUAUAAUUUAUCAAAAUUUGCAUGAUUUUUAUUUAUCAAAAAUAAUAAAUUAUAUCACUAUUCAUUGUUGUCAUGGAGGGUCUAAUUGUUGUGUUGAAUGGUGAAGUAUCAUUUGUAGUAUAUCAUUUGAUGAUUAUAUAGACAAAUUUGUCAAUAGAAGUAGACUAAAAUAAAUGAAAUUGGAUCAACGGUAUAAUUUUUUCAUAGAUAAAUGAUUAAUUUUAUACAUAGAAUGAUAUGCAGCGUGUUUAAAACUUAAUAUUAAGUUAAAGGACAUCUGAUGCAGUUCUGUCCAAAAAAAAAUUCUUCGUAAAUUUAGUAUAUAUUAUAUAAUUAAACCAAUUAAUAUUUUGUUACAGGAUAUCGUUUUUAAAAUAACUUAAUAAUAAUAAUAAUAAUAUGAUAGAAUGUAAACCAUAUAAAAUUAUUUAUAAAUAUUAUGAAUUACGAUGACGUGGCUUAUUAUUCUUAUGGUAUGUUUGGUUGGAGGAGAAUGAAAGAAGGUGAAAAAGUUAUUCUAAACUUGAGUUGUUUGAUUCAAUUAUUAAGAGAUGAGGGAAGCAAACUCACUCCAAAAGUCAAUUUUAAAUUUCCUCCAAUAUGAGAAAAUUUUAAAUGUAUUUUUAUUUAAUCAUUUUUAUUGUAAUUUUACACGUUUCCUUUAUUAAAAUUGUCUUUUCUCCUCAUCGAACCAAAUACAAUUUUUUAUUUUUUAUUUUCCUUCCUCCCUUUCUUUCCCCUCUCCUCGACUAAAAUUCCUCUCUCCCCCUUCAUUGAAUCAAACAAACCUUGGAGCUCUUUGUACUAUAAACCAUAUAACUCAUCGUCUUCAUCAUUGAUAGAAUAGUAUUGGAACUUUCGGAUGAACCUACAUUAAGAUGGAUCGACAUAUUAGACUAAGAGUAACCACACAAGUUUCACCCAAAAUUUUAAUACAUUAGUUAUAUGAGUUCCCUUACUUAUAUGUUUCUUAACAUCUAUUUUUUUUUAUCUAAUUCGAUAUUUUAAUACACAUGUGACACUUGAUACAUAACAACAAAUAGAACAUUACUCACUUUGCUCUAAAAAGAAAUAAAAAAUUACUCACUUUGAUUGACAUGACAUGCUUCUCAUGUAAUGUUUGAGUUAUCACGAUGGUAAUUUGAACUUCCUUCUUAGACAACUACUCCUGUCCAUUUUGGUGUGUUGAGCUAUCAUCUUUGUCUAUGAUGUUGCAUAAAAUCUUAAUGGAUGCCAACAUUUGGCAAGCACAAAAUUAUGGAUGAUAAUGCGAACGAUGACAAGAGAAGGAACCAUGACCCUCUCGAAAAAAAUAAAAAAAAGGUACCAUGAUAUUUUUAUAUUAUUGAAGACAACAUCGCUAGAUUCCUAAAAUGCAUUUUUUUUUUAUUAUGAAAAAUAACAGGACAUGGAAUGUGGUUAUCAGUAUUGAGGGGUUUUUGAUAUUUUGUCCUUAAAAAAAAGUAAUAAAUUUAAAAUUGCCUCCAUACGAAGCAUAUGAUAAAAUUUGUAAUUAGUUUUGCAUGUAAACAAAAAUAUCUGCAAUAUUUGUAAUUAGUUUUGGAGAAAUGAUAUUUGUACAAUCAUUUUUGUACAACUUUCUCUCUCGUACUCACAUUAUCUUCUUAUUCUCUCUCUUCUUUUUUCUCUCUCCAUUGUUUUUGACCAAUGAAAAGAGAGCACAACAAGAUUGUCCCAAAAGUUGUAGCAAAAAAGUUGUUCAAAUAUCAUUACUCUUAGUUUUGCAUAAGCAGUGAUACCCGUCAGAGUGGUACUAGCCGUACCGUGAGUGGAAUCAAAAUCUAAGCAUUUUUUUUUUGUACAAAAAUCUAAGCAUUGUUAUUCAUUUAUUUUGCUAAUUUGAAUGGUAUGUUUUUUAUAGGCAAUGUUACACAUGCGGUUCUUUAAGUUUAACUAUUAUCUUGGAUUGGUCUUUUAAGUUUUAUUAUUUCCAAAUUGGUCGUCAAUGAUACGCUUUGUUUCACGGUUAGUAUUUAAGUUAUCUUUUUGUUGCAUUGUAGUCCUUUUAGUUAUAUUAGAUGAUUAUGCUAACCACAAGUUUUGUUGUACAAUUAGAGGUGAACAACAUUCAAAUGUCAGCCUCAAAUCCAGGAAAGAAAAAAAAAAGAUCUUGGGUGUAAUUUUUGCAUAUUCAAUAAGAAAUGUAGUUUUACUGAAAACAAUUGGAAUGUUCAUUGAUGUUAAUAACAUAUUGGUGCAAUCAUAUGUUUGAUGGUCUAAUAUUAUAAUUGUUGCACUGAUACAAUAUUGGAACUGAUAGUAAUAUGGAACUCAUUAAAUUGUAAAGGCUUAAUACAUCAUUUCGUCCUUUAACUUAUUUUUGGUUUUUAAUUUGGUCCUCUAACUAUAAAGUGUCUCAAUUUGGUCCCAUAAGUCUUUUGUCGUUUACCAUUUUGGUCCUUUCCAUUUAUUUUUAACCUUAAAUGUCUGUUGUGAAACAACUUUAUAUGUGGUCCACAUAGACCUUAUUAAAUCACAUAUUUUUAACCAUUUGAUUUUUUUUUUAAAUGAAAAUCGUUGAAUCAUGGAGGGGAACACCUAGUUUUUUCUCUCCAUCUUCUUCCCUAUCAUUCUUCUUCAUCCCCAAAUAAAACUCUCUUUCAUCUUUAUUCAUCAUCUUGAAAAAAAACCAGAAAAUCAAAAAUAUAAAACUCUCAAACCAAAAAAACUUAUCAAUCUUCAUCUUCUUCAUUUAACCUUCAUCAUCUUCCCAUGACACCCAUAUAAACAAACUCAUUUUUCCAGAUCUAAUUUUCAGGGUUAUAGACUUUUCACCAUCAACAACAAUUCCUAUUUUAAUCACAAAAAGUUUAUAGAUUUUUCACCAUCUCAUCACUACCCCCUUCACCACCAUCACCAAGAUAUAAAUUAAAGCUUUAAUAAAGAGUACCCAACAAGUUGUAUAAACUCAACAAUUGAAGAAGCAAUAGAAUCAAAUUCCGAUUAAUUUAAGUGUGUUUUAAUUCAAUUAUUAAAAAUGGAACAGUAACAACAAGAAGAAGAGUAAGAAGAACAUCAGGCCGUAACAACAAUGAACGCACUGUUGAUGAUCUUUUGUUGAAAGCAUUUCAAUUCCAAAAAUUAACUAUUCUAAUUCUACACACUCAGACAAAAACAAUCCCACAAAUUAACACCCAUGUUGAUUAACCUAAACUGACAAUGAUAGCAAGAUCAGUGAUAUAAAAAAUUUGAGAUCUGGCACAAUAGAAAUCUUAGAACUGAAAAAAAAAAAAAGUGAGAGAAAGAAAGAGAAUUUGAAGACCACGAUGGUGAAUUGUUGUUUCAUCUAAGAUGAUUCUUGUGUGAAUUAUUCCUUCUAUUUUCACUUUUUUGUUUAUAAAAUCGGAAUCGUAAACAUAUUUAAUUUAUGUUGGAAUCAAAGUGAAGAAUUAAGCUAGGUUAUUACAAUUGAAUCUAUGUUUUAUUUUUUGUGUUGAAUCCGUGGAAGCCAUGAAUUCAUGAUGUUGAAGGGAUGAAUUGAUGUUGAAUUUGGGUUUUAUUUGUGGUUAAAUGUUGAAUUUUUUCUGGAAUUUUUUUCUUGUAUAUUGUAUAAAUGUUGAUGAAGUUCAUAUGAAUAUGAGGUUGUGGUGGAAGGAAGAAGAUGAAGAAAGGGAAAAAAAAUUAGGUGUUGGUGGUUCAAUGUGGUAUACAUAUUGUAUAAAUGUUGAUGAAGUUCAUAUGAAUAUGAGGUUGUGGUGGAAGGAAGAAGAUGAAGAAAGGGAAAAAAAAUUAGGUGUUGGUGGUUCAAUGUGGUAUACAUAUUGUAUAAAUGUUGAUGAAGUUCAUAUGAAUAUGAGGUUGUGGUGGAAGGAAGAAGAUGAAGAAAGGGAAAAAAAAUUAGGUGUUGGUGGUUCAAUGUGGUAUACAAUGGAUCUGCAAUCGAAUGGUCAAAACAAUAUCAAAAAUAUUAGACAUUAAAAAAUAAACGGACAGGACCAAGAUGAUAAACGGAAGAAGAUUUCCAGGACCAAAUUGAGACACUUUAUAGUUAAGGGACCAAAUUGAAAACCAUAAAUAAGUUAAGGGAUGAAAUGAUGUAUUAAGCCAAUUGUAAAUUAUUACAUUGAACUGAUAAAUUAUAUUUUAUGUUUAAUGAAAUAUAGAACGGUUGUUUUUACUCAUGCCUCAGAGACAAAGGGAGUCUCAGUUCCUUGACCACAGUACUGGCACACAACAAAAAGAACUCAGUUUUAUGAAAUCUUCUACGUAUCAUUGUGUUUUUGACAUGAUAUUGAUAGGAUUCACGGUUCAUAUCACUCUUGUACAUACACAGUUGUACCACAUUGGUGGUCCAAUCUGAACUAGUGUUUUGUUCUACUUAAAUAGAAGUUUAUAAUUUGUUUUUUAAAUUAAUUGGGUUACCCCCCUCAAAAUGAGCUACACGCCUCAAUCCCCUAUAUACACACCAAGAGGUAGGUGAAUGAGUAUUGAGAUUUUUAGAGGUUAUUUUAUAUAUAGACUAAACAUAUUUAACCCUAUGGAUGCUUUUGGUUUGCAAAACAGCAAGUACAGCAUAUAGCAGUACAAGAAAGAACAGCACAAUACAAGGGAUAACAGCACAUGACAAAUUUUUAUGACAUUGAAUAAUUUUUUAUUUUAUACGAUUUUUGGGGAAAAAAACGCUAGUUUGGUAUUUUAGACAACUUGUACUGUGGUUUGCUGAGGGACAAAAAUAUAAGUUUUUGUCCUGUCUCUUGCCUCCAGUUUGUCCUGUACCUGAAACAGUUUUACAAAUCAAACACUGGACAACUGGAGUUGUUCUGUCAUAUCCUUCAUUUUUUAGCAAAUCAAACGCACCCUAUUAUUAGCAAUUACAAUUCACAUGCACAAAUGAACAUCUAACUAUUGCAAAUAGACUCAAUGCCAGCUGCAAGAAACAUUGUCUGUAUUAGCACAGCUCAUGUCCUAUGUACCACAUGAUUUCUCAGUAGAAUGUCUCAAUCCAGUGGCGAUUAUUUACACAUUUUAAAACAAUGUUAGGAGUCCCUAACAAUAGAAAAAACCAACAAAAAAAAAAAAAAACUACUAAUUUUACAGUAGUGGUGGUAUGCUAACCUUGCUCUCUAUAUAACACAAAAUAUUACUAACGUUGAUUCAAUUUGGCAGACAUUUAGAUAGGCAUUUCAGAUUUAUAUUAUAUCCAAUUGAUGGCGGCAACCAGGCUAUUGUGAUAUAAAUGCAUCAUGAAAAUUUUACUUAAAAAAUAGAAAAUUAGAUCAGCGAUGUGCAAAUUUAUAACUACUAAGUUGCACGGGCCCUUCUGAUUGAACGUGUAUCCUGGUAUCCGACACGACACUUGUGAUUGCAUUAAAUUUAUGUAACUUCUCAAUUUUAUCCAUGUCAGUGUCGUGUCAUGUCUGUGCUUCAUAGACUACAAUGCUAUAAAUAUGAAUGCAUGAUGUUCUGAUUAUCGCAAAAACAGAGUCUGAAGUAUCCUAUUGAUGGCAACAGAGCUGUUUUCAUAUAAUGCACAAUAAAACUAAGUCAGCAGUGUUGUGAAUGUGGACCAAGCAACCAAAUUAGACAUAUUUAACAUAGACAAAGAAUAAUAAGAAUGAAAAUGGGUCUGCAAAACAAAACUUCCCAAACAGGAAAAGAUCCAAUUUUAAACUACUCUACUGUAUAUCUGGGCAUCAGCCACACUGAUACCAAAUAAACACAGAAGUUCACAAAGGCAAGCGGCACUUUCUAUCGCUGGUUAGAAUAGAUACUGCUCCCCUUGAAUGAAGUUCACCUCUAAAUUAUAUACAGAAUUCCCUCUCGAUCAAAGAAUUUGUCUGAAUAACUCAAUGAAUUCCCAAAGAAUAUCUCACUGGACAAUAAUACAGCCCCGCAUGAGUGACACGCAAUCAUCACAACCUCGGCUAAACCCUCAUAAGAAGACCCACUUGAGCUGCACAAGCUACAAGCUUAGCAAUAAGCGCAUGAACCUUUUAAUGAUUUUGUCAUAUCAUCUCUCUCUCAUGCAAUUCCCAGGCAAGAGAAAUUUAUAUUUCUCUGCAUUUUCCAGAAGGAAAGCAGGAAGGUGCACUGCAGAAUAUGAAUGGGGUAUUGGACCCAUUUUACCAAUGAUCUCCUUGAAAGUGUACUCUUCAGGAAGCAUAUCAAAUAGAUCAGCCCCUUCACAUAUUACUUUCUGAAUUCUGUCGGGAUUUAAGUAGUGAGAGAACCUAACUCUAUCAUAAUGACUGUAAGCUUUCAUCUUAAAAAUGAAAUCACUGAUUCGACGGAAGCAAAAGCUACAAUGCCACCCAGCAUCUGCCAACAUGUUGUCAGACUGACGAUAAUGUGCAUAUCUCGUCUUGCCAGACCGAUACCUGUGAAUCGAAGCCCUCCAGCUCUUAUCAUCCAGAAGAAACUCAAAUGAAUAAAGAUAAUUCUUCAGCUGUAGAUGCAAGACUGAAGGUAUUUCAUCGCACCAUCUCAAGAGGUUAAUAGUGUGAGCACUUGGUAUCUCAUCCACAUCAGACAUAAUCAACAAGUCAUCAUCUGUAAUACCAGCAAUCUUAAGGAGUUGAUCCAAUGCUACACGCUGAUAUGCCUCCUCAACAAACGGGUUUUCUCCUUUCCUAAAUCUUCCACCAAUUGUCCCAUAAGUUAACCGUGGCUCGACGAAUUUGAACUGCUCCCUAUUACCAUUGAAAACCAGAGGCUUAGGCAAUCCAGUAAAUGUAGAGUUUGACUCAAGGAGCACAAAUUCAGCUAUGUAGGGGUACAAUUCUUUCCAACGCAAGGUAAGUAUUUCAAUCUCAUUACUAAACAACACAGCAUCAUAAACACGCCUUGGAUACUCACGAACUCCCCAACCAUGAAGUCUGCAAAGAUUCUCCAUAGUAACAUUGUCGUUAUAGUAAUGAGGGAUAACAUUGAAAGGCUUGGGUGGUUUUUCCCAUAGUGGCCGCAGAAAGUAAGAGAUCUUCUGUCCAUGUAUAUAUAUUCCAAAAAUACACAUUGGGACAAAUGCAAACAGGAAUAUAUAGGUUUUCACAUCCAAACCACGCAAAAUGCAGCGAACUCUUGACAUGUUCGAUACUUGACUUGAUUCCUGCACGAUAAAGGAAAAAACAAUCUUAGCAAACCACCUUCCAGAAUGAAAAAUCAUGUCAAGAUUAAUAAACAAUGCAGCAUCUCAAAUCAUACAAAGUUAAAAUUUUCAAGAAUCAUACAACAAGUACCAGAAAUUCUAAUCAUAAAGCCAGAGCAGCAUCUCAGAGUGAAUAGAGACAUGCCAAAAAAUAAAACCAGAACUCAGAACUUGUUAAAAUUCAAUUAUAGCCGCAGCCCCUUGUCCUAAAAAAUGAAUCUCCCAAAAUAGUAACAUAAAAAGAAACAAGAAAAAAGGCGUACAAAAUUGUUCAUCAGAUUUACUCGAAUUUUAAAACCUCAAAAAGCAACCUUUUUCCCCAACAAAAAUUCAGAUCAAGCAUAUAUCUCGUACAAACACAAACCCAAAAUAAAUAAAAAAAUCCACAACAAUAACACAAUAAACAAAUCUAAGAGGAAAUUUACAUAACCAUCAAUAAUCUUCAUAAAAGAUACAAUUUUUUAAAAACAAAAACCAUUAAAUUUGACUAUUCUCUUUCAUUUUCCAUAAUCAUCACCAAAGACACUAAAUUAAACUUAAAAAUUCAUUGAUAUUAUACUAAAAAAAAAAACAUCAAUAAAUCAUAAAAAUAAUAACAAUUAAAGAAAGAAUGAAUAAUUGAUGAUACCUGGCCACAAACAUUGCUACACAAAUCAUCAGUUUUUUUAGAACAAUAAUUCCCUCCAGUUUCACCCAUCAUCCACCACAUUUUCGCGUUUAGGUUUCAAUGAAAUCAAAAAACCAGAUCGAUCGAUUGAUUGAACCACCGAUCCUCAAAAAGAAAUGUCGUAGAUCGUGGUUUAGAAGAACAAGUUUUGAAUCGAAGAAAUCUUAGUAAAGAAGCAAAGAAACGACGCAAACGUGCGUUGUUUCCAAACGCAAAAACGGGGUUUUGAGAUUAAUUAAAGAAAAGAAAGAGAAAGUGGGGUUUAUAAGAUAAUCAGUGACGGAGAUUGAAAAGAGAGGCGGAAGAACCAACGACGUUAAGGUUGUAACCUGUCUGUAUCUUUGGAAAAUGAGUGGUGGCAGUUUUCGUCUCUACACAGCACACAGCUAUGAACAAAAAAACUAAAAUGUUCCGUUACAGAACAGAAAAAUAUCAAUUGAUGCUUAUAAUUUUCUCUCUCUUCUUCUCUGUUCUUUUCUGCUAUGUCGUGUCGUUCCGUUGGUAUAUUAAAAAUAAAAACCCUAAAUUGCUGUUUUUUUUUUAUUUGAUGAAAUUCUCGGUGCCGCUUUUGAUGAUAAUAAAGAAAUUAAUAAAUGGCUAUAUUAUUUAUAUAAUCUAUAGUCAUGGACACUGUUAUAAAAACUACUUUAAAGGGUAUUAUCGUCUGUUUCUUUUAUAAGAUACCAUGUCGUCGAGUACGCUUUCCCCACGCGUUGCAGUUACUCACUAGCUUGCGACACUUGUCGUCAAUGAGUGCAAUGUUAAUAUUUUCAAUCUUUAAGUUACUUUUUAGGCCAAAUAGUUUUGUUUUUAUUACAUUUUUUCUUUUUGUGUCACAUACUCUAUGACUAUAAAUAUUUAUGAAUUUGAAUUUCGAACCUGGGGUGCACGAAUAAUACAAUAUUUUUAUUAACUAAACAAGUUUAUGGAAACAAAUGUUCUUUUUUGGUACAAAGAAACAAAUGUUUUUAUUUCGACUUUAUUAUUAUUAUUAUUAUGAUCUUGUCUAGCAUUGUUUGCGGUGAUUAAUCCAUAAAAACCAUUUUAUUUUUUCAUAUACAAAGAUCAAUGAUCAAACUAUGAUCAUGUGUAUAUGGUCAGUCCGAAUUCAGUGCCACUAAGAGUAUAAAUAUCGAUCAUUUUUGAGAGUGUCAUAGCAUAAAUUUUUGGCAUUGUGUCAGAAUUUUGCUUUCUCCAACAACUACCGUAGUAAUGCAUUGCUACGGUUGUUUUUCAACUUUUUUAUGUAAAAAAUAAUAUAAAAUUAGAAUGUGAAUAAAUUUGAAGUGUAUUAUAUGAUUAAGUGGGAUUCAAUUUAGAGUUUUAGAUGAGUAGUAUGGAUAUUUAAAAAAAUGUAGUUGAGUGGUUUAAAUAAUUGAAAAGUUUAAAGUAAUAUAAUAUAUUAUGUGGAUUCAUUUAUACCAUCCAUAUAAGUGGCAUGGAUGUGGUUGCUCUAAAUUUGCUAUUUUCAAUUCAAAUACUAUUUGGAUUGAUAAAACUCCUAAUUGCAUCUCUUUCAUCUCUCCUGAUGAAAUUCUUUUUCAGGUCAACUAAAUUAUGCAUCACAACAACUAAGCCAAUCCAUUGUUGGUUAUCGCGGAGUUCGUGUUGUUUAACUAGUUUAAACAACUUAAGGAUGAAAAGAAGAAAAAAAAUAGUUCAAAUUCUAAAAAUUCCAUUAAAAGAAAUCAUUGUUGGUUAUUAUUUUAUGGGAAAUGUUAACAGCCGGGACACUGAUUAAGGAUAAUAAAAAAGGAAAUUAUAUGUUAAUUAUUGCCUUGAAAAUUGUUUAAUUAAUCUAUAAAUAAAUCAACAAAACUUCCUUUUUUGUAUGUUUAACCAGUGCCCCAGAGACAGAGCACUGAUUAGCAUGACCCUUUUAUUUAUUUAUUUAUGCAAUAAAUUUUAAUUUCUUGAUGAAUGGAUGAGUCGAGCAUCAACAAGUAAACAACUAAAUAUUUCAGACAAUUUUUAAAUAUGACCAGAGGUCUUAACAUUCGGUCUUACAAUUUUGCCUUAUUCAAAAAAAAAAUAUAUAUUCGGUCUUACAAUUUUACCUUAUUCAAAAAAAAAUAUACAUUUGAUCUUACAAUUUUGAUAUUUUAGUCAAUUGAGUUAAUAUUUAUGGCUUAAAAAUAUAUAUUCGGCUGUUAUUAUGAAAAAUUGUAUUUUUUUUUAUAAAAACAGCCGUAUUUAUUCCCUUUGGUAUUUUUGGGUAUUUUCCAAGCCAAUACACGUGGCAGACAGCACAUUUGUGGCUGAUUUUUGCUUGAUAAUAUUCACAUUCUUGUUUAUCAUUUAGGCCAAAAAAAUUUUAGAUUAUUAUGGCUGGGUCCAAGAGAAGGAAAGUGUAUUAAGAUAAGGUACAUUAAACGUAGUUGACGUCGUCGUUUCAUCAGGAACUUCGUAGUGUAAGUCAAGGACGACUCGUCCAUAUGUAUGUAUGCACUGGAACAAUCCAAGCCAAUACUGGCACGACGGUUUCAAUUAACUUUUUAAAUAUCAACAUCAUAAGAAUAUUCGUCACUGAUAUUUUUCGUUAUAUACAAGUAUCAAUAAAUAAAUAAAUAAAUAAAUUAGCUCAACAUUUUUAGAACUUAUACGGAAUUAGCUUAACUUUAUACCCAAAAAAAAUGGCUUAAGAAGGAAGGAAGUAUAAGAGCAACACGUUGUGAGUGGGACCCAUAAAGAAAGCAAUGAGAUGGAAGGUGGCGGUGUAAUGGGCCCCCACCACGAGGUUGUCGAUGGAUGUGGGCCUGCCCUCGAACUUCCAACCAAGCUUAGUACUUAACUAACGUCUCGCAAACGGCUCCGAUUCUCUCUUAUAACAAUUGACGCGGAAUAUAUUUCUAACUAAGUCAAAAAUAUUAAAAUAUCAACUUACUCAAAGAUUGAAUAAUCCACAUGUUGAUAAAUCUAUUAUGGAAUUAAUAGCAUUUAUUACCUAUGGAAUCUGGUAUUCUAAAAAUAAACAUGUUCUUGAGGGAAAAGACUUGCUUGAACAAGUUAUUAUAGUGAAACUUUGGAUUGCGUCAAAGAAGUUCAAAAUUCCAACAAAGCUAGCAUAGACAAGGUAAAUCACAAAAUAGCAAAAAGCAAGAUGGAAAAGCCUCCUACGGUCCUACCAGGUACUACAAGGAAAAUUGCGACUCAAACGUAGCUAAAGAAAGCAAUUGGAGGUUUAGGGCCAAAAUUAUUAGAGACAAUGAGGAAAGAGUUUGGUGGGUACUUGGGUUGUGUAGGACUUCAAUGACACUACUACGAUCGAAUCCAGGCUUAUGUUAUGUUCCUCACAGUGGAAUUAACUUAUGAUUGUUGCUUUCAAUCGAUCAUCUUCGAGGUAGAUUGCAAAGUUCUAGCUAGGGUUCUUGGCAACAAAAUGUAUCCUCAUACAUACUAUGGUGGAAUUGUUGUUGAGGCUAUUGAGAAAAUGGCUGGGUUGUUUGAAAAUACCAUUUGGUCAAUAAACAUAAAUUGUAUGAGUUAGUCUAUAUUUUGGCCCAAAUAUGACUUGAAUGGUGGAUCGACGGAAGUAGGUGCACUGAUCGUUGAUGAUAGUUGCGACCCUAUUGAAAAGAAGGGGGUGUUGUACCUGCAAGUGCUUUGACGCUCAAGUCAGUAUAUAAGCAAGAGCGAGACGAAACAUAGAGAGAUACAUAUCUUGUAAGUUUGUCAAGAGCUCAUUACAUAGGGUCAAGGAGGACGUUAUGUCGUAAUGACGUGAUAAUGCGGCAACCAUUAUGGAAGGAUGCCCAUAAAAGUGAUAAAUGAUAGUCAUUAUGAGCCACCCAGCCAUGACAAUAUGAGGCUUCAUUGAGGCGGAGAGAAUCCGAGGUGAGAAGGAUAUUCUACUCACUUAGGUCUGUGUAGAUUUGGGCCUCAAUUUGUCGCGGGUUAGACUUUUGUCUAGUCCAGACCACAUAGACAUUAAAUAUAAUUUUACUAUUUAGAUAUUUACCCUUCAAAAAAAAAUUAUGUAGAUAUUUUGGCAAAUAAUAUUAUUAUAUUUCUAAAUAGUAAAUUAUUUUGGGUAUUUUAAAUAGUAAAAUUUGAUUAAACAUGUGAGUAAUUUUAUACUAUUGUCGUAUUAAAAUAAAUUCAAAAUAUAAUAAAAUGAAAGGAUGCAAAGUAUCUUCACUUACAUGUCUCACUUAAAUAUUAAUAAAGAUUAGUACAAUUCCAAAAUAAAAUAAACUAAGAAUUAUGACAAACUAACUUAAAAUUGAACAAAGUGAAUUCUAUUUAUUAUUAUUUUUAUGUGUGUGUAUAUAGUAUAAUAAAACGAAAUGAUGUUAUUUAUGAAUUUUUAUAUGAGAACCUAAAAGGUGCUAAUAUGGAUGAAAAUAAGAAUAUGGAUAAAUUUUCUGAUGUUAUAUAUAUGUCUGUAUUUAGUAUAAUAAAAUGAAUGGUUAAUAUGUCUUUAUCCCUUGUAAUUUAGGCGAGUUCUGGUUUAUCCCUUGUAAAAAAAGAGUUUAGAUUCCAACCUUAUAAUAUGAAGAUUCUCCACAAAACACCGCUGUAAUAUGAAGAUUUUCCACAAAACACCUCUGACCCCAUCCAGACGUUGACGUGGCACGCCACUGUGUAGUUAUUUAUUUAUUUAUUUUUAAAACCUGACACGUAUGUAAUGGACACUGACGUGACACACCACUGUGUAAUUAUUUUAAAACAUGACAUUGUAUAAUGGUUUAAAAAAUUAUUUUUAAAAAGAUAAAAAAAAAACUAAAUUAAUUUUCAAAAAUUUUAAAAUAAGAAAAAAAAUGAAUUUUUUUCAAAAAAUAUUAACUUUUUUUACCAAAAAUUAGCUUAUAUAAUUUUUUUCAAAUAUUUUUAAUAUUUUAAUUUAAUUUGGAUUUUUUUUAAAAAAAUUUCAAAAUAUAGUAAGUUUAGGAUUUUUUUCAGAAAUAUAAAAUUUAAAGUAAACAACUGUUUUCAGCUCUUUUGGACUGGCUCUUUCUUUUCAAAAAUGCCCCCAAUUUUCAAUGCAAAUAAAUAUUCUCAAAUCUGUAACACAUCGUAAAAAAAAUUCUGGAAUAAAAUGUUUGAAAAAAAUCUAAAUUUUCCUAAAUUUGUAUCCAGAUUUUUAAAAAUAAAAAUAUUUUCCAGAUUUUUUUUUUUGUUGAGAAAAUUUAAAAACUUCUUUUUCGAAAAAAAAAAUCUGUUUUAAAUUUGAAAAAAUAUAUAUUCCAAAUUUCCGAAAAUAAUUUGAAAUUUUUUUUUGAAAUAUAUAUUUUUCGUAAAUUAUAAAUUUUGGAAUUUUCGAAAAAUAUAUAUUUCAAAAUUUAAAAAAAACUUGGAAAAUAUUUUUCGUAAUUAAAAAAAAUCCUGAUUUUUUUUUACAAAUUUUUUUUAAAAAAUAAGCACAAAUGCCAUGUGUACUUUCAAAAAAAUGAAAAACAAAAUUAAUUAUACAAUCAGCAUGCCACUCAGCUCGCCACGUCAGCAAUUCUGCACAGUCACAUGGGUCAGGGGCUAAAAUCAAAUAAUCUUAUUUUACAGGGUUGGAAUCUAAACUUUUUUUUUUUUACAGGGGGUAAACCAGAACUCGUCCAAAUUACAGGGGGUAAAGACAUAUUAACCCUAAAAUGAAAUGAUGUUAUUUAUAAGUUUUCUGCGAAGAAAUGAUGUUAUACAGCCUCCUAUUAACGAAGAAAAAAUUAUUUUAAGAGAAGGAUAUAUUUGUCAUGCAAUAAUUUAGUAAUUGAAAAAUAACUGUUCCAUCUCAUUCCAUCCAAAUUGGAAAGGCGCAUCAAAAUGUGAAUAAAUGAAAUGUGAUGAAAUGCAUUUCAUUGAGUUUCACUAUGAACAUCCUAUUAAUAAGAAUUCAAAUGAUAUAACCAUUAACUUAUUCAAUUUCAUUUCAUUCUAUACCAUUUCAUCCAUCCAAACAUAUACAGAAAGAGGGAACGGUGAAGACCUGAAGAGCAUGAAAAGAAUUCUUAGUUUAUUAAAUAGGAUGAACUUUGUUUAAUCUUAAUUGGGUUUGUAAUAAUUCUUAGUCCACUUUAAUGAGAUUGUAAUACUUUAUAUUUAGAUUAAAUCGAUGUCAUGUGUUAGAGAAGAUAGUUUGCUUCCUUCCGUUUAGUGUAAUUUAGGAAAGUAAUGUAAGUUCAAUAUGGUUCAUGUUAAGAAGUCUUGCUUAAAAAAAAAAAAAAGUCUUGCUUAAAGUAGGGACUUGGAACCUCCUCAUUUGAAAGAGAGAAAAUUGAAAAUUGAAAUAGAAUUUUCUUUCAUUGAGAUUGUGAGUGAAAAAAAUGAAAAAAGUUAAUUGAUAUCGGUUUGUUUAAAACUACCGAAAGAUAAAUAUGUAGUUCGUAUUAAAUAUAAACCAAUCACGUCAUCAUUUUAAUCGUGAAUAUAAAAAAGAUCGUAAAUUUUUAUACAUGAAUUGUAUCGUUGACUUUUGUUAGAAUUUUUAAUCAUAGAGUUGUGGUUCACUCAGAGUCCACUUUUAGACGGCUGCAGCCUUUCAUGAAUCCUGCAUAAAAAUAAUCGAGAGAGCGAAAGAGAUGUAAAUUUAGGAGAGUGAAGUAGAGAAUUAGAUUUCUCUACGUAGCUCAAUUUUGCAGUUCUAUGCAUUGGCCAGUAUAUUAUAUUUUCACAACAAAUUUGAUACUUACCAGUUACCAGCUCAUGUAUUAUAGUUUUUUUUUUUUUUAAACAGUAUAUAUAUAUAUGUAUAUAUAUAUGAACAGCCUUGCACAAGAAGUGCAAAAAGGCAGAAGUUACAACACGUAGCAAGAAAAAAUCCAUUGGAGUUGAUAAAACAAACAACAACACCCAGGGGAAAAAACAAAACAUAAAUGCUACAGACAAUCAGCUGAAAACAGAGAAUAAAAGGCAUCCAAAAAACAGGAAAAAAAAAACAGCAGCUGAAAGCUCCUAUACAGCUGCUCCGCUGCUUGGGAAACUGCAAACAGCACCCAUCAGCGCCUUAUAAUACACUCCUUUGGAUUCCAUGUCCACUCGUAAAAUAAACACCAAUACCAAGAUAAUGCCUUGAUCUCAUCCACAACCACCUCAAAAUGCUUAAUUUGAUUAUUAAAAAUCCUAGCAUUCCUUUCCUUCCAAAUUGACCAAAUCGCCACAUGCCAAAUCAACUGAAACGCUUUCAAGAGGCGCCUAGAAUUACAAGCCGCAUUCCAACAAUCAAAAUGCAUUAACAAAUGUUGCGGGGUAAUGAAGCUUACUUCCAACCAAUCCAUAAGCUUCCUCCAAAUCAACACCGCUACCUCGCAAUGAACAAAAAGGUGAGUCGACGUCUCCUCCCCAUGAGCGCAAAAGACACAUUCACGGGACUCGCUGGGAGCUAAAACAUGUCGCCAAACUAGAUUUGACCGCGUUGGGAUACGAUCAAUAAUCGCCAACCAAAAAAACGUCACCACCUUGGACGGUGCCGGACUCUUCCACAGCUUAACAAAAGACUCUUCCACUUCCUCACUCAACCCAUCUUCCAAAAGCACCAUAUCCACAAGAACUCUAUAGGACGAGUUUACCGAGAAAAUCCCACUAUCUUCCGACAACCACCACCACCUAUCCACUUCCUCCCCCAAGGUUACGCCCUCUAACUUAGCCAAGCAUUCCACAAUUAAAUUGUUCUCCCAAAGGAAAGUACGUCUCCGCCACAAAAAGUUCCAAGACACUUCACCGUUAUGCAAGACCCACAAGUCCCGGACCUUUGCCUCCUUUUGAAGCGAAAUUGAAAAUAGCCUAGGGAAGACAUUCACUAGCGGUAUAUCACCAAUCCACCUAUCCUUUCAAAAGCGCGUCUCCCUCCCACUUGAAACUUUUCUCACCACCCUAUUAGAAAACCAAUGCUCUCCAAGACCCCCUUCCAAAUUCAUCAAAUCUUUCCACCAUCCGGAUGCAAAACGCGGCCAUCUCGUCCCUUCCUCCGGGUGGGAUCCGGACAAUGAAUCACCAUACUUAUCUCUCAACACCACUUUCCAAAGAGGUAAAUCCUCUUGAAGGAUACGCCAUUUCCACUUCGCCAUAAGACUCAAAUUAACCAACUUCACAUCUCUCGCUCCCAAGCCACCCUUACUUUUUGGUUGACAAAUUUUUCUCCACUUCACCCAACAAACCUUUCUACCUCCACCCACGCCUCCCCAAAGGAAUUCUCUUUGGAUUCGGGUUACCAUACUCAACACCUUGGCCGGAAUCCUCAUGAAGGACAAGAAAAAGAUUGGAAUUGCAUUAAGAACGGAAUUGAGAAGAACAAUCCGGCCUCCAAGACUCACAUAUCUACUCCCCAAUGAAUUGAGUCUACUCCUUAAUUUUUCCAACAUCGGCUCCCAAGUAGAGACCUUCUUAGGAUUAGCACCCACCGGUAGUCCCAAAUAAAUAAAAGGAAUACUCCCCUCUCUACAAUUCAAAAACCUACACGCCGCCUCCAUGAAGUCUCUAGGAACAUUUACACCAAUUAAAGAACUCUUAUGAUAAUUAACCUUCAGAAAAAAAAUCUCAUGCAUGUGUUAAUAGUCAGCGUGAGUUAACCCACGCACUGUUUUACACUGUGUAACUUAUGUCACACGUGUGUUAACUAAAGCAGGAUUAACACUUACGUUAGUUAACUCACGCAGUGAUAUUUUGAUCAUUUUGUUUGAAUGGGAGCAAAACUUGUUGGGAGAAGAGCAGAAUUUAGGAUACACUAGAGGGGCUUAAUGCAAGGCCCAAAAGAGGGAUAGGCAAUAUACAUCUAAUUGGAAAACCAAUAUAUUAUUAUUUAAUAAUUUCUCAAUUAAAAUCACCCUAACCCCCUCCCAUCAUUGAAUCUCAUUCAUUGAUUUCAAACGAGAAGACUCAAAUUGCACAAUUUUAAUUUUUUUUCACAGGUAAAUUUUAAGAUCAAAUUACACAGUUAAUAAAUCAAUUUUACUUGAUUUAUAAUGGUGGCAUGAAUUAUAUGAAUGAUUCAUUUCCCUUGAAAUAUUUGGUCCAAAAUAAUAGAAAAUUAGAUCAUCUCAUUCACUUUUUAGUCAUGAGAUGCUAUUGCUAAUAUCUAGUAGUAGUAGUAGUACCAUUGUGGGGUAGUGCUAAAGCUGCAUAAUUUGACUUCCCACAUAUUAUCCAUUCCUUAACAUAGACACUUCAGUAACCAAUAACAAAUUUAUCAGACGGGUUGGUACUGUACUACCAGUAACCAGUGUUUGCUUUUUUCUACGGUACACAUGAAAAGAAUACUCAUAGUCCACUUUUAGAUGGCUGCAACCUUUCAUAAAUCCUGCAUAAAAAUAAGAGAGACAGUGAAGAGAGAUGUAAGGAAAAGUGAAGUAGAAAAUUCGAUUUCUCUACAUAUCUCAAUUUUGCAGUUCUAUGCAUUUGCUGGUAUAUUUUCACAACACAUUUGAUACUUACCACCUCUUGUGUAUUAUAGCUUCAUCCACAAACCUUUAAUAUUGCAGCUAUCAGUAUCACUGUCACUGUACAUAAUUGCAAUGAGUCUAAUACUUGUAUUUUUACAAGUAAAUUUUAGAUCAAAUUACACGGUUAAUAAAACAAUUUUACAUAAUGUCGAUAUUUAAUUUAGAUUGGACCCGAGAUCUAUAAUAGUGUCGUGCAGUACAUAAAAAAUCAUCAUUUCCAUUGAAAAAUUAGGUCCAAAGUAAUAGAAAAUUAGAUAUCUCAUACACUUUUCUAGUCAUAAGAAUAAGAUGGUAAUAUCUGGUAGUAGUGCUAAUUGCUAAAGCUGAAUAAUUUGACUUCCCAUAUAUUAUCCGUACCUUAACUUAGACACUUGAGUAACCACUCAUCUCAUUCUCACCUAUCAUCUUGCCAGCUUCCAAUAACGAAUUUAUCAGAAGAGUUGGUACUACAUUUCUAAAGUGGAAGAUUCCUCCUCUCAGUUUCAACUUUCAUUUCUUGUACAAUCUUUACAUAAUAAUCAUCACAACAAUUUUGUUUUUCUUCUUCCUAAUUACACUUUUAACAAUUUAAAUUACGUGCAAUCCUAAUCAGGAAAAGAUAAAGUGUCCUUCAUCCCUAUGUCCUAUAACAUAACAAUGAUUUAUAACAUAACAUUUAGCUUUUGUAUAUUCACAAAUUGAACAUAAAACUUUACAAUAACCUUCCAGAGGGAAACCAAAGGGAAUCACGAGAACUGAUAACUCUAGCAGAAAACCGAUCAGACUCACUAAACCUUGACUUUCUUCCCUCCUUAUGCACCUUACCCUUUUCCUUAUACACCUCCAUACCAACCUUAUCCUUCACCUCUCUCACCGAAUCCCAUAACCCCUGUUGUGACUCCAAAAUCAUCACCACCCUCUCCUUACACUCUUCCAACCUCUUCAAACAACAAACCAAUUCAACAGCUUCUCCAAAUUCCAAACACCCUAAUCUCUCCUUAAACUCAUUCACUUCAACAAUCACCACAGUUUCUAUCACCACCCAAUCUUCACAAACCAAAUUCACUAUCUCACCCACCAACUUGUUCAUGUUCACUUGAUCUGGUCUCUUACAAAUCCCCUCAACCAGUGUCACCAAAGAGUCAAACUCCUUCAACAAACCACAGUUUGUAAGACAAGAAACUCUCUCUUCACCAUCACACAAAGACUUUCCAAGAAAGAAGAAACCCAAGAUUCGUGAAGUACAUAAAAGAUUCUCAAUAUGUUGAGCAAACCAACGUACCCAACAAGAAAGUUCCCAGGAAGUUGGAUUUGUAUUAUGUCGAAAAUUCGAGAGGUUAAGAUAGUUUCUACCACCGGUUGAAGGGUAAACAGAUAACUGAUCUUGAAGUAUGAAGCUACCAUGGCUGAUGAUAUGAUGAACGAUGAUGAGAGACUUGAGUGCAACGGCGGCGUUGUUGGUGUUCUGAAGACGGUCCAUAAGGAGUUCUAGAAAGGAGGAAGCGGUGGCGCGUGAACCGUCGGUGGAAGAGAGGAGCGUGGAGAUAUGUUUGUGGGUGGGAGGAGUGAAGGAGUCAUGGGUGGUGGCGCGUAAGAGAGAGAGGGUGGUGGGUUUAGAAAGUAACGCUGCUUUGCUUUGUGAAGCUUUGUCUUUGAUUAUGUUUAUUAGGUUUGUGACUGUGAGUUUUGUCAUGUUUUUGUUGUUUGUUUCUUCUCAUAUCUUUAUGAUGUAAAGUCAAAGAGAUCACAAGAAACACACUACACUAACAUGAGGGAGAAGAGAAUGGUGAGAUCCAAAUUUCAUUAAAGAUUUAUUUAUUUCUCUACAUUUUACAGCUACAGCUCAUUUUCAUUUUCAUUAGUCGGCAUAAGAACAUGUCACAUUUAUGUAUGGGUCUUUCUAACGAACGAGUAGUUUUGCAAUUUAGACACACAUAUUUCACGCGACACUUACACCGUUGAACUUUUAAACCAAAUUAUUAACCAGAAUGGACGUUGUUACUUGUUAAUCACUUUUUUAACAUGGGUUAUGAAUCACUUAACCUACCUCAUUAAUCACAAAAAUGUACAUAAACCAAUUAUUUUACAUAGUUUCAAAAUAUUGAUCAAAGUACUUUAAGUAAGAUUAGUGCUAGCGAUACUCUCUUUUAAAUAUAUUUGAUCUAACCACUCACUCUCUCAUUAAUAUAAAUUAUAGCGGGUCUACAUUUUAAAAAUAGAACAUAAAAUUGUAGGACAUACAAUGAUUUCAUCCAAUAAAAAAAUAAAUGUUAGAAAGAAUAUUCAAAAGUGAGUGUUGUUAAUAUUCAUUGUUUAUGUAAAAUAAGUGGUUAUACUUUGCAUUUUUGUAGUUGAUAAAGUAGCUAAGGUGUUUAAUGAAAUUCGUGUAAAAAAUAUGAUUAAAAACAUACAUUUUAAAGGGUGUACACAUUAAAGGUGUCUAUAUAUCUUUAUUUAUUCAAUUAUAAGUCAAAAUCUUCUAUGCAAAAAUUACUUUUUUAAUAUCUUUAUCAACGUACUUGUUAACAUUUUUCUACGUUUAUUCAUCCAUCUAUAUUUUUUCAAUACAUCUUAAAAUAUCAAUCACCUCACAAGUAUUAAUAUUAUUUAAUUUACUAGCUGCAGUGUGAUGAUGCAUUGUUGCAGCUGAUUUCUUUUCAAUGAAAUUUGCUAGGGAGGUCUGUUUUCAUUAAUGGCAUUGAUCCAUUGGUCAAGUUCAGUUCAAUCCGAUGAUACUAGGAAUGUUUUCAUUAAGUUAUUUGUACAUUUAGAAUGAGUGUGAUGCAACCACCAAAGAAUUGUUCUUAUUUGUACUUUUUUUUUUCCUGUUCAAACAAAAAAAAUCGUAAGUUAGAAAUGAGUUUUAUUCUCAAGUCCCUAAAUUGACAGCUCUAGGUAUAGGCAGUUCUAUCUAGGAAAUACUCCACUCGCUUCUCCAAUUUUAGGUUCAUCCCCAACAUUUUAGUAUAUUCACAUCUAAUCUAACAACUAACAAGAGCAACGAGUUCUAUAUGGUAUGAUCCUCUCAUAUCAUUGCAAAGUUCUAAUAAAAAAAAAGUUUGUUUCCAGUCCUGCAGUCUAUGUGUUUGGAUUUCAAGUAAAGUUGACCCAAUGAAUAGACUAGUAAACUCAUUCCUUUAAAACCCCUAAUCUCUAUUUUUAUUCUUGGGUCAUGCUAAUAAGUGAGACACUUAUUAAUAUUUCUCUUUAUUUUUCUAUUGAUCCCUACCAAAAGCUCCUAAAAUGUGUUGAGUUACCCUUUAAGGCAUCAAACAACCGGCCCUUAAUUACCAACCGACCUAACAAAUUACUUAUUCAUAUAUUACAAACCACAGAUCGAGUUGUCGCCUCAGUUGUACCAUAUGCAUCAGAACAUUAUUUUUUUCAAACUUUGUUUUAGUAGUUUCAAUUGAAUUAUCUGUAGAACAAAACCCAUCUAAUCGGUCACAUUGGUAUUUGACUAAGUAGUAUGAUCACAACAAUCCUAAUUAAAAUCCUAAUGUUUGGAAUAGAAAAGCAUUAAACUGAAAUGGUUUUGACACCAAUUAUAGUUUUCAUUUGACACAGAACAUAAGCAAAGAUUAGCAAACAUACAAGUUGCAAGCGAUAAAUCUGUUAAAGAGGGGUUUCUUGAAUCCAAAAGAAUUGCGAAAUUUUUUCGAUAUUUUAUUGAAUGAAAAAAUGCAUCUUAGGUUACGAAAGUUUAGUUUGAAUACUAGGGAAAUAACAGAUUCUAAUGUGCCGAAAAUAAUAAACCGAAACAAAACAGAAAAUAAUAAAAUUGUUGGAAUAAUAAAAAUGUGGUUUUGAGCCUUCAGAUGACUUUGAAUAGCUAAAUUCACCCCUACAUCACGGCAAAGUGAUGAAUUACGCUCGUGAGCAAAUUCUGUUUCCGAAAAGGUAUAAUUCGAGUUAAUCCGAUAUCGGAUGCGAAAUAUACACUAUUCCCAUCGAGCCUUUCUUGUGUGUCACUUCAUCUUCGUACAACCAAUUUGCCUACAUCACCAUUUGUAAUCACAAAUCACAAUGGACAGGAUCAGAAACAUACCAAGCUAAACUCAUUGAUCCCCUCGAUUCUUCAACACCACAAACCAAUUCUACGACACAUUAUGGCCAAACCAUUAGAUCCCAUACAAGUGAAUACUGAAUAUUGUAGUCAUGAUUAAAAGUUACUAUUUAAGUAUCACAUGAGUUUUUGCUCUAAUCUUAAACAUACUGAGGUCCAAUAUCGUACGCAUCUCCCGGCUUUCGGUUUGGAUUAGCAUUGACAGGCGACCUAAUAGAUCUUGGAUACACUCUGAUAACAUAAUCCAUAUGUUCAAGACGUCGAUAUGUAAUGUAAGUAUGAGACAUUUUGUUCCUUACAAACCAAUUGAAAUGAUUUAGCUAUAAGUUACAGCUCAAAUUCUAAAAAAGGUCUCUGUACCCCAAAAAAGAAAGGAGAUAUAUAAAAUGAAACUGAUUUUCCAUGUGUCAGCCUCCAGAAUCAGACAAUAUUGUAUGCGAAAGGAAAGCGGAGCAACAAGCCAGACUAGAAAGCUUUCCACAUUAUUAUUUUUAGCCUCCAGAAAAAACGCUAUAUAUGUCCCCUAAGUUCCUCCCACAUGGUUUUAUGCAGAAAAACAUUAAAUUAUGGCUUAGUGCUACUUUGUGAAUUGUGGACCCGCUGCAACAAAACAUGCAUAUACUUUUUUUUUUUUGGCUAAGCAUGACUUAUCAUUGAAAAAAAGCAUGCAAAAAUGAUCGUCCGUGUGUAUACUACAUUUUUAUAAUAGUUAAACAGUUGUAUAUUUCUAAAAAUAAAACAAAAACAGUCGUAUACGAAUUUGGAGUUUUAUGGUCCAAAAUCUAGUGGCCUAGCGUUUGAAUGGUGGUGAAUUGAUGUGUAAAAUUUUCAAGACUUGUGCAGUCAUAAAACUUCACGAAUCAAGAUAAGGCGAUUCAGAUUUUAACGUUGAAUUUUUCUAUCAAAUAAAAAUAAAAAACUUGAUUUCGCUAAUUGUAUGCAUUAUUGACUACAUGUUUUUUUUUUUUUUUUUUUUUGUGAUCAAAGAGGGCAAUGCCCAAGAAUAAAAAAACAAAUUACAAAGUUACGGUAACAUUUCUUGCCAAGCAAGCUUCAGAUAUGUCAUCAUAAGGAAUAUUUUGGAGCUCACUAACAGAUUUUAAAAUUCUUACAUUAUAGAAACUUUAAUUAAAACUAAAAUUAGUCAACCAAUCAACACAUUUAUUUUCCUCGCACGUGCUUAAAAGCAAUAUUGUCAUGUAAGACAACGAGAUCCUCAAUACACAAACCAAGAUAUGAGUGUGUAAGUUAAGCUUACAACUCUCAAUUACCAUAUCGAUUGACUACAUCUAAUCCAACCAUAUUAUGACAUCGGGAUAUAUAAGUGCUUGGGUGUCCAUAAAUUAUUUUUCUUCUCCUUAUUGGUGGGUUAUAUGUGGGUGGAGGUACGGAAAUCUUUAUAUAUCCCGAAUCUUUAGCUUCUUAAUUAAGCCGAAAUAUAAUCCCUUAAAAAUGAUCAAAAGAAGAAGACAUCCUAAUCAUUUGAAUAUUAAUUAUUUUCAGUUAUAAGUAAUCCAGCGUGCUCCAGGUACCACAAACGAGAAGAAAUCUCUUAAUUAAAGAUGUAAAAUGAGAAAAGCAGGGACAAGAAAUAAAACUAUAUCAAAAAAGCAUAUGCAUGAGUUGUUUCAGAAUCUGGAAACUUGGUUGCAUUAGAUUAAAGCUUUUGGUUGGCACCCCAAAAAUGCUGAAUUUGAUUGGCUAACUUCAAACAAUUCGACACUUGCCUUUCUGAUCCCUAAAUUUGUGGAUUUCUUUUGAACAAGUAUACAUGAGGUCAACCGUACAAUAUUAAAAAACAAAAAAGAAAGGAACAUAAUAGAAGGGACAAGAAUUGUUAUUAUCAAUAUCAAUACAUAGAUAAAGAGAAAAUAAUUGUUACCAAUCAUCAACUUACUCCAACCAAAAAAACCAUCAACUUAUUUAUUUCUUUUGGGAAAAUUAACACUAACUUUUAGGCGGGUCCUCAAAAAUAUUUAUCUCUACAAUUUUAGCAUUUUUGUACCCUUUAUGUAACUAAUGUCUAAUCUCUAUUCUUAUAGGUAAAAUAUGAUUGGUUAAAUUGAUCGAUGAAGGAGGAAUGUUAGUAGUAGGAUUAAGGAGUAAGGAUCAAAAUAUUGACCUCUUGCUUAAAACUCUUUUACCGUUUCAACUUAUAUUUUUGGCCUACUUUGGAGAUUAAUACUCUCUCCAUCUCAAAUUUAAGUGAGGUUUUUUUUACCAUGGUGAUUGUACAUAACUAAGAUACUUCAUCAAGAUCCCUUUUUAUAAGAGUGUAUUAUGCAAUGAUUAUUACUAUUCUUGAAACAGGAAAGGAAAAUUGUACCCAACUAAAAUCUUGAUUUGAAACAUGAAGAGUCCAAUAAAAAAUUUAGAAGUAAAAAGUAAUCAAGUGCUAGGGAGGUACAACUGUAAUAUUGAUGUGUCUUUCUUGGCACAAAGAAAUCAUACUCGAAUUGAUAUGUGCAUUGAUGAUGAUGAUGAAGGCAUGUUUGUUCUUGCUAUGCAAUGUGGAUGUGAGGGAAGCUCUGAGCCUACUUCAUGCACUCUCAUGGAUUCAUGACUUACGAUGACAGCGUUGUUAAUUUUGUUUUUGAUUUGAAAAAGAUGAUUGACUAUUUUAACAAAUGGAAGCAAUGACAUUACUGAUUUUGAUUUUGUACUGUGUGAAUUUAAGCGUUGUUGUAAUUUAUAUUUUGAAAACUCUUGUAUUGAAUUUAGUCCAUGGCAAAUCAAUAAAAUUGUUCAUACUUUAGUAACAGUAUAACCACAUCCUUAACUUGUUAUAAUACUUUUAGUGAUGUACCAACACCAUUGACAAUAUAAUGAACACUAUAACUAAACAUCCUUUCCUAAAAAAAAUAUUUAUUUCUAAUAAUAAUAAUAAUCAAAUGGAACGAACUCAGCAUGCAUGUGCAACUAACUAACUAAAGUUUACACCCAUUAAUAUUUUUUUUAGGGGACACUCAUUUUAUAUUUUAUUCAUGAUUUAUGUUGAGCACACAUAUGCACACGUCAUCUAUAUUUAAACUAUUUAACUAUAAACGGAGAAUUAGUCCCUGAAUAGGAAAUAAGUAGUCACUUUAGUCCCUGAAUGCAGAGAAAUUGUAAAACAAUCUCUUGACUCUGUUGGUCAAUUUUAGGGAGUGAAUUGACUAAUGAAGUCUGCAUUCAGGGACUAAAUUGACUAACAGAAUCAGCAAUGUGCAUUGCAUUCAGAGACUAUAUAACAACUAGACGUGCAACUCCAAAGCUAGUUAUCAAGUAUAGCAACUAGCAACAUGGCUACCGGCGUUACAACAGUGGACUGCCACAAACAAGUAAGAUCAUGGAGAUUGCUACGUUCUCUCAUGCAACUACUAAUCCCAACCUGCAAUUGUACAACCGUAGUUGAAGACCAAGAUACAAUAUCCAAAUACUCCUCUUCUUCACUCACACCAUCCACCACCAUUACAGGCACAAUAUUUGGAUACCGCAAAGGAAAAAUAAGUUUUUGCAUUCAAUCAAAUGCAAACUCCACUACCCCAAUUCUCCUUCUAGAAUUAGCAGUACCAGCAAACAUUUUAGCGAGGGAAAUGCGAGGAGGAACAUUGAGAAUCGCAUUAGAGAGUAGCAGUGACAAUGGAAGAAGAUUUUCUUCGCUUUUGUCGACGCCAUUUUGGACUAUGUACUGUAAUGGAAAGAAGGUUGGUUAUGCUGUUAUGAGAAAGGCUUCGAAUACUGAUAUUGAAGUGUUGAGUUUGAUGCGUUCUGUUGCUGUUGGAACUGGAGUAAUGAAGUGUAAGGAAAUUGUGAAUAAAGAAGAAGAUAAUGAAGUUAUGUAUUUGAGAGGUAGUUUUAAGAGGGUUGGUGGUGGAUCUUCUGAAUGUGAAUCUUUUCAUUUGAUUGAUCCUGAGGGAGAUCAUAAUAUUCACCAGGAGCUUAGUAUUUUCUUUUUGAGGUCAAUGUAACGAUUAAUUAAUUAAUUACCUUAAUCUUUCUUUCUUUUUUUUCCUUUCUUUUAUGUAACUAUAUCACUCUUAUAUUUUUGAGCUGUGCUUAAUUAACCUGCAUACCAGAAAUGUUGUAUAGCAAGUAACUCCAUGGCUUUAUCCUUAAAGAAGUAGCGGUUGAUAAAAGAUCAAGAUUACGGUUGAAAUUUUAAGUUUUUGAUCAACCAAGAUCACUAUUUAAGUUUUAUCUAAUUAGAUUAGAUUAGAUAUUAGAUUUUUGGAAUGAUGCUUGUAGCGAAUAAUAUAUACAACAACAACCAAACAUUUUUCCACCAAAUGGAGCGACCACAUGGAUCAACUUAAAUCAUGAUGUUUUAUUUUAUUUUAUUAUUUUUUUAGAGAAAGUCAUGAUGUUUUAUUAUAUAAAUUAUAUUUUAAUCCAACUCAUUAAUCACUUAAAGUAUUUUUUUUUCUAGAUAUUCAUAUGUGAAUCUAACUACACUUAAUUUGAUCUAACUCUCACUAUAAAAUUUAUAGGUCUCUACUCUACACUAGAUAUUCACUAUAUUUAGUUUAAAUUUUAACCGAUCCUUCAUGGAGAAAACACUUAAUACUAUGUGAAUUCAUGAUGCAUGUGCAUUGCCAUAUAUAGUAGUCAUCUCAUCCGUUAGAUCCAAAUAUCUACUCCUCAACUAUAUUAGUGGGUGGGGCAUUAUUAUUGCAGAAAUACUCCAUAUAAAUGCAUUAUGCGUGGAUCCAAAAGCAUUUUUACGCGUAAACUGACAACUCAUAAUGUUCUUAUUGUUCAUACUAUUAUUGAGCUUAAAAGUUAAAGGCAAUUUUUAGAGAAUUGCAGCCACCUUUACUUAGCUUCAAAAAUGUUUUGGUUACAUGCAAUUCUCUUCUGUUUAACUCGAGACCAACAUUUUUUUAUCGUUAGAAAAGAAAAAGGUACGGAGCGUCACCCUUCCUUGUUUCUACAAUUAAUUUAAAUUAAAAUAAUUAUAAAGGGUAAAAAUGGAUAUUAGGUGAAUUAAUAAGGGUAAAAAUGAAAUGAAAAACGAUAAGCUAUAAGCUAUAACUUCAAUAGAACCUUAAGCAGUAGAAUAAGGUAUAAACUCGUUAUGAAAAGAAAGUUACCAAACAAGUAUAUUUUAACAAACGAACUUAUAAGCUUGUUUUUUAGUCUUGCCAAACAAACCCUUAAGCAGGAAGGACCUACAUAAUUUUUGGUGUUGUGUGACUAUAGUCGGUCACACCAGAAUUUAAAAAAAGUAACAAUAGAAAUGUAUGUCGCUAACUGAUAUAGUGAUUGAAAUGUUUGUCGCCAAUAUAUAAACUAUUAAAAAUUGAUCACAAAGUUAAUUAACGACAAAAAUAAUGAUCGAAAUUUUGGUAGUUAAAGUAUAAACUAAAAAAUGAGACUUGCAAGACAUACACUAAGUGUGAAGAUGGAGGAAACCAAACGUUGAUGGAGUUAUAAUGCGACGUUUGCCCAUUACAAACUCAAGUUUGAACCCUCCCUCCAAUUAGGAAACCAACAUGACCUAAGUUUGAACCCUCCAAGUUUUAACUACAUAUUACUCUUUAACCAUCUAAAUUAUUGCAGUAUUUUGAUAUAACUACUAUAGUAAAUGAACACUGAUUAAAAAUGAAUUAUUUGAAGAAAUUGAAUUUGAAUCCUAACAAAAAAGUCAUUAACUAACUUUACUCAAUGAAGUGUGGAUUAUGGUUCAAGUAAGAAGCAGUCCACCUUAACGGUCAGUCAGUGGUAUGGUAGUUAGAGCAAUGCAAGAGAAGUUACUAACUAAAGAUCAACAAACUAAAAAAAAUGCAAUAAUCUCUUCUUUUUUUGUUCUUUACCUUCCAUUCAAAUUUCCAUUUUCAACUACUAGCUUCUCUCUUUUUCCUAAAUUAUGUAUCAUAUCAUGCAUGCAACAUUUCUUCCUAUCCCAUUAUUUUUUCAAUCCUUCUAUGGGAAGAAUCAAAGUUUCCACCCUUUUCUCUGCUAAUAAUGGCCAUCACUACACUCUUCCUCUUGUAAACAAACCCAAUACACACAAAGAUCAUUUCCCUUCUUCAGUCUUAAAAUGUUUUCGACGAUUUAUCUGUGGAAGUAUGCUUCUAUUCUUCUAUGAUUUUCCAUAACUUGUUAAUUUAGUAGUUAAUGUUAUGCUAAAGUUUCUUUUUUUUGGUGUUUUACUUAUCUGGGUUGUGUUCAUUUGCAGGGAAAGUUGAUGGAGGAUCAAGAACAAAGGAAGAAGAGAAAGUGUACUCUUGGUUAUAUACACUGGCUCAGUCUGAAAAAAACUUGGUCUUUGAGUAUGUUAGAUCCACUGAAAGAGGCAAUUAUCUGCAUUCUACAAUACUACUUUAUCAAUGAACUUUGAUUUUAUAAUUAUCAUUCUUUAAUUUUUACACCCAAUAAAGAUAACUUCUUUUUUUCAAUUGUAUACUGAAAUUAAAUUAUGGACAAAAAAUGUGUCUUGAAUGCAUGUUUUUUGUGCCGCUUGCGCUAUGCAAACUGUAACUACUGUGCAAAUUUUUCAUAAAAGAAAUUUGGAGGGAGAAAAUUGAUACUAGGGCUCAACUAAGAUUUUCAUUGUGGUUUCUGUUGCGAUCAUUGAUAUUGUAGAGAAUUGCUGUCAAAUGUGGCUGAUAAGGUCUAAUUCGCAGCCAGAGAUAUUAAAACCUUGAUGUUGUAACCCAAAUUGCAGUCGUGAGUGGGCUAGUGGAUAGGCAUUGGUCAUUCAAAUAACAUUUUCAUUGUUUAUUUCCAACUACAAUCAUAUCUAUGCUACUCUUAUGUACAUGUAAACUAGACAGUAGAAUAUAGUUUUUUCAUUGUUCUGAUCAGUAAGUAAACACUACCCUCGAGUAUUCGUUUGUGUUAUUUUCCCCCUUUUGUGUUAACUGUGUUCUUGAAUUUUUUGCAGGCUUAAGUUUUACUGAAGCUGAGAGGAGGCUGCGGGAAAAUGGUCCAAAUGUUCCACUUGAGUAUUCAUUUCCAAGCUUGUGGAAUCUUCUAUGGAAUGCUCUUUUCCAUCCUUUCAAUAUGAUUCUGAUUAUUUUAUCUUCUCUGUCCUUCAUCGCCCGUGAUUAUCCCAACGGAUUCAUCAUGCUCAUAUUGGUUUUUAUCAGUGUCAUCCUUCGAUUCUGUCUGGUACUUUUACAUUAAUUAGUUGAUUACGUUCAAUGAGUGAAUACUGAAUGGAUAAUUCUCUUCACUUAUAUCUAUGUUUUUAAUCUUGAAUCUUCGUUGCGGACUUUAGGAACACAGAAGCUCAAAAGCCGCGAUGAAACUUUCAGAAUUUUUAAGGUGUCCUAUAAAAGUUCAAAGAUGUGCUGGUAGAAUUGAACAGAAAGAAUUGAUAGUUCAAGUUGAUCACAUGGAUGUAGUUCCAGGUGAUAUUGUGAUUUUUGAACCUGGCGACCUCUUUCCUGGAGAUAUCAGGCUGUUAUCUUCAAAACACCUUGUUGUAAGGUACUUGAAUAAGAAAAUUUACUCGAAUAGGAAAACAGCUUGCCUUGUCAGCUAACUAAAUGUCAUUUUGUGAUUUCAUUAACUUCUUAACAGCCAGGCCUCACUAACUGGGGAAUCUUGGACAACCGACAAAGCUGGCGAUGUUAGAGAAGAUCACAACACUCCUUUACUAGAUUUAAAGAACAUUUGCUUUAUGGUGAGUAACACAACUCCUUGUCCCUAUUUUGUUUCAAUGGUAGUUACAGAUUACAGCAUCUGUCGUGACAAAGGUUGAUUUUGUAAGAAUGGAUUCUGUAAAAUUUAUUUUAGCUAAAAGUGCAUUGAAUGUAAUUCUUGUAAAAGUGAGUUGAACAUUGGAGACAAAAGCUCCAAAUUCUAGCUUCAAGUUACUUGACAACAUCCAAACAUGUAAAACUCGACUCUACACCCCUGGAAUCCAUUUUGUGUCCUAUAAAAUUGGAAUCAAACAUACACUUGCAUCUGAUAGAGCCCUAACCAAAGGAUUUUAUAGAUAGAACAUCUUGCUAGGAAUGGAUUAAUUAUAGAUGACUAGUAUUAUUAUGCCUUAUUUAUUUCCAUAAUGGAUUGGCAUUGACGAGUGAUCUUUAACUCUUUGAGUUUUCCUAAUUUCAAAUAAUUUUUCUUUAUUUGUGUGACCAUUUUAGAGACAUGACUAACAAUAAACAGUAGAAGUUAAUCUAUUUUUGUAAUACACUAAUAUUGCUAUACUUAAUUCACGAAGAUGCAAAUCCAUAUCUCAAAUCAUUUGUUUUUUAUUUCAGAGUUUUGUAACUUGCUAUAUAUUUCAGAUAUUUGGCCUUCAAAAUUAUUGAAUUUCCAAACAGAAUUUCCAGCUUAAUAACAGAAUUUAUCUUAAGAGACUAAUUACGAACGUUACAGGGCACAAAUGUGGUAUCAGGUACGGGAACAGGUUUAGUUAUUUCAACUGGAUCAAAUACUUACAUGAGCACCAUGUUUUCAAAAAUUGGGAAGAAAAAACCGCCAGACGACUUUGAAAAGUGUCUCAGAUGGAUAUUUUACAUGCUUAUUUCCGUUAUGCUAGUAGUUGUUACAAUUAUGUUCGUGACAGAUUUCACUACAUCUCAUAAUUUGAGCAAGAGUGUUCUCUUUGCCAUCUCAGUUUCAUCUGCACUCAAUCCUCAAAUGCUUCCCCUCAUCAUUAACACAUGCCUCGCGAAAGGAGCAGUUGCUAUGGCUAAAGACAGAUGUAUUGUAAAAAGUCUAACAUCUAUACGUGAGAUGGGAUCAAUGUAAGCAUAAAUUCACUUUAAAAAUCAACUGAUUGAUGAUUUGGACACUAAAUUCUCAUUAAUUAUAUACUAUUUUCACUGUUGCAGGGAUAUUCUUUGUAUUGACAAGACAGGCACCCUUACAAUGAAUCAUGCAAUCUUGGUUAAUCAUCUUGACUGCAGGGGUUUACCCCGAGAAAAAGUUCUACGCUAUGCGUUCCUCAAUUCUUACUUCAAGGCUGAGCAAAAGUAUCCUCUGGAUGAUGCAAUUCUAGCACAUGUAUAUUCAAAUGGAUUCAAGUUUCAGCCAUCCAAGUGGAAGAAGAUAGAUGAGAUUCCUUUUGACUUCAUAAGAAGAAGAGUAUCUGUCAUGUUAGAAACAGACGAUAGACACUCGAGGUUCUUUGGCAGGUUCAUGGUAACAAAAGGAGCAUUGUUGGAAGUCAUAAAAGUUUGUUCUUUUAUUGAGAAUUUUGAUAAAGAUGAAAUUUCUACCUUCUCAUCAAAUGACUAUCAGAGGAUUUUAAAUCUAACAGAAGAAUUGAGCAAUGAAGGGUUAAGGGUUAUCGCAGUAGCUAUAAAGAAGGUCGAAAUGGUGCGUCUUGCUUGGCUUCCUGGUUUAAAAUGUCUACAACUUUGCCUUUCUUUUUUAAUUUAAUGCCAAUAUCAUAGAUUUUUAAUAUACAUAGCUUUACAAGAUUAGGAUAUAUUACAAUUUCAAUUUAUGUGUGAAAGUGCAGCAGCAGACUUGCGAAACAAGUAACGGAAGCAAGAGACACGACUAUGAUUUCGAAAGAGACAUGAUAUUUCUUGGUUUCAUAACAUUUUUUGAUCCACCUAAGGACUCAGCAAAGGAAGCACUGUGGUGUUUGGCUGAGAAAGGAGUGAAAGCCAAAGUUUUAACAGGCGACUCACUUUCCUUAACCACAAGAAUAUGCAGAGAAGUCGGCAUAAGUACCACUCAUGUUAUAACAGGACCUGAGCUAGAAGAACUUGAUCAAGAAACAUUCCAUGAAACCGUUAAAAGAGCAACGGUGCUAGCCCGUCUCACCCCUAGUCAAAAACUUCGAGUCGUGCAAUCAUUGCAGACAAAAGGAAACCAUGUUGUUGGUUUCUUAGGAGACGGUGUGAAUGAUUCACUAGCUUUGGAUGCUGCUCAUGUAAGCAUUUCAGUGGACUCCGGCGUAGCCAUUGCCAAAGACAUGGCAGACAUAAUCUUACUAGAGAAAGAUCUAAACGUGCUCGUUGCGGGCGUGGAGCACGGUCGUCUCACCUUUGGCAACACAAUGAAGUACUUAAAGAUGUCGGUUAUUGCUAACUUGGGAAGUAUCAUUUCACUCCUCAUAGCAACAUUGUUCCUAAAAUAUGAGCCCUUGACUUCUAGACAGCUACUUACACAGAAUUUCAUCUAUAGCCUUGGACAAAUCGUCAUCCCUUGGGACAAAAUGGAUGAAGAAUAUUUGAACACUCCUCAUAAGUGGUCCGUGCGAGGCUUGCCGAUGUUCAUAUUGUGGAAUGGACCGGUAUGCAUUUUAUGUGACGUGGCAACACUUUUGUUUCUUUGGUUUUAUUGCAAGGCUUAUGAUGAUAUGAAAUUUUUUCAUUCAGCUUGGUUCAUUGAGGGUCUUCUGAUGCAAACUCUGAUUGUUCAUUUGAUGAGGACUGAGAAAAUCCCUUUCAUUCAGGAUAUUGCUUCUUGGCCUGUGAUUUUUUCCACUCUUGUGAUAUCUACAAUUGGAAUUGCAAUUCCAUUCACUCCUAUUGGGAGGGUUAUGGGAUUCACCCUUAUACCUCUUUCAUAUUUUGGAUUUUUGUUUGUUAUUUUUAUGGGAUAUUUUACAAUAGGUCAGGUGGUUAAGAGACUUUACAUACUGGUUUAUAAGAGAUGGCUUUGAAUAUCAAAUUCUCAAUACAGUUUUGUUUUCCAUACGAUGUUUGUCUUGAAAUUGUUAUCAUAGCAAUGGACACAUUCAAUCAAGACGGCUUUGCAAAGCCGUAAGCUAUGGUAAUUGGUGAUAUAAAGAGCUAGAAAAAAACAAAAAUAUAUGGCGCCUUAGAACACCACUCGGCCAAACUGUCUUGUUGUAUUCAAUUAGUAAGACAAAUGAUAAGAUUGUAACAAACAAUAACAUUUUAUGAUAAACAAUACAUAUUUAAUUCCCUCCAGAAAAAAUAUAUUUAAUUAAAAUAUUUUAACAUACGUUCACUGCUUCCAAAAAAUUGUGUAGCUCAGAAAAAUGAUGGAGAUCAUGAGAAAAAAGGUCCUACCGGGAGUCGAACCCAGGUCGCUGGAUUCAAAGUCCAGAGUGCUAACCACUACACCAUAGAACCAUUCGAUGUACAUUUUCUAUGAAAUGGCUAGUUAUCUUCAAUACGGAUUUGCUGACACCAUACUACUAAAAUACUAAUAAUUUCUGCCGUAAAAUAAUAAUCAUGUCUUCGUUUAGGGUACAGAGAGCGUAAAUAAACACAUGAAGCUCACAGCUUUAGCAUUUGCUAGGAUUAUGGAUUUCUCCAUCUCAUUUUACUAAUAGGUUUUAGAGAGAAUAUACUCAUGGUAAAUUCAUUUAACCAUAUGUAUCUAUUAAUGUCUGUGUUUAAAUAUCUGUUGAACUCCUGUAAAAACAAAUGGUAGAAAUAUUUUGAGAACUAAUUAAUAUAACUUAUUAUCAUAGUGGUUAAAUAAAAAUUGACGUGCCAAAAAAAAAGUGAUUGGCCAAACACAGGUCUGAAUUCUGAAUAGUUUUGAAACACAAAUAUUAGUUCAGAAGUUUCUCAAUCUUUUGUGUUGUUCCAUAAAAAAAAAAAGUCGUUGAAUGGUUGGUGGCAGUAGCAUUCUUGAGACUGCGAUGUAGGUGGCAGUGCAAGCAAGAUACUUGCUUAAUGGUUGGUGUGCCACACAGCGCAGACUAUGAGGCAGAAGCAGAAACGAGCUGUUACUCCAAUUAUAGAGAUAGAUGGUUGAAACCUGAUCCAAAUAUGCUGUAAUGCAAUAUCAAUGCCUCAUUUUCCAAUGCUAGUAAUGGAGAAGGCAUUGGUGCCUGCAUCAGAAAUGAUUCGAGUGGUUUCGUGCGUGUUAAAACAGAAUUGUUUUUUCCAAAUUUGUUUGGUGGACGAAGGAGAACCAUGUGGAUCAUUGUGAGCAAUCAAGUGGAGCCAUGACCAUCAAAUGGAAAAUGUGGAUUUUGAGUCAAGAAGGUAGUUGAUAUUUUACGAGAGAUGCCUUAGAUUUUGGUGCCAUAAUUACAGAUUGUAGACAUUCCUUUUGGUUAUAUUCAAUUUUAGUAACUCUAGAGUUGAGAACAAACCAUUGAGGUAGCUCAUACACUAACUAGGACGGAUACAUCUUUAACUAGUUUGAGUUUAUUUAUCACAUUGUUGCUAACAAAAUGAGUUAUGUUUGCCCUAGUCAAAAAAUAUGUAUUACAUGUUAUGUUUUAGAAUUUUGCUCCACUGUAAUUUAACAAUGGGACUAAAACAAGUCACUAAUAAAGAAAGCAGAUAUAUACAUCGUGGUAAGCUCAUCUUGUAAUGUAAAACAGAGGAAACAGGGUAGAAAUACCAAAUUUACUCAAACUUUUAUAUGUAAACUGUGUUGCCAUAUUUCUGCGCUGCUGAAUAUUAUAUAUGCACAAAGCAAGCAUAUGGAAAGUCUUAAACUGAAAGAUGGACUAGUAUUUGUAAAUAGAAGACAUGCAAAAAAAGUAGAACAAUACCCAUUCCUUAAUAAUCCUUGAAUCAGCACCAUUCAUUGAUCUUUAAACUUGACAGAUCAUGAAAUGUAUAUUAUUGAAGUAGAAGAUGAUUCCAUGGAAAAUUUCCUCUUCACAGGUUGUAUUUCCUCUUCCAUUUAUUUUGCUAACAAAUUAAGCAAUAUUAUUUUUAUUUGGUCUUUCACUAGAUGAUACACCAGAAUCACCAUCAUCAUUAUCUACUCUAAUAAUAAUAUCAAACUCUCCUACAUUAUGUGACCCUAAUCCUCUCCCAACAGCAUUAUCAGAGCUUUCUGUAUGUCCUUGAUUCUGAGUGUCACCAGAAAUAUUUGAAAUUGAAUCAAGUUGAUCAGUGACUGUGAUACUCACCUCUGCAGCAUCAUUGAUAACAGGUGCACGACACAGCGGACAAUUCUUGUGUGAACUAAGCCAAGUAUCAAUACAAGGGAUAUGAAAAGCGUGGCUACACUUAGGCAAAAUUCUGAGACUCUCUUCCUCUUGAAAUUCACCUAGACAAACAGAACACUCUGUCCCAUCAACGAGUCCUUCGUCUUUUCUGUAUUUGAAGACUGUAAUGGAAUCUAUCACCGAUCGUUGAAGCCCUACCGUACGGAUGAACCAUAUGGGAUGAUCAACAAUAACCCUCUCAUCACCAUCAUUAUCAUCAUCAUCAUCAUUUGAAAUUGUAGAAUCUCUAUAACCAUGGACAUCAAACAAUACCGGCGUGUUUCUUCUAUCGCGAGUAUGGUUAUGUCUUCUUGAUUGAUAGUUCCUUAUGGAUAUGAAAAAGAAGAAGAAAAGCAUAAUCGUAGUAACAAAGCAAGCCAUGGCCAUCAUAGCUAUACGAAGUGUGUGGAUAUCAUGGAUAUGGAAAUGAUGAAGUAUGUUAUAGGGAGUGUAUGUAACAGGUGAUUGUUGAGGAGAAGGGUUUGGGCUAUCAUGGUAAUAGAAAUGAAGGAGAUUUCUAAGAUGAAAAACCAUUGAUGAAAGAAAGAGGGUAGUGAGAUUUGAUUGAGAGAGAAUGUUAGAGAUAAGAGUGUACAUGGAAGAUUGUGGAGAUUUUUGUUUGUUUUUCCACCACAAAUCAUGGUCUGAUUAGAUGGUAAUUAAUUAGAAUUUUGGGUAAUUUAGCCUUUCAUAGGAAACUUCCGAGUUUACUUAGCAGCCAAGUUUUUUCCAUGUUUAGACUUCAGUCAAUGCUGCUUUGAUUUUGGAAUUUACGCGUUACUUUAAUAGUGGUGGGGGCCUACUUAUGACUUCCAUGUGUGACUCUAAGACCAUCUACAAUGAUACAACAAUAUUUAUGUUCUUGAGGCAUUUGUAUGGGGUGAUGCGAUAUACUCCCUCCGUCCCAAAUUGUAUGUCACUUUAUAAUAUCAAUGAAACAUUAAUGUUACUUUUCCUAUUAUAUCCUUAACUAUUUAUUACUCUUUCUUUUUUCAAUUCUUUCAUUUAUCUUUCUCAUAUCAUUUAUUAAGGAUAAUUUUGUAAAACAACUCAUAAUAUCUCUUUCCCACACAAUAUUAAUUACAUUUUUUAAUAUGUGUGAAAUGCCCAAAACGUCAUAUAAUUUGGGACGGAGGAGGAAGUAUAUAUUAAGAACAUUCUUUCAUUUAUACUUCAAUACAAAGAACAAUAUUUAUGUUCUAAACUUACAUUUGUAGGGUCCUACAAUUGACCCCAUAAAUUUGUAUUUAUUUCAAUAUUUUUAAAAUAAAAUACUUAUUUGUAUAUUAUUUUUUCUAAAAAUAUUAAAUAAUGAAAAAAAAUACUUAUAUUAUCUAAUUAUGAAAAGAAAUACAUAAUUUAUUGAGAACAAGUUAAAACAAAUAAAAAUACAUUUAUUGUUUUUUUAUUUGAACACUUACUGGUCCUCUUUAAAAAAAAUUAUGUUACUAGUCCAUCUUUUCUCAAAGAAGGGAUUUAUUAUUUUUCAAAAACUUAAACCCAAUUCUCAUGUUUUCUCUCUCCCAAGCGUCACUCACACUCCCCACCCUCCUUUUCCUUUUCUUUUCCUCUUUUCUCUCUCCUUGCUUUGUUUUGUCUGACAUAGAACCUGCAAGAACGUGUUCCCCGAGAGGAACGGUUCUCCAACUUAUCCCCAUGUCACUCUUCUCAAAUGCAUAGAACAAAAUUAUGUGUUCUUGUAUUGUAAGAACAGUGUGUAGAACAAGCGCUAAAGUUGCUCUAAAUUGGUAAAAUGCUCAUAGAAGUAUUUUAAAAAGAGCAAUGCUAGGGACAGAUGUUGUGACAAUCGCUUUUGACCACUUUCCUUCCUAUUGGUCCACAUCAUUGUUAUUAAAACAUCUCUUAACCGGCAACCGGCUAUGUUUUUUAUAUUAAAAAUUCUAUAUUUUCUAAUUAACUUUGUCUCCCCUACGCACGCCUCAAAUCACAAUUUACUGUUAUAACGACAAGCAUCUUCAUUGCCAAAGCUUGAUGUAGUCAUGGGAAAGACAAUUGGAUCUUUGAACUUGUGAGAUUAGAUGAAUCUUUGAAAAAUGUUUCAAUAAUAUUCCAUUAGAUUUGGUGUGAGACUGAUGACAAAAAGCUCAAUUUUGCAGGCAAUUUCUCUUUGACAAAACACCACAACUCAGUCCUUAAGUCACUCUGCAAAGAAAAUUCAGAUUCAUUCAAACCCAGAUCUGCCAAUUAUUUGCAUGAGAAAAAUAAUUUAUUGUAGAUUUAAAGUUUAUUGGAAUAAUUAGACUUGACCCUUUAUGAAAUUUGGGAAAAGAUUUGGUUUUUGGUUGAUGUUUAUUUGAUUAAGGGGCUGAAACUUGAAGGUUGGUUAUGGGGUUGUUGUGAUAUCAGUCCAAAUCCUUAAUUCUGCCAAUUAUUUGCUAUGAGCAUAUGGGUUGUUGUGAUAGCCAUGAGUGAUGUGGGCAUGUCUUUCUAGAUCUUCUUCCUUCUUGCAAAUAAAAAAAUAAUAAUAAUAAAAUAAAAUUAAACUUGAGGAGCCUGUAAACAAGUAAAUGAGUUUAAAGAGAAGUGUGAUGUGGCCCAAUCCGUGAGAGAGUGUCCGGCCGAGAGUGUACAAGCGACUGAUGCUAGCAUGACUCUUUUAAAAAAGGUGAUAAAAACUAUAUUAUUAUUUUCCUUAAAAAAACUAUUAUUAAUUUUUGUACCAGACAAAAACUCUACUAAAUUGUUAGGUUGAUCUUUAUAUUUAACCAUUUAACAUUAAUUAAUGUGCUAUCAAUUGUUUAUCGUUUUAGUAUCAAUCUAGUCUCCAAUAUAUUUUUUUUGAAUGAGAAAUAUGAGUGAAAUUUGACAUAAUCGAUGACGUUUUUGAAAUAUGCAUGAAGUCAGAGACCUAUUUGAAAGCGUCUUCUAAAGUCAAUGAUUAAUUUUGUACGUUACUCGUAUAUGUUUGGUAAGUUAGAGCACUUGUCAGAUUCACUUACGGGCUUAUGGCCCAAUCACAUCAAUUUGAGGCACAAUUUCACCCGGUCUUAUGAUCAAGUUUGCCACUUCUCAGAUUAUGUGGGUCGCGGGUCAUACGAUGGGUUGAAUCAGUUUUGGUCUACUAUUUAAGUGGCCCAACUUCUUUUUUAGACUUCUUGUUCGUAAUUUUUUAUUUUUGUUAAAUUUUUAAAUGAUUGCACUUUAGGCACCUAAGAAUUGCUCACAAACACCUAUUGAACGAAAAUUGAUUAUUGUUUGCUUCAACUCGGUAGUUGACUACUGUUCAGCAUUUUUUAAAUCGAUUUAACAGAUUUAAAAAUCUCGUUGAACGGUAGUUAAUUAUUGUUGAAGGUAUUUUGAAUAAUUUGAGGUACUCAUAAUUGCUUGAUGUCUAAAUAGCAACUUCUAAAUUUUAAUGCAAAAAAACACAUUGGGUUGGGCUUGUGCUGGGCUCUAGAUAAAAAAAAACUGACCGUUACUUUUCCCACCCUAUGAGUUUCUUGCGCGCCCUAUUCGAAUUCUAAAAUCCGAAAUGUUUCAACGUGUUUUGGAGGUUUUUAUGGGGUAUUUAUGUCGUUCAGAUUCUAUAAACCAAAUUGCAUAGGAAGCACGAGAAACUCAUAGGAUUGGAAAAGCCUAUUACAGAAGUUUGUAUGAUUUAUAAUUAACAUUGCCUUCUGUCAGGUUAGUAUGACCAAACCAAGUAGUUUUAAUUCAUUCUUCACUCAUUGGAACCUAAAGGGCUUCAAGCUCCUGAUGUUAUUCAAAGGAGAAAAAGUUUUCAAUUAUUCAGUUACACCACAAUAUAUUAUGUACACCCUAAAAAUGAAAAGAAAGUGCUCUGGGAAAGUGUUUUACACAAGCACUUGAAAAAUGCAAAAGUAACUUGUUAAUUUGAUAAAUCACUUGAAACACCAAAUUAGAGAAACAAGAGAGAAAGGUGAAUCAAGAUAGAAAGGCAACCAAGACACUUACAAUACGACGAACACUGAUAAGAGUUUUCAUUUUCAUUUUUCAAAGCCUACUUAAUCGGUUGGUCCAAUGUAGUACUUAUCUACUUUCAUACGUAGUGUUAGUUGAGAAGACCACUGAAAGCUAUAUAUCAGAAGUUGUGAUUAAUAUUUAGGCAUGUGAAUUAUGAACCACGCCUACAUGUGGCUGCAAAAUACUCCUGUCCCAGUGACUAAGUAUAAUUCAUGUUGCUUAAUUAGAUACAGAGUAGAAAUCUGUUAUGAGAAAAUGCACAAUCUCAUGGUGGUGAUGUUGUUUUAUUAAUUAUCAAAUAUAUAUGUGGACUGGUUCAGUAGAAAGAUUUAUAAUUAAUUUAAGCAACAAAUACAAUGAUGGUUUUUCUCUGUUCUUAUGUCAUUAUUCUUGUGUUCUUAUGUCUUUGUGACAAUGAUACUAAACAAGAAGUUGUUUGAGAUAAUCAUUUGGUUAUCCAUGUAAACAAGCUUGAUCCAAAUGGAAAAAAGAGAAAUGAUGAUGAUAAUAAUAACAUAAAUCGAAAAAAAAAGUCUCAGUCAAGAUUCUGUUUGUUUCCCCUUAUGUUGGUGUUAUUCUUUGGAAAGCAUUAACAAAGUUAGAAAAGAGAACAAAAAAAGUAUGCUGCCUACCACUAGGUGUUAUGCACUGUCAGACAAACACUCUCAACUAAUCAAUUCCUUUUUCUUUUAUUUUUUGGUUCUUUAGUUUGUUUUACUCUCUUCGUUGUGUUAUUCUAUUGCAGAGCUACUAAAAUAAAACAACAAAAAGGCUUCUCUCUUUCCCACUUUUAAAAGCAUUGGAUUGGAGCCUACUAAUUAAAACCACUUUAAUGAAAAGCAUAUGAUUGCCGGAUUGGUUUGGUGGAUUUUUUUUUUUUUUUUUUUAUUUCCUCUGAUCAUUAUUAUAAACAAAAAAUUCAUUUUUUAAAUUCAUUCAAUAAAUAAUAUAUGUAGUAUAUAUAUAUAUCACAUACAUCAUUUAUUAAAUGAAGUUAAAAAAUCAACUUUUACUUAUAAUAGUAACCGGAGCGAGUAACUUUUAAGGUGAGAAUUAAAAGAACCAAAACAAAAAGAAAGCAAAAAAAGCAAACUAGUGAAGUGAACGACGGGAAGCACCCACCUUGAAACCUUUGGUCGCUUCCGGUUGUUUCUUCUUGUUCCUCUUCUUCCUUGAGACCAACAACUGAAAUGGCUGACUUGUAUUUUCAUCCAAAUCAACAACCUCAUCGUUAUGAGCCAUGUUUGCCCAUGAUUCACUUAGAAAAUUCAUUGCUUGUUGGACCUUUGUGGAACAAGCCCUAAAACUUGUAUGUCAUGAAUAACAGAUGCGCUGAAACUUGACAAGUCAGAGUUUGUCACCACAAUGGAUCUACCUCUUAAAGAAAUUGCAUUUGCUAUUACUUCCUUGUGAUGAGCCUCUUAAUACAAAAUAUCAGUUGAAUUUGAAUGAUCUUCACAUUCUAAGGUGAGAAAGUUAAUAUAAUAUAAUCUACGGUGAAUCGUUACUUAAAAUUUAUUUAAAACUCUUAACAAUAAUUGAUAUUUCUGGUAGUAAUUAAGUCCACCAUAAUAUUAGUGCUCAUGAUUAAGAUGUUGAUCAACCAAUGUCAAAUCAAUAAAUAUACAAGAAAAAUCAGUAUUGACAUCUUGAAACUCAAUUUUUAUUGGUGUUCUCUUGUUUUUGUCGAGUUAAUAUGGAUUAGAUCAAUGUAUUACUCCCAAUUUCUAUUAAAAGGCAUCGAUGCGACGACGUUGAUGGUCAUUAACAUUUUGAGUGAUUCGUAAACUCCAUGGAACACUUUUAGCACUGAACAAUUAAUUGUCUUCUGCGUAUGUGAUGUUACCUUUGGUUCCUAAAUUUUCCGAUUGUUCACUUUGCAAACUCAAUGUGGCUCUCACCUUCCUUUCAUGCAAUGCCAAAUCCUUUGUAUGUUUUGUGGACACACAAUGUAACAUCCGACACCAUACAGCUUCGUACGGUUGAAUUUUUUACCAUUAUUUUUUUUCACUUCGGGUGAAAACAAACUAAAUCGUAAUUGUAUUUUGUAGUAUAAUGUUACUUUUUUUUUUUGUCCAAAUAACCCAACUCGUAUAUGAUAUGUUGCUCAAAUACGAUGCUUUUAUGGUUGCCAUUGGAUUUUGUGUAAAAAAAAUAACGGCAUUUCUCUUUAUAAAAAUCACAUUUAAGUGAAUGCAUGCAUCCAAUCAUAAAUUAUAUUAUCUUACUCUUUAUGUUCACAAUACUCGUCGCCUUUGAGAAAUUUACAUACCAAGAAACUAAAUAAAUUUUGUUAUUUUUAAUAAAAUUCUUUCUAUUUUUUCAAUAAUACCCUUAAUCAUUUAAUAUUUCAUUUUAUUUUAUCAUUUCUCCUUUUACAAUAAAUAGAUAAGAAUAUAAUUGACAAAUUAAGAAUUAAUUUUACAUUGAAACUUAAAAGUGAUAAGUAAAAUGAAACAAAAUUAUUCUUUAAAAUUAUGAAUCAGAUGAAGUUUGUUUAGUUCAAUUUUUAACUACAAUAAAUUUUGUAAAAUCAAUUUACUCAAAAUUAUGUUUAGCGAUGGCUGAACUAAAGUGGAAAGAUUACAAUGUUCAUUAGGUUGAUGAAUUAUACCCUUCUCAUGAGGUUAUGAAUAUUUUGGUCCACCACACACACGUGUUGUUAAAGGCUAGAAACAUUUGGAGUUUUUUAAUUAUAAAUUGAUGGCGGUAGGGCCUGAUGAUUGACAAUAACCAUACUGAUUUUAUGGUGAAAACUCCAAAUCCCAUCCCACCCAUUCCAUUUGAUGCUUGGUUGUCACUGCUUUGAAAUUGCAUGGGAAAGAAAGUGGAGACAAUGGAAUGGAACUGAUUAGUAAAAUUUGUCUACAAGUUGAAGCUGGAAACGACAGCAUUUAUUUAUGAGUUCAUAUAUCAUAUAUACCACAUGUUUAGGGAAAGUGGGUGUGUGUCUCAUGCAUUCAGGAGUAUUUGCCGAUGCAAUACAUACCCAUCAAUCCUAUCCUAUUUUCAAUGUGAAGUUCGGUGAGAAAAUAUAAUAAUAAGGCAAAUUCGAUGGUACACCCAACAAUUUGAGUGUAUUGGUACACCAAAUCUUUAAAUUAAUAGUUAAAUGAGUUAUUUUUUGUAGGAAAAAAAUAUUUUCCAUCACCUAUAAUUAUAAUAACUAAAUCUUAUUUACCAAAAACGUAAAUACAAUAAAAUUUGAUUUUUCUGAAUUCAUAUUACUCAUAAUAGAGAAUUUUGAUUAUUUUUUACAAUAAAAUUUAGAAAAAUUUAGUAUGAUUUUUCUAAAAAAUGAAGUGAUGUUCUUUUUUAUAAAAUGAUAUUUUCUAAAAUAUAUAUGUCAACAAACACCAAUUUUCUUUAAUAAAAAAUGAUAGUUAAUUUAUAAAAAUUGUAAGCGAGAGUACCGGUACACCUUAAUUUACGGAUGUACCGUAGAAGUUCCCUAAUAAUAAACUUGUAAAUUAACUGCUAGAUACUUAGAUUAAUCAAACUUUGAGAAAUUUGCUCACAAGGAAGAAGCAACAAGAAAGCAGGGGUUUAUACAUGCUGGAUUGGGAUGGGUUUGAUGAAAUGCUAUUAUCAAACUAAUCAACUCUUAUCAUUAAUUCGGUUGAAUAUCAACUCAUAUAUAGUAGCAUAUCUUAAGAGAAAAUGAAAACUAAAUCAAACCAAUAUAAUGGGGUGGAUAGGGCUCAUGAAACCUCAAGAAAUAUUCUAAAAAAUAUAACUAAAUGAAAACAUUUCUGGUGCUUAACAUUUCAAAAACCAUAAAAUUCAAAGCACAAAUUUAAGGAAGAACCCCUGCAUUAUUUCCAAAAAAAAAAAAAAAUUAUGAACCACACUUCUUAUAACGUUUCCGCAUUUCUUUUCUAUUGACAAAUCUUUUUCUAAACGGAAUAUAAAUACAUUUUCCGUUACAUUUUUUAAGGUGGUCUGUGUAUCAUUUCCCUUUUCAAAAAUAAUAUAUUCAAAUCCCUUAUAUAAAAAAAAAAAUUAAUAAAUAAAUCAGAUUUAGCAACUUUUUUUUAUGUUGGUGUUACGUGUUAACCCUCUGGUAUUUUUGAGUUCAGUCAUGAAGUAAGCAUCAUAUAGUCAAGAAUUGUUCACCCAAGAAAAAACUUGUUUUAUUUCGUCAAUAUUUAUUUUGAAUUAGACGUAGAAAAAUCAUGUAUAAAUACAUAUUUAUACAUGACCCAGCAGUGGUAUAUAUCAAAUUCAUUGGUUCAACUUACUCCUUGUAUCUAAAGUCUUCUUGACAAUGAUGGUCAGACGGCAUGUCUUGCUGAUGUAGUGUCAACGGCGGUGUAAGUGUAUAUGGAGAAAAACUUUCAUUUGAGGAAGAACAUACUCGUAGGAAUGGAUGAACUCGCACUUGAGGGGAGAAUUGUUGAUUUGGUUAGAAGUCUCGUUGAACAAAAUAAUGGAUUUUUUUUUUGUGCAUAAAAAAAAAUGGAUGUUGAGCAACAUAUAAUUAACAUGACAUGUAUAUCCAAUAUCCUAAGAUUUUGAGUGAAGAUGUGUUAUCAACUCGGUUGCGUGGUUGCACAGAGUGUGCCAAAAUCCAAUGUGGUAACUCCUCGGAUCCUAUCGUAACCCAACAACUAUGAAGAAAAAAAUUAUAUAAACCCACUUCAUUAAAAUUAAAUGGUUUUCUAUAUAAAAAAAUUGUUUAAAUUGCUGAUGUAUUUUUCUUCUUACAUAGGUUUCUUCUAUUGAGAGUAGUUUUACUCGAGGCACAUAUCAUCACUACCUUUGUUUGGUAGAAGAGAAAUGUUGAAGAGAGAUAUCAAAGAGAGAAAUAGAAGAGAAACAAACAUUUUCUCUUGUUUGGUACACACAUGAAAGAGAGAAGAGAGACAAAUCAGAGGCGGGACCCACAUGUUUUUUUAUCUCUCUCCAGAGCAGCGAAGAAAGGCAUGAGAAAGUGCUGGUUUUCUUAUUUUUACCAUUCUGCCCUUUAAUUUGUGAUUUAACUUGUACCUAUGCUUUGUUAUUAUAUUACGUGUCUUUUCUUCUUUCUUUCUUUCUUGGAUUCAUUAAUUAAUAUUAAUAAACUAUUAAUUAUUUUAUUGAUUAAAUAAAAUUAAGUAAAAAUAAAAUAAAUUCAGUUUAAUAAUUGAGGUAUUUCAAUUAAUUAAUUGAUUUAAAACAAAAAUAAAAUAACUUGGGGAGAGGAUUUUUCUCAAGGACAUUUUUGUACUUUCAAAAAUAAUCAACACUUCUCUCUUCUCUAUUUCUCUUCCCUCUCACUUAUACCAAACAAUACCUCAAAUCUACUCUAUUUCUCACCUCUUUCUCUCUUCCCUUACUCCCUCUCACCUCUUUCUCUCUUCUUAUUUUUUCUCACAACCAAACAUACCCUUAAUGUUUGUGUAUCGUUCGAUUAAGAUUCAAAUAUUUAUUUUACGUUGUUACCAGAGCCUAACCGUUUCUACUUUCUACCGAACCCAAUCACAAUUGAUAGUAAUGUGGCAAGUCUAUUUUAGAAGAAACUGACGAAGGCCUAACUAUCUAUUCUAGUUUAACACUCGCAUAUCUUAAACUUUAAAAAGAAUCAGGGAAUAAGUGUUGAAAAAAACAUAGGCAAUCAACGGUCAAUUGGAUAGUUUUUAUUUUGCAGUGCAAAUUUGGGUAGUAACUGGGCAUGCAUCUCUAACCUGGGCCAUAUCAACUCACAAAAUACUCCGAAUUGGGUCAUUGGCCAUCCGUAAAACACUUCAGUGAUCCACGUGAUAUACGUUGCAGCAUCAGCGCGCGCACACACAUGACACUAUUGUUCUACAAUCAAUUAGUGCAUGGUGAAGAUCAAAUGAUAAUCCAUCGAUCAUGGCAUGAUUCUCCCAACGAUCUCAACAAUGUUUUUCACUCAUUUCUCUUAAAACCUCCAAGUAUAAAAUGACUUAGGCAUAAUAAGAAUUGUAUACACUAUUAACAUCACAUCUCACUCACUUUAGUCAAUGUUUUUUUUUUUUAAUAUCUUGAUUCUAUAAAAUUAUAUAUAUAUAUAUAUAUAUAUAUAUAUAUAUAUAUAUAUAUAUAUAUAUAUAUAAGGCAAGCGGGCAACAAGCUGCGCCGUUAGACCUUUUUGGGUGGCAAGAUCAAUCCUCGUGAAUACAACAUUCAUGGACCUAAGAGACGUAACAUUGAUAUGCAUGACCUUUUGAACUCUAUGUAGAAGGUCAACAGCCUCUGGCGCUAGGAAAUUGAAAGUGUCAAAAGCAAAUAGUAUAAACGCAUGUUGAUUGUAACACCCCGUUUUCCCAACAUAAAAAUUUCAUUUAAAUAAUCAGAGUAAUCCACAUAAACGCAAUGUCACACUUAUUUUCUUAAAACCAUAAACGGAAUAAUUAACUAAUUAUACUUCAAAAUUCAAUAACAUAAUAUUUAAUAAUUCGCAGUAGAAUUUAUUCAACAUCUAAAAAAGUCUUUGGCACUAAGGUCUCAUCUUAAACAUCUCAUAAAAGUCCAAUCUAAAAACAUAGUCAUAAUCUUAUAAAGUAAUACGUAAGGAAUAGAAAAGCAAUAACAAAGUUCUCAAUCCCGUUACGUAUCAGAGCACCUAAAGACACACGUGAGAGAUAGACCACUCACGACAGUAACCUAACAGCAACUUACUCUCUAUCACCUGCAAGUUACCCAUACGAAGAGCAACAUUUCCAAGCAGAAGGGGUGAGAUUUCACAAACAAUAAUAUUCAACAUAUAAUUCAUCAAAUGCAUUUAACAACUUAAACUUCAUCUAUUAGUAAUAAUAAUUCUUCAUGUAAUACUUCUUAAUAACUCAACCAACUUCUAAUCAUCAUUAACUUCAUAUUCAUCACAUUAUUAACAUCAUCAUAUAGCACAUAAUAACCAAAUCAUAACCAACAUAGAUCAUCACAUCAUAAAUAUCAUCUUUUAACACACAACAUAAUCAUCAUCUCAUAAUAACAUAAACAACACAAUAUAAUCAUCAUCUCAUAAUAACAUAAACAACACAACAUAAUCAUCAUCUCAUGAUAACAUAGAUAACACAACAUAAUCAUCAUCUCAUGAUAACAUAGAUAACACAACAUAAUCAUCAUCUCAUAAUAACUUAAACAACACAAUAUAAUCAUCGUAUAAUCUUCAUAAGCAAUACAUUAACAACACAUGGAUAGAAGACAACUCAACAACUUAACAACUCAUGAAUGACAAUUCAUCAACAACUUAACGACUCGACUUGACAAUGCAACUUCGACUUGACUAUGCAACUUAAUCUUCUAAAUCAUGCAUGUGGUACCAGUCCAGGGCAUCAAGCCCCCAACGUAUUUGAGCAUUAAUAUACUCCUAGGGCAUCAAGCCCUCAACUUAAUUGAGCAAAGGCUCCAGAGCAUCAAGCCCCCAACGUGUUGAGCAAAGGCUCCAGGGCAUCAAGCCCCCAACUUUAAUGAGUAUGCAUGGACUCAAUCAACUCGAACAACUUAGACAACAUCAACAACUUAAGACUCCAAUACUUUGGAAUAACAUCAACAACUUAGACAACAUCGACAACUUAAGACUCCAAUACUUUGGAACGACAACUUGCAACUCUACAACUUAGACCAACACCUGCAACUUGAUCAAUAUUCAACAGCAACAGAAACAUCACAAGCAAUUCACAACAUAUCAAUAUUAAUGAAAAGCAUCAACAACUUAAACAUCGUACUUUUUCCACAUAAGGCACAUAAAUAUUUCACAUAACCAACAACAGCAACAUAGGCAGCACAUAAACAUAUCAAGAUAUAACAAUAUCAAAUGAUAAUCAACAUCAACUUAAACAUCUUAUAUAAUUCACAUAAUGCAUAUACAAUUAUAUCACAUUACUAACAACAUUAAAUCACAUUAUAUCAGACUCAUAAAACAUUAGUAAUAUUAUAAACAACCUCCAUUCCUACCCCAAGGAUCAACUUAUAACAUCUCGUGCGACAAGGAUCGCAAAACCCUAAACAAGGCUGUCUGGCAAUGUGCAGCUCGCGAGGCGACCCACUUUACUCACUACGGCGAGUUCAGAAAAAGGCUGCUCGCCUUGGCGAGCUAAAACUGGGUGCUCUCGGGAACUUGACAUUUUUCACCUAAAAAUCUCAUUUUUAACUUCUCCAGGUUCAAUUUUCAAUCUAAAAACUUGCCUAAUCAUUCUUAUAAAUAUUAAGGCACUCAAAACCAUCUAAAACUCAACCUCUAACAUUAAUUCACAAAAUCAGGUUUCACUCACUGAACAACUCGCUAUGGCGAGCAAUAAUUAAAAUCACUCGCGAGGCGAAGGGUUUUACUCGCUAGGCGAGCGAUGAACUUCAUCACUCGCGAGGCGAAGGCUUCCACUCGCUAUGGCGAGCGAUGAAUGUCAGCUCGGGCAGAAUGCAGAUUUUCUCCUAGAAUCAUCCAAUCUCAUGUUUCUAACCUUAAAACUGAUUUCAAUUAUCAUCCUAUGGAUUAUCUAAGGUCUGUACACAAUUUCUACAUCAAUUCAACAAUUUUCUAUCAUCUAAUCAUCAAUUCCUCACUUUUAACCCUAAUUCUCAAAUUCUAAAAACUCAACCUACAAUCGUUUUAAAUUCAAUUUCAGAAUCACAUACUCAAGAUUAUUGAAGGUUAGUCCCACCCUUACCUUAAUCAAAAUCGAUCAGCAGCCCUCUCUUGGUUCUUCUCUCCUCUUGUUCUUCCUUUUCUCCAAAAUUGGUUGUACGAAAUCCUCAUUUUCUAAUUCUAACUCUCCCCUUUAUAUAAAUCUUUAACCUACUUAUUUUCUCUUAUUUCCAAAUCUGUCCUCCAAGUCUCAAUAUUCUAUUAUAAUAUAUAUAUAUAUAUAAUAUAAAAUAUUUCUAUAACAAUUAACAUAUAUUUUUACACCAAAUAACAUAUAUUUCGACACCAAAUAAAAUAUAUUUCCACACCAAAUAACAUAUAUUUCUACACCAAAUAACAUAUAUUUUUACACCAAAUAACAUAUAUUUCUACACCAAAUAACAUAUUUUUACACCAAAUAACAUAUAUAUUAUACUAAUAAAUAUCAACAUAUAACAUAACAAAAUAUCACUCAUCAAAAUAAAUCGACUAAAUUAUAAAAAGAUAUCUAAACUCAAUUAAAUAAAUAAAUAAUAAAAUAGGGCGUUACGUUGAUUGUCGGAACACCCUUUCUCAUGUUUGGCCACUUUGCUUGAUGCAGCUUUUAGAGCUGUCUGUCCUACGGUAAAAGGUCCUACGCCUAAUCCAACAAGUGGCGAAACCCCAGUCAAGUCUACACAAACAUAUUUUCCACCUACCCAUCCGUACACCAUCACAUUUGCAGGCAUGAGUGUUGAUCUUCUAUCUAGUGGGUAGGAAGUUCACAGGCGCCUCCUUCUUCGCUGAUAUUUCCGCCUGUCUGAAUAUAUCAAAAAGUACAUCCCUAACAAAGUCAUGUCUGUACUUAAAGUCGGGAAGCUCCUUACAAUGAACGGCAUGCUCCCCAGAAGAAUCCACACACGUCUUACGAUAAACAGGGCACACCUCAUCAAUAGGAAAUAGUGGAAUCAUAAGGCGAUAUCUAAGGAUAUUAUGAUACUCCACUGGUGACAUAUGUUGACCUAACCCAUCAAUCGGGAUACUUAGAAGAAAAUCAUGAGCAUGUGCUGCUUGCAAACAUCCAAAAAUUAUCUUCUAUCUCGUGGUCAUGUCAAACUUAACUUUCAUAUCAUGAAAACUUUUUCUAAAAAGAACACUCGCCAAAACAUGUCGUGCUUUAGGAGGGACGGUGUCAUUGCUAGUAAAACUGCUAACAUCAAAAUUUUAAAUCGUACCACGAAGACCAUCCAAAGCAUUUUCAAAAUCCGAGUCCAUGCCACAUAACCCACUGUCUCUCAAAAUAUGAUCUUGUAGCACCCCAAGAUCGUGCCCUAGAAGCCACAAAAGUAUAUGAUCAAAGUUUGACUUGAAUUUCCGAGUUUUUGCAAAUCUAACAUCAUCGUCGAGCUUCUCCCACUGACAUCCUCAUUGCCAUUUAUUUACCGUAAUAAAAAUCAAUUUUUUUGUUUGGAUACAACUAGGCUCUUAAAAGUCGUAGAUUUUUUUUUUCAGUAGAGAAUUUUACUAAUCUUCUUACAAAUAGAUAGACUAUAGAGUUUGGCUCACAAGUGCCAUCAUAGCACUCAUUAAUGUUUUUAAAUAAAAAAUUAUUUAUUCAAAAAUUAACCUAAUUAAUUUUCUUUUUAACGCAGAUUAAAUUAUUUAUUUAAGCAGAAGUUUGCGUAGCGCGUGGUGGUUAUUGUUACAGUAAAAAAAACGCUGAGGAAACACGUAUCUUUAGUCGGCUCAAAUGGCGUAUCUCAGCUUGCGAAAGCCACGCCGUUUGCAUACAAACGCGUGUGCACAAUGCACUGUACUCUACCGAAACACUACUCCUCAAGGAAACGGUCGAAAAACAAUAAAACCGACCGGUUAAACCGGUACCCAAAAAAGUUGCAUUUGAGUUGAAUUUAGCUUUCAUUACAUUAACAUUUCAUAGCCAACUAUAGUAGCAGUCACCUAACCCAACCCCAGUCAAAUUGUAACCUAGGUUGGGUUUAUUUAUAGUCACAAACUCACAAGAACUAAGCUUGCCUUUGAACUCCUUCACCAUCAACAUAACACAACUCUUUCUUUUUCUUCAUCCCCACUUUCUCUGUUUGUUUCCUUCUUAGCGUAUAAAAAUUUGACAGUGUAAUGAUGUAGAAGAAUAAAAAAAACAGACCAAAACAGUGUUGUAAAAAAAACAUAUUAAUUAGUCACUACUACUUUGAUUUGUUGUGUUGUGUGUGUUGGAAGUGUUUGAUGGGUGAAGAGGAACAAGUGUUGAGAAAAAACAAACGUAGACACAUGGGAGUUAAUGGUGAUAAGUGGUUGUAUAGUAACUGCUUAAACAAUUGUGCUAAUUGGCGCUGUUUAAGAUACCAAAACUCUCCUUUUAAGUGAACAACAAAAACAUAAUCUUUGUCUUCUAACCUUUUUUUCUCUUCAGAUCUUUAUUUUCUCGUACUAAUCAAACUUAACAACCUUAAUCUUAUAAUUAAAGUACUCAUGAAGAGACUUGGAAGCUCUGAUUCUUUAGGUGCUCUCAUGACAAUUUGUCCAACAACAGGUUAAUUCAUAUUUCAGACUUUAUUUUAUUUUUGUGUUACAUAUUAUUUCAGACAUAAUAUUCAUAGUGGGUGUUUGUUCUUUGUUGUCUUGUCUCAACAUUUUUUACAAUCUAGCAUCUCAUGUGUCUAGACCUUUAAAAAGUAAUACUUUUUUUUCUUCAUUAUUUUAUUUAUCUUACUCCAAUUUUUUAUGCUUGAUUCCUUCCUUUUUAUUCACUAUAUUGCAUUACAACUCAUCAUUUUUAGUUAAAUUAUGCUCAUGUUUGUUAUUAUGGUGAAUUUAUAUAAAAAUACGGUGAGCCGGUCUGAUUUUUUAAAGUUAUACUUUGUAGCUUUUGUAAAAUCACUUUGGACAAAUCAACUAUGAUACAAAGCAUUCAAUGCAUCUCAACUGAAUUAGGCUUAAUAAUAACUGUUGCUAUGUACUUAUAUGUGUAAUUUAAUUUGCAUUGAUAUAGAAGAAGAGAGUCCAAGGAACAACCAAGUGUAUGGAAGGGAAUUUCAGUCCAUGAUGGAAGGACUAGAUGAAGAAGGAUGUGUUGAUGAACCAGGGCAGAAGAAACGAAGACUAAGUGUGGAUCAAGUUAAGGCUUUGGAGAAGAAUUUUGAAGUUGAAAACAAGCUUGAACCAGAUAGGAAAGUUAAGCUUGCUCAAGAGCUUGGUUUGCAACCAAGACAAGUUGCUGUUUGGUUUCAAAACCGUCGUGCUAGAUGGAAGACCAAACAAUUGGAAAGAGAUUAUGGUGUUCUCAAAGCCAAUUAUGAUGCACUUAAACUUAAUUGUGAGGAUCUCCAACGUGACAAAGAAACCUUACUCAAAGAGGUAUAUAACUAUACUCCUUUGGCUGUAAAAUUCGAUUAAGUACAAUGAUAUGAUAAAAGGUCGUGUUAUCCGGUGUCCUUUAAGUAUUUGAUUACACAAAUUCUAAGAAAUUUUUACUAUAUUUGUUUCUUUCAACUAGUGUCGUAGAGGUACUAAUGCCCCCUCAAACAUCUAAUAUACCGAGGGCAGGUUCGAAUAUCUUUGCAUAUAAUGUUGGAGAAUUACGAGUUCGAUUUUACACCUUAGCAUAUAAAUGUAUUUUACAAUCUUUUACCAUCUCAAUUGUACCCAAGUAUCUUUAUAAAGUGUAUAGUAAAGAAUAAUAUAAAGAGUACUAAGAAAUUUUAAUUAUGCUUAUUUUGGCAGGUUAAGGAAUUGAAAUCAAGAUUGCAAAUACAAGAAGAAAACACAACUACUGAAAGCGAUGUUUGUGUGAAAGAAGAGUUGAUAACAUUGCAAGAAUCAGAAAACACAGCUUCUGAUGAAACCGCCAUUCUUAGAUCCGAUUCUAAGGACUUAAACAACGAUUGUUUCAAAAAUGGUGAUGGAGUUGCUUCACUAUUUCCUGCGGAUUUCAAAGACGGUUCUUCAGAUAGCGAUUCAAGUGCAAUCUUGAAUGAAGAAAGCAACGCAGCAAUUUCUUCAUCUGGGGUUCUUCAAAAUCACAACUUUUUGAUGUCUCCUGGUUCUUCUUCCUUGAAGUUUAAUUGUUCUGAAUCGUCGUCACCGUCUUCUAUGAGUAAUUGCUUUCAGUUUCAGACGCAGUUUGUGAAGAUGGAAGAGCAUAAUUUUCUUAGUGCUGAUGAGACUUGUGAUUUCUUCUCAGAUGAACAACCACCAACGCUUCAAUGGUAUUGUUCAGAGGAGUGGAAUUAAGAAAGAAAAAGACUUGUGAUGAGUUUAAUUUGAGAGGUGCGAAUAGAAAAAAUAAGACAUUGUGCAACGGUGUAUAGUUAAAAAUCGAUCCCUGUAAAAAUGGAUUAAUGAAUUGGAGAGAGAUUGAGAGAGAAGUUGAAGAACGUGAGAGGGGGAGAAAGAUCGCAUGGUGUAGGGUCGGAGAUGAAAGGUUGAUGAUGAUUAAGACCGUGCGGGGAGGGGUUAAUUUCUGAAUAAUAAUGAUUAGAUCUUAAUGAAAACUCUGUUGUAAAAAUUUUGGAAUUGGGUAGAAGAUAUUUACUAUUCUAAUGGUUCAACUCUAUUUUCAUUCUAUCGGAUUUUAGGAGUAGUAAACUUUUUUAUAUAUUUAAAAUAAAAAUAUCUUAGGAUAAUAAUACUCCCUAGUAAUAUAUUUCUGAAUCAUUUAGAUCACAUUGUUCAAAAACUACUCUCAAUCUAGUAAGAUCACAUACCGUCUCUACAAGAUUUUUCCAAAAAUAAAGUUUCAAUUUGAAUACUUACUAGAUUGAGAGUAGUGCUUGAACAUUUUAGAGUGAAAUUAAUGUGGAUCAUUCAGUCACACAGAAAAAAUGUGGAUCACAAUUCUUAAUCUUAAGACUUAAUUUUUUUUGAAGGAUAAUCUUAAGACUUAAUUAGGAGUGAUUUUGAAGAUGACGAGGGUGUUGGUUGAAUGUAUCGAAGGACGACUUUGCUACUCUACGGAGAGGUGUUGUAUCUACAACAACUCCAACACUGAAGUUAUUGCAUAUUUUAAGAGUACAUAAAGAUUUAAAAAAUUGAGAAUUCACCUUAGGGUUACGAUUAUUUUAUAGGUGACUUGUAAAGAACGUUUUGUCCAAAACGUUAUUCAUACAAAUUGACAUAAAACUUCUUCAUUGAAAAGUCAAAAUUAUAUUCAUUUUAAAACAAAAUUUCUUUACCUGAAGUUAUAUUUAUUUUAGGAUUUUGCUAACGAAUGCUCUAAGAGUAUUGUUUAAUAAUUCUAUUAAAAAAAAAAUUGAGGAUUGACUUGAUUAAAAAAUUUAAUAUUUUAAUCAAUGCUCUAAAUGUACCGGUUAAUAUUCCCCUUGCGGAUUGAGUAAUUUCUUCUUGCCUAAUUUUUUAUUAAGAGGAAUGAUAUUUGUAGAAUUAAUUUUAUACAAUUUUUGUGACAACCAUUUUUUCUUUAUUCUUAUUGGACAAGAAUAAUAAAGAGAAAGAAAAGGAGAGAGAAUAAAAAAAACAUGUGAGUAUGAAAAAGAAGGUUAUUUCAAAAGUAGUCAAAAAGUGGUUGUACAAGAUAUCAUUUCUCUUUUAUUAAAAAGGAAAGAAUGGUGUAUGUUUUAAAUCUCGUGACGGAUUUUAGGAUUUGUUAGGGAAGAGGGAUGAUGAUGAUGCCUAGUGGCUACCUAUAGAUAAAGAUGGUUAUGGAACUUAGUUUGUCCUUUACUACCAAUUUAGUUCAACUGAUCACAAAGAUAGCGGGGAGCAUAGACGUCAUCAAACGUGUUGUGUGUGGGAAGGGAACGGAAUCUUCUUCACAUAUUCGAGCAGGUGAUGAAGAAAUUUUAAUUGGGGAAGCUGAAUUCAGCUGCAUACUUUUCAUGGAGGGUUAUUGGUGUGGUGAUUGGAGCAUGACAAAAGCUGCAUGUUUAAGAUUAUGAACGGACCCAGAAAUUUUAGAUAGUGCAGACAACCAAUAUUUAUAAUUUUAAAUGUAUAAAUAUACAUUUUCUCAAAAUAAAAAAUAUAAAUAUAGAUCUAAUGAUUUUUUUUUCAUUUUUAGUGUAAAUGAAAAUCAAUAAAUUGAGAAGAAAAUCAAAGUUCCCAAUUCUUAGGUGACAAUGUGGUUGUUGCUUCUCUCACUGAUUGAAAAAUUUAAGGUGUCUCAUUUUUGUUUUUUAUUGAAAUUUGGGUUCUCGUUAUACAAUUUGGUAAAACCGUAAAAGUAAAGUAUUAUUAAUAAUAUCGUUAUGAAUUAUCGCAGUGAAACCCAACCAUAAAAAUCUGCAUGGUGCAUUUUCAAGGCAAAAAUACAUAAGAAAAGAUGACUACAACAUUCAUCCCCUCCAAAACAAAAGACGGUACCUAAGAAGGGAGUGAAUCACCCGACGACAACAUACCAAUAAAAUGCACAUAAGAAGUCAGUAAAAUGCACAUAGGAAGUCUGUGAUAAAAAAAUUUCCAUAUACAAAUACUUACCUAAGAAGGAGUCAAGUUUUUCAAAUCAGGGCAAAUGCCUUCUGCAAAAAUAAUUUGAAGUGUGACUAGUAAUUUGAUGUGUAACAUAUAUUUAGUUUAGAGGGACUUCUUUUUUUGUUUAACUGUACUUUUGGAUUCUUUAUUUUACUAAGCUCACUAAAAUAAUUCCUCCUUUUCAAAAACAAACUUCAUUGGUCACUUAAAUAUUUCAUGUGCCCCUUGAUAUAAGACACCCUAUAAAAUAUACGGAUUUUAAUAAAAAUAGUUGUAAGAAUAAUUUUGUAAAUAAUGUUUGUUAUAUUUACAUCAUUGCCCCAAACAUUUAAUGAUAUUGAUUAUGAGAAAGUGAGAGGGAUUAUAUUUUUAAAAGGAAAUGUUAACGAGUGUCUCUAGUUAUUGUUAAAGGACUUUAAAUAGUAAGUUUUGUGAAAUUAUGAGUAUUCAAUACAUUUGAAUUUAAAGUGUUUGCAUUUUUUUUAAAGAAGCAUUUAUAAACCUAGGAUCCUUGUGUAAUGUAUAAUUUGAAAAUGGAUUUUGCUAACGAUUGCACAUGGGACAUUGUUUAAGGAUCCUAAAUUUAGAAAUUACUAUUCUUUAAAAAAAUCAAACACUUUAAAUCCCAAUACAAUGAAUACUUGUAUUUUCAUAAAAACUUACUUUUUAAAGUCCUUAAACAAUGACUCAAAACACUCGUUAGUAUUUUUCUUUAAAUUGUUUGUCUAACAUGUACAAUAUUGCACAUGUUAAAACAGCUAAAAUUAACAAUAAUUUAUUCAAAAGUUAUAUAUUUAUUUAAUAUAAAAUGGGUACUAAUACAAACUUAGUAUUUUAAAUUUCUAAACAUUAAAUUUACACAUAAUAAAAAAAAAACUAUUUAGGUUAAAGUACUAAUUAAGGACCGUUCUCGUGAGCAUAGAUCAAUUAGCAGGGAUAUGCAGGUGCCGGGGUUCGAACCCCAAACACAUCAUUUAUUCACCUUUAAAAAGGUGAAUUCUAGCUCCUAAACUAGUUGGAAAAAAAAUUACUAAUUAAGGACCGAAGAACUUGUGCUUUCGAGUGUUUGUAGGUACCUGAACUAAUAUCUCCACACAAACCAGCAUUUUUUUUUAGUCAAGUAGCUUAGUCGCUAGAGCUCACACAAUUUAAUUAUGGAGAAGUGGAGUGUAUGAGGUUUGAACCUCGGCCUCUGCAUAUAAUAUGCAAUAUCUCUACCAACUGAGCUAAGCUCGUAGAGAUACAUAAACCAACAUUUUAAUCACCUCAGAUAAUAUAGAGUAGUGAUAUUUGAACAUCUAUUUGAAAUAACCUUUGUGACAACCUCUUUUUUCUCUCUUUUCAUUGGUCAAAAACAAUGGAGAGAGAAAAAGGAAUAGAAAGAAUAAAAGUAUAAUGUGAGUAUGUGAGAGAAAGUUGUCACAAAGUGCUUGUACAAAUAUCAUUUCUCGAUAAUAUAUAUAUAUAUAUAUAUAUAUAUAUGUAUGUAUGGGGUACUUAAAACAAAAUUGCAUUUGUAUUGUGAAUGAACAACUUUAUCAUCAAAGCUCGCUUGCAUUGCAAAUGCAACAGAGCAGAUUUGCACAUGGCAGCCCUUUCUCUCUUUCUGAUAUUCUGCAGUCAGCACGCAUUCGAGUCGAGUACGUGUUCUGUUUCUUUAAAACCCAUUCAUUGUACACGUGUACGGCUAUGGAUCUGGUCCACCAGCCUUUCCAUGUGGUCCUUCUUCAUGAGUACAACUGCGUAUUCACUGCACCUUAUUCACAAACACAUUUAAUUACUACCCCCUCAGAUUGUUUUAUUUUAAGUAUUUAUUUUAGAGUGAAUCCUCACCUUCGUCCUUGAAUUUUUACGGGUCGGUCAAAUUCAUCCCUUAAUUAUGUGAAAUAUCAAUCUAAUCUCUGAAUUUGUUAAAUGUCAAUCAAGUUAGUCCUUCUGUUCAAACGGAGCAUUAAUGGGACUGACGUGACCGUUAACCUCUCACAUGUCAGACGUCACGUUGGCAGGGACUAAUUUGGCCGAUAAAAACAAACAUUUCAAAGGACUAAACUGAUUGAUUUGCAGAAAAUGUUUUGGCUUUCUUUCCAAACGGCUCUUUUCUUCCCCAACGGCUCUUUAUUCCCCAAUUGUAUAAAAUUGUAACCCUAAUUGCACAAUCUUCAAUCUACACUCCAAAAUCACCAAAAUUUCCUCCACUAAUAAGUGGUUCAGUUCUUCCCCAAUUCAAAAUCUUCAAACCUUAACUUUUUCGCAUUGAAUUUGAAAGUCAAAAUCCUCAAAAAGUUUUGAAGCAAAAAUGAUGGGGGGUGGGAAUAUGGGAAAAAACAGUUAUGAAAGUCGAGCUUCAUCUUCAAGCUCCAAGUUUAAUGGUGAUGUGAGAAAAGAGGUUGAAGAUGAUUGAGGAAUUGUAACCUUUAUGUAAUAAUAUUUUCAUCAAAUCAGUCCCUGAAUUAUUGCUCUAUUCAUCAAAUAGAUUCAUACGUUAUAUUAAAAACCAUCAAAUAACCCCCUGAAUUGUUUAAUCAGAUAUCAAAUUGAUCCUUAAAGGAUAUGUGUACAAAAUAAACUAAAAAGGUCAGAACACAAAAAUUGAAACUGAAAUAUUACAUAAGCAAAAGUCAUAUGUACACAGAAACUUGAUAAACUAUAGGAAAUGUGUUACCUUUAACCACAACCGAACACAAAAACUUCACAGACGUGAGAAUCGCCAGAGAUGAUGAUGAUUUUGGAGGGGUGAGAAUGAAGAAAGUUUUAGCGGGAAGGAGAAGAGUCAAGGCCAUUUUUUAUGCUUAUGAGUGAAAUGUGAAGGAGGUAUGGGUAAUGCAUGGGCAAAAUGGGAAAGCAUGAAAAAAAUAAUCAGAAAAGUGAAAAUUUGACUUUUUCCAAUUGAAUCAAAUUAGUCCUUGAACACGUGGCUUCCUUCUUGCCACGUGUAUAAGACAACACAACAUACAGGACGACAGAUCAACAUGACUAACAGCGCACUUGGACGGAGGGACCUUUUUGAUGGAUGUCUGAAAAAUUCAGGGACUAAGUUGAUAUUUCGCAUAAUUGAAGAAUGAAUUUGACCGACGCGUGAAAAUUCAAGGACGAAUUUGAUGGUUCACUCAUUUAUUUUAUCAAAUUAUUUCCCUCUCUUUUUUUGGUACAAAAUUAUUUCUCAUUUUACAAAACCAAAAUACUAUCCCCGAUUCCAUUCAUAAGAAAAUAGUUUGUUUUCAAAAUAUUUAUAAUUUAGAUUUAAAUUCAAAAAAAAAAAACUGGCCUUCUAAAAGUAAACUUAUUCAGAAAAAGUUUCAACCAAAAAAUACUUAACUAAUGUUUGAAAUGUGUUCUUUAGGGUGAAGUGUUGUAUAAACUUUUUUGCAAGAUGGCGUGGAAGAUAACGGAGAUUGGAAUCUCGACCCAUGCAAAUGUUAAACAUUAGGUGAUAUGUAUCACAUUUUGUUUAAUGCAAAGCAGGUUAAUUGAUCUGACAUCUCAAAUGUGAUGUUGUUUUGAACAAAGCUCUCCCUUUAAAGGUUUUUUUUUAUUUGUUUGACGGUUGUUGCAUGAUAGGAUAUCAACGAAGGAAUAUUUAAUUCACCGUAGAAUUAUAUUGUCUAGUUCUAACCUGUAUUCAUAUGGUUGUGGGUUGGGAAAAUUGUCAAUCAUCUGUUGUUGGGUUGUACAUUUUAUAGGAAUAUCUAGUCACUUAUUUGACGAUGGUUAUAUAUCCACGCAGUGGGUUUGUCGCAUCUUUCUGAUCACCUCAUUAGAUUUGAAAAUUUAAGAGGUGACUAUAAAAAAAUCUAGGUUUAUGUUAAAACGAUUUGGUUGUCUUGUGUCUAGGUUAUUUUAAAGGGUAUAAAUUUCGUAUUUUUCAACAAAACGAGUCUUCGAUGCACCAUUUAAUUGACAAAGUGAAGUUAUCGCAACUUUUGGGGUUGAAAGUGAAAAAAUGAAAAUUUAUCUUUUGAUCAUCGGUGUUUGGGUUUUGUCACCUAGUGAUGACAUAUCAUCUUACCUUAUUUUUAACAUUUUUUUCAGUCUAUUUUAGUAGGUUUUACCAGCAAACUAGAUGAGUAUUAGAGCAAUUGCCUAUGGUUUCGGGACAUUUGUAAUGUUUUCUAUAUUUGAGUCUAUAAUUCUAUUCUUCCCAAAGCAUAGCAAUUUUAGAGGGUUCCUGAAGUAAAUCACGAAGAAUCAAGCAAAUCAGGCAAAUCAAGACCUCUGAAGAUUAUUAUGCUUUGGGAAGAUGAAGAAUGAAGAUUCAAGAGGCCUAAGAAGACUUUACUCAUGGAGGAAUUUUGUUCCCAAUGUCCAAGACAACUUAACCAUGAAGAAAACACCUCAACAUGCAAAGAUUACAUGAAAACAUAAAGUAACGCACUAAAGCGCCUGGCGCACAAAACGAAGCGCCUAGGCGAAUGAAAGUAAAAGCCUAAAGCGCCUGGCACAUGCAUUGGGGCGCCUAGCACAUGAAAGCUCCAGGCGCAUGACUCUAGGCGCCACGCGCCUGUGACUUGCGAAAAAAGUCGCUUUUUGUGACUUUUUCGCCCCUGAAAGCUCGUGAUUUUAGUCCAAGUUAGGUGGAAAUUUUUCCUAUAAAUACCAGUCUUCCUCAUUCAUAAUUUAUCGUUCAGAACUAGAGCAGUUCAAGAGGAAUUCUAGGAGCCAAGGAGGAGUUAUAUCUUCUUCUAUCUUUUCUAGGGUAUGCUUUUAUCUUUUAGUAUUUUUAUCUUAGUUAUCAUGUGUAACUAGAUAUCUAUAGGUUAAGGUUCCAAGAUGAACCUUUGUUUACUUUUGUUGGAUAAUUAUUUAAUUUAACGUCGUUUAUAUUUUAAUUUAUUUUUUGUUCGCUAUUAAGUUUUAUUUAGAAUUUAUUUAUUUCGUCGAGGUGCAACCGGCGAUUAGAUACUUAGGUUGUGAUAGAGCUUACCAUUGUUAUUACUAUCUGGAAACUUAUAUCUCGAUGUUUAUUUCCUUGUAGUAGUAACUAUCUCUUUAGGAAGUAAGUAAUUAGUAAACUAGAGAAAGAUAUUGAAAGAGAGUUGACCCCAUCAGUAAGUAUUUAGGAGGUGACAUUACUAAUAUUGAGUAAAACUUGUUGAACCUAUGAUGUAACUAGUUUAGUAAUUAGGGAAACAAGCACCGAGGGAAAUAAACAUAAGUAAGACUAUUGUCCUCGACCUCUAGAUAGGAUACACACUGAUAUGGUUGUUCGUUUGUAGAACUACUUAGGGGGAAGGAGAGUGUGCUACAAGUGUCUUAAGAUUCAUGGAUGAGGUUAACCUAAUGGAACAUUGACACUUCAUAGCCUUUGAAAAAACUGGAACACCAAUUUAAGUUUGUGGUCAGUUACCUUUGAAUUAACAAGAUCUCGCACGUAAAGAUCAUCGUGCGAUCAACAGGUGCAGUUAGCAAUCAGAGGGAUAGACGUAAAUCAACUGAAAUAAUAUAGACCUCAUACGUAAGGAUCAUCGUGCGACUACAACUUAACAACCGAUUAGAAUGUCUCAACGAUCUCAUCACUUAUAUUGAAGAGAAAUAGAGACAAAAUCAUUGAACACAACGUUACCCAAGUGUAACUCUAAAAUAUCUCGUAAUUUGUUCUUGAAAAAUCAAAUAUUGAAAUUAAAUUAAAAAAUAUUUAUGUUAUAAAAAUAGAAUUGGACGAUAGUCCUCCGUCAUGGAUGCGGGUCCUACGCGCCCCUAGGUUUGAUUCCUGUAUUCGUAGAGCCAUGUGAUGUGGGUCCCUCCCAUACUGCAAAGAACAUGUCAAUUUCAAAGGUCACCGUCACGUAAAAAUUGCAAGAAAGCUGGGAGAGCUGGACGACGAGAAUGUGAACAGUCCUUCUUCUUUAGAACAAGCUCCAUUGCUGACAGCUCAUCUGCCUAAUAUAAACAUGCCACCUUUCAAGGACAAAGAUUUUUGUUUUAUUUGUCUUUCUUCUUUUCUAAACAAAAGUUGAAGAAAUUAAUUAAUUAAUUAAUUAAAGAUGAUACUCCACCACCAAUAACUAUUUUAUAAGGUCCUUAUUCUUACUAAACAAGUGCUUAUGUGUGGUCCUUCUUCCUUACAACUUUAUAAUCAUGAGAUUGUUGAUAACGGGAAUCUUAAUCCUUUUAAAGCAAACCUCUUAUGCUUGUCAAUUGAACUACACUAACUAAAUUAGGAGAUAGAUGACCAUAAACGUAUAUGCGUGCUUGUUUGGUCAUAGGGUGGAAACGUGAGUUUAACCAAAGCUAGAAGAAAUUCUUGCUUCUUAAAAUCACGGUGGCUUUUGUAAUUGUCUUACCCAUGCCAUUUAUUUUUGGAUUAAAUAUGUUUUUGAUUCCUAUAAAUAUGUCAAUUUUUUAUUUUAGUCUCUCUAAAAUUUUCCUUCAACUUUUAGUCCUAUAAAAUUUUCAAUCUUCAUUUUUGGUCUCUCUUUUAAAGUAAACUCAUAUGUAUAAUUCAUAUUUUUUAAUAAAAAUUUUCAGAAAAAUUCAAAAUAUUAUAAAAAUCACUCCAAAAAACAAAUUAGAAUUUUUUAACAAAAUAUGAAUUUAAUAUGAAUUUUUAUAUUUUUUACGGUUAAAAAUUCAUAUUUAAUUUGUGUUUUGUUAAAAAAUUCUAAUUUUUUUUAGAAUAUUUUACACAUUUCUUCACAAUUUCAUUAAAAAAUACAAAAAAUAAAUUAAAAACAGGGGUUAAAAGUAGUGAUUGAAAAUUUUAUAAGGACUAAAAGUUGAAGGAAAAUUUUAGAGGGACUAAAACGAAAAUUGACAUAUUUAUAAGGACCAAAAACAUAUUUAACAUUUAUUUUUUUAGGAGAUCUUACAAAUGCCUAUUAUUAACAUAUGAAAUGAGAAGUUGAUUAAGACAAUUUUCCAUCCAAAUAUAGCCUUAAAAGUUUCUAUUGUCUUGCUAACUGAUGCUUUGGGAUACUGACUAAGAAAUUCAAAAAUAUAAUUUUUGUCUUAAAAAUAUAAGUUGUAUCUACUUUUGAUUAUGUUAUAAUUAAACAACUUUUUAAUAAAAACUUGUUUCUUUUGAUUGUUUAACCAAUGACUCAUAGAACACUAUGUAACAUUGUUUUAAAAGUUAUUUGUAUCCCUAAUUGCGAAGAGGUAAUUCAUGAUCUUAAAAUUUGAAAAGCAACUGUUUUAGAAAAUUAUUUUAUUUUAAAUUUGGGUAUCACUUAUUGAUUAAUAAUAUAAUUGAUAAUAAUAAAUUGAAAGCUUCAACGGUUGAGGAAAACUAUCCCUAAAAAAAUUGAGGAAAACUAGUUUUUGUAUGUACAUUCGUGAUCACUGUGGUAAUUUUGUUCAAUGAAGAACAACUUGAGUCUCAUGUUGCUUAUCUACUUUUUGAAGUUGAAGCUAUGAUUCUUCUUGAAGCUCUCUAAUGAGUGAGAAAAUUAGGGCUACAAAAUAUCGUUUUUGAGUUAGAUAGUCAAAAUAUCGUUCUUGAUCAUGUCUCUGAAUUUGACGCUAUAUUUAAUUUUGGCAAGCUCCUCCUUAGUUCUUUUUAAAAAUUAUAUAGUCGUAAUUUUGUCAAGAGUUGGCAAAUGGUGUAGCUUACUAUUUAGCAAGGGAUACAGCAUUUAUAGUUAAUCUCAAUAAUUUUUAUCAUCCACCACUUUGUCCCCGUUGAUUUUGAGAGAAACAAUGUUGCUCUAUACUAGAUCGGACGAUUAAGAUGAGUAACUUUGUGAGCAAUUUUAUUUUUUGGUUAAAUAGUUUAGCGAUUAGAGAAAUUCAUGUGAAUAAAUGGGGUGUUUAGGGUUUGAAUCCCGACCUUUAUUUAUAAUAUGCAUUAUUUCUUACCAAGUGAGCGAAACUUACAAAGACCUAUAUGAGUAAUUUAAAAUCCGACUAAAAUGAAAAUUGUCCCCAAGAAGGGGGAAUAAAUAGCGAGUUUUAUAAUUCCGCAUAUUUGCAAGUGGUUGCAUAUAAUAGAGCAACAGUACUAUCUUCCCAUAAUGUAUCAUUUAACUAGUAUAAUCUUGUCCAUAGGCCAUAGUUUAGCACUAAUCUAUAUUUGCGGCUUCCUUCUCCCACUUCAGGUGCUUCCCGUUGGUUCGCUUUUGCUAUAUUUUAUAUAUAUUCUUUAAUAAAUAAUCAUCGUUUGAUUCUCCAUUUUUAAAUCUCUCUUUUGCUAAACCUCUCAAUUUUACAUAAUAAAUUAUUAUGACCAUUAUUUGUAUCACUUUUCCUCUUUAUUUGGGGGUAUCUGAGGCAGCUUACACAUUAGGUAGCAUGUUCCACUUUCCCCUCACAAACAAAACCAUGUUAAUCUUUCUAGCGGCGGCACUUCAUUUUUUAUGCACAAAACGAAAGCAAUCCUGCAGCAUUUUUUACUCUAUAACUUGUAAGACAAGUUUAUAACUUACCGCGGAUACUUUAUAUUAUAAAUUUAUAAGUUCAUACGACUAAGCGUUUAUGUAUAUAUAUAAGCUAAAUUGUUUUUGUACAUGCUCUAAAUUGUUUUUAUAAGUUAUAUUAAAGAAUUUAAGAAAAUAAGCUGAUAUUUUAAUUAUCAUAAAUUUUUUUCCGAAGUUCUUUCAAACAUGCUCGCAAAAUUUAUAUCCGUAGAUAAACUCAAAUUAAUCAAUCCAAAUAGACCCUGAAAAAUACAUUUGUUUGAUAACAAUUUCUCAUACAAACUCAUAGUUUUUUUUUUUCUUUCUAAAAAAGACUCAUCUAAUUUCAUGAUCAAUAAUGUUAGCAAUACAAUGGAGAAUAUGAUCAAAAUGAUGGGAUUAGUCAUAAACAUGGUACUUUUGCAAUGUUAUGAGUUGUUAUAUUAGUUUGUCUUCGAAUAAAAAUAACCUCUUAGUUUUUAUUGGUAGCUAAAUUGAUCUACAUUUAGAAAUAAUGACUCCAAACACAUAUGGAAAGGUCUUCUUUAUUAGAUUUGAUACUAUGAGCCAUAACCUGUGUAUCAACUUCAAACAUAAUCAAUCCGAUCGAGAUUAAAACUCUUGGGCCAUUGAAGAGUCGUGAGCAGCCCCAUGGCACCUGCCCAAACCUCGAACCUCCAUGGCUUCCAGCACAUCUUUGCAGCCUUAAACUCUCUAUUAUCACCUCUAAAUUUAAUAGAAGCCCCAACUAUCAUUGUUUAGAAAAGACGCAUCUAUGUUAAUUUUAUUAGUGCUUGUUGGUAGUUUCUUCCGAGAAGAUUCAACAACAGCUUGCACUAGGUGAGAAUUUGCGACUAUCUGAAAUAUAUUCUCAAGAAUAAAUAUAAAAACUUGAAACAAAUUAUAUUUGUAUUACGUACACUCAUUUAUAUAUAUGUAUGUUAUUCACAACUAUAUGUGGUCUCUUCAAUAUCAAUGGUUAACUCACAACAACGAUAUUUGUAUUUCAUAUCGUACAAAGUGGAUCACUAAUACAUACUCAUAAUACGGACUUUUAUACUAUCUAUUGUAAGUGUACAUUUAAUAAUUUUGUCUCGAUCUCUUUUUUUAUCACAUGUAUCACAUCAAUUUUUUUUUAUCUUUUAUCUCUCAAGAUUUAUACAUGUUGUUUAUCAAACCUUUUAUUUAAAAAGUGAUAUGCAAAGAAGGUGGCAUUUCACAUGGGAAAGGUUAAUCCUUUCCCACCAUGAAACAAUUAAUUUUUAUGGUGAGAUUAAAGAGGAACACUGAUCUUACUAUAGUCUAACCACACUAUAUUAUUUUAUUUGUCUUCAACCUCUCAUCCAUGAUAACAACCCAAAGAAUUCUUUCAACUUCACUCAAAAUUCUUCCAAGUCACUGAACUUUUGGUGCAACCCAGAAAAAAAAAAUCUCAAUAUGAGGAAUUUGGGUGCAAACUAAUUUGAAACAUCAUGAGAAGGUGAAGGGAGUUUUGGUUUCUCAGUGUAAUGGUGCUGAUUUUUUUUUUUUUUUUUAUGGGUUAUUUUCAUGGUAUUUUGUUGCUAGAAAUCACUAAGCUUGAAGAAGAAUUGCAUGUCGAAAGUUCUAUCUUUGUCUUUGCAACUUUAGUUAGUUGCAAAAUUAAAACCCAAUAGAUUCCAUCAUUAUAAUCUCGCAUAAAAUUCAAAUGGGUUCAUUGUUUUGGUCGAUGAAAUUGGAAAAGAAGGAAUUUUUAAAAAAAGUGAUAGGGUGAAAGAAUUAAUAUACCUAGGAGGAUAGUUGCAGGGUGAAAGAAUUUUGAUUGGUGAGUUUGGAAGAAUUGUUAUCAUGGAUGAGAUGUUUUUUUGAAAGAAUCAUGGAUGAGAGGUUGAAGACAACUAAAAUAAUAUAGUGUAGUUAAACUAUAGUAAAAUCAGUGUUCCUCUUUAAUCUCACCAUAAAAAUUAAUUGUCCUAUGGUGGGAAAGGAUUAACCUUUCCCAUGUGAACACACACCAUGCAAAUAUUUUCGAAACUAUACUGUAAUCUUUUAAUUGCUACACAAAACUUUCAAGAUAUUCCUCUAGAAAAAAAAAAAAAAAAAACUUAUGAGAUAUUUUCCACCUUAAUGGGUAUGCGACCACCGUGGGAAAGAAAAACAAGUACAAUUAUACAAAGUCAACUAAUAUGAACAAGAGGUUAUCAAUUAGUACUACGAACUAGAUGAGGUGAAGAUUAAUCAACACUGAAUAUUGUUGAAACUUGAAAAGCAAAAUGAAGAGAUAGGAGACACGAAUUACAAGGUGUGAAAACGACCAUGGCUAUAAUAGAAAAGGAAGAAUGAGAGAGACCUCACAGUUAAUGACAAAAAAACUGGGGACUACUAAUUUUGGGAUUGUGAUUGUCCCACUCUUUUUAUAUACUUUCUCCGAUCCUUUUUAUUAUAAACAAAAGUGAGAAUUUUUUUGAUCCUUUUUAUUAGAAGAUUGAUCAAGUUUCAAAUAUAUUUGAAGUUAAAUUUCGUUUGUGCCCUUAUUGAUUAUGAGAGAGAAUAUUAAAAAUAAGUAAGUUGAUGGAAUAAAGAGUAAUUAAUUUAAAUGUAUUCAUAUAAUUUUUUUUAAAUGUAGAAAUGUAUUAAAUGAAGAUGACUAUUUUUAAUGUAUUUUCUUGAUGUUGAUGUUUUAUGUCUUUUGUUUCUUGUAUAAAGGAUAGAAGGGAGUACCACUUUGGCCAUUCACAUUUUCUUCACGUUUAAGGGGACUUCAUUUUGAUUGUGGACCACUACUCCAACACUUUUGGUGAUAAGUAACGAUUAGCUUAAAGUUAGUAGUAGUAUCACAAAUCACAGUGAUCAUUUUCUUGUGAUAACUUGGAUGGAUGUAGUAGUAGUUUUUUGGAUGACAAAAUAGGACUCAUAUCGAUUAAAUAUUUGCAAUAAAUACUCACAACAGAUAGUGUUAAAAUGUGUAUUAUGAGUAUGAAUGAUAGAGAGCACAAGACUCUUGAAGUAAACCAUUUAAUAAGAAGUUAAAUUAGCUCACAUAAAUUGAUAUUAGAGGAAGUUGAAUUUAAGAUUUUGAGAAGUAGUAUACUCUCAUAUCUCAAACCAGUACCAGAUCAACUUAAGUGAAUUUUUUUUAUCCUAUCUAGUUACUACUAUUACCUUAUAAGAGAACAAUUAUCAUGUUGGUAACACGAGAGAUACAGAGAAAAAAAAUAUUUGAUCUAAAUAAUUUUGUUUCACUUUUUUUAUCUAGCUUAAUACGAGAAAAUCCGAGAUAAGUAAAUGUAAAUUUAUUUGUAUGUGUUUUUUGUGUUUUAAAGUUUUUUCUAAUAUUGUAUUGAGACAGCAUCCUCUAACACUAAAUUUAUUUUAUUUUAAAUAAGGAAAAUUAGAUUAUUUCCCCUCCAUUUUUUAGGGGGUAUUUCCCCUCAAUUUAUGAAUAAAUGUUUUAAGGCUAAUAAUUAAUCUUCCACUUCAGUUUAUUAAUUUAUUUAUAGCUAAUUUUUGAACUGUUCUAGACUUAUGCCAUUGUGCCAUCACUGUUUCAAUGUAGAAAUAUUUCCUUUGUUUUGAUUUUCAAUAUUUUAAGGCAAUUUGUAAAAGUUAUCUUGAUAUUUCUAUUUCCGUUUUUAAAAAUAAAGAAAGUGACAGUGACACCCAUUUCAAACCUUUUUGAAAAAUUGGAGUUUAGUACAUGUCUUGCAUCGUCAGUGGGGACCUGCAGUUGAAAAAAUCAAUGCCCAAAUGUUAUAUUAUAGUAAAUUCUAUAUUUUAUUGUGUAUACUGUAUAUUGAUAUUUAUUUAUGAAAUUAUAAGAAAUUUGUUAGUAUUAAAUCUCACUUACGUCCACAUCCAACCAUCCAUUCCUAAUCCAAGUUUCAUUGCUUCUGCGUGAUGCUGAAAUACCAUCCAAGCUGAGCUAGGGGAUGCUUAUAUGGCUCGGCUAGUUAAUUGAGCUUCAAGUCUAAUAAGGUGAUUUUUUUUUCUUUUAAUAGAUUGUUUUCUAAAGUUGUUUGUUUUGACUUUAGUCUACAUUAUCCAUAUCUCUCUUAAUCGAAUCCUCUUCUAUCUAAAUAAUUUAUUUUAAUUUUUUUUGUGAAGUAAUCUAGUGGUUAGAGUUCACACAAUUAAAUUGUGGAGAAAUGGAGUGUCCGGGGUUCGAACCCUGACUUCUGCAUAUAAUAUGCAAUAUCCCUACCAAUUGAGCUAAACUCACAGAGAUAAUUUAUUUUAAUUAUUCAUUCAUAAUUUUUACUUAUCUAAAAUACACUAAUGUUACUAAAUACAAUAUCACUUAAGUGAAACAUGUUAGUUUUGAGAAUAAUACCGAAGGGUAAAACUAACUUCAAAAAAGCGGGAGUAAUAUAAGAACAAAUUCUUUUCAUUUGUAAGUUAUGAUUGAAAGCACAAUAAAGUAAAAGAGUUUUUUUUUUACUUGGUCUACGCUGAUGUGAUACCCUAAGUAAGGUGCCACUUGUUAUUUUUUUAAUAAAAAAAUUGGUUUUGGAGGACCAAAAUUGCUACAGUUGCAAAAUUUAGGGGACAAUUUAAUAGUUUUUUCUUAAGAGGUCAAAAUCACAACUUCGUAAAAAUUAAGGGCGAAAUCUACUAUUAAAUCUUAAUUUUACUUGCUGAUAGGAAGAUAUAAGACUCUUAAAGUGAACAAUUAUACCAAUACAUAUUUUUUUUGAAAAUAUUGUUACCUUUGUUAAUCGCAUUUCCAUUUAAAAGAAAAGGCUAAAAUAUGGUUUUGGUCCCUGCAAAUAUGCCUCGUUUUGGUUUUAGUCCCUGCAAAAAUAUUUUGUUGUUUUUGGUCCCUGCAAAAUAUUUUGUUUUUGGAAAUAGUCCCUGCAGGGACUAUUUCCAAAAACAAAAUAUUUUGCAGGGACUAUUUCUCUAAUAAAUGGUUAAGUCAUCAUGUGACACGUGUGCAAAUUAUCACAAAAGUGGAGCCAGGGACCAAAACCAAAAUGAGACAUAUUUGCAGGGACCAAAAACAACAAAUUUUUUUUGCAGGGACUAAAACCAAAACGAAGCAUAUUUGCAGGGACCAAAACCAUAUUUUAGCCAAAAGAAAAUAAAAAAAAACAUACCAGAACAAUUGACGCAGAAGAUGCAAACAAAAUUGCCUUCGUAUUUGUUCCAUGCACAUUGCAAGAAAAAUGUCAUUUCAAUUGGUUUAUUGUUUUAUGGAGUUUAGAUGCUGGGAUGGAGCUCGAAGGGAGAUCAGUAGAGGCGGAGUCCUUCCAAGUCCAGUAGUAUGUUAUAUUAUUUUAGUCUUUAUAUUUAUGUUUUUGUGUACUUUAUAAGAUAUCGUCGUAUACUCUCUAUUUUUGCUCGAUAAAUUGAGUCAUUUUUUUGACCAAACAAUCUAUUGAGUUAUACACUUAAUUUAUUUAUUUUAUUUUUUUGUUGAAUAAAAUAAGCUAAAUGUUCAAAGAAAAUUAAAAACCCUUACGAAAAGAGUACAAGUUUAAUCCCCAAAUAUGAGCAAAGAUAGGAUAUUCAUAACUAAAUAAAACAUAAUUAAAGGAAAAGAUUGACUAAGACCAUAUUUGACAGGGCCAACCACUUAAUUAAAUUAACAAGAAAUAUGUUCACAACGAAAACCAUACGACAAAGAAUAUCACAUUAAUAUGAGACAAUAAAUGAUGAAAACACGUAAAACACUCUCAUCAUCAUCUCAUCAAUCAUUUUAAUGGACAAGAGAGAAUCACUUUGUACAGUGACUGAAUGUUGAAAUUGGGGCCUAACUCAACCCCAUAAAACCAGUUUGUAAGGUGGGGAUUGUCUCCUCUUUACAUACUCUUCUCAAAAGUCUUAUCUAUUCGAUGUGGGACUUGAGUUUUUCCCAAUUCACCCCCUCACGCCUAGCACUCUUUUGUAACGAUGAGUUAGGCCGCUAAUUUUAACAUGGUAUCAGUGCUUGUCAAAUUUAAGGGUCACCUAAACCUAUUCACGCACCAAGCUCAAAAGAGUUAGUUCAAAGACAAACGAUAUCAUUGAUAAUGAAUUGACACACGUGUGGAUAUUUAGAUUGUUUAAGUAAAUGGUUGUUCAAUCUUCGACUUUUAAAAAAAUUAAUUUGAAGGAGAAAAUUCAUCUUAUGUGUCCAACAAAUUCUAUAUUCACAUCUAAAUAGGGUAAAAGUAAGGAUAAAAAACACUUUGAUUUUGCACAUGUACAAAUCCUCUUGUCUUAUAUUCUCUUCAGCGUUUUCAACCAAACAUGUGCACUUUUGCUCAUGUGUCGGCAAUUUUAUUUAAUUUUGUUGUGAUCAAAAUCUUGUUCUCUCUGAAAUUAAUCUGUUCAAACCUCUUGUCUCUUCUUUAUUCCAGACUAGAUGGUGACGGGCAACUACUGGUAUGAAUUAUUAAUGUAAUAAACUAUGGAAGAAAAUCUGUUCAGAAAGCAUAAAAUCUUGUAUUCUAUUCUCGUUGCAAUAUAAAAUUACUGUCAAAAUUCAAAUAUUGUACUCUAGGUUUCAUUCCUAUUUAUAUUCAGACAUACAUUAAAUUGAUCGCAACCAAUAUGAAGUUGCCAUUUGAAAAACAGAAAUGCUAUUUGGACUUCAACACUAUAUUUCAUUCCUAUUUAUUUUCAGACAUAUAUUAAAUUGAUCGCAACCAAUAUGAAGUUGACAUUUAAGAAGCAGAAACGCUAUUUGGAUUUUUCUUUUUAUUUAGUUUAAGUGGCAUGUAAAUAAAUUAUAUUUCCACUUAUCUCGUAAGCUUAAAUCAGUGGUAGAGAUAUUGCAUAAUAUAUGCAAUGGUUGAGGUUCGAACCUCGAACGUCUUAUUUAUUUAUUGAGAAUUUCUAACCAUUAGACUACAUGAUAAAAAAAUUAUAAUACAACUUGUGUUCGUAUUAGUAAAGUUGAUGAAUUGUUCACAUGUUUAUAAUAAUCUUGUGCGACUAUUCAUCAGUUUAGCGCAAAGCUAGCACCUCGAGUAUUGUACUUGAAGUGAGUGCAAUAUUAAAACUAGAGUUUAAUAUCUAAUUAGGUCAUGCCUUGGAAAUGAUUCAAAGGUGGUGUUUAUAGCUUUUUUGGCCUCUUAUUCCGCGACUUACUCCCUAAGUCACUUAAGAUAGGGAAAACACACAUAUCUCCCUAUACCCGAAUAUUUCGGCCGAAUGUUUAGCCUUAAUGUUUGAGUUUUGCGGUUUCAGAGGAUAUAUAAGGAAAGAGGGGCGCCUUAAUGCAUGUAGGUGGCGCUCUUGCUAAGGGCUAGCAUGACCUUAUGUGAAUAUUGGCAUUCCACAGCCCCCAAGCAUGAGUACUGGUCAAGGGCGAAGUAGUUUGUAUUAAUUUUGACGGUCCACAGUCUAUCAAGCACAAGUCCUAGUUAAGGGCGAAAUGGUUUAUAUUAAUACUGACAAUCCACAACCUUCCAAGUACAAGUCCUAAUUAAGGGCGAAGUGGUUUGAAUUAAUAUUGGCAGUCCAAGUACUAUUUAGAAUUCAACACCACAUUUAGUUUGGAAAAAAGAAUUUGAAAUCAUAAUGAAAAUUAGAAACAAAAAAAAAAAAAAAAAAAGGUAAAAUUGGUCGCUCUUAAAAUUAAAUUUGGUAGUAUUAGUGGUUUGGUUGUUAAGACAUUUUAUAUAGUUUUGGAGUUUAAAUUGAGAUCUCUACACUUUCCUCUCCGGUGAAAAUUAAGAAAAAUGAUAUUUAUAUAAUUAUUGUGACAAAAUUUAGACCACUCUCUCUUUCAUACUCUCAUUUAAUUGUUGGUGAUUUGAUCACAUAAUUUCUUUAAUGAAUGACCGAAACAAUAUAACUUAGUUGAAUCUUGGAAUCUUAGCGGGUUUGAUCCUUGUCUAGCCUACUACAUAUAUAAAUAUCCUGAUUUUACUUCCUAAAAAAUUGUGAUUCUAGAAUUUAUUUAUUUAAUACUAUUUUACGUUUAUGUGGAUUACAUAGUUUUUACUUCAUUUGAAAGUAUGGAAAUUACAUAACGAAGUUUAGGAAUAUUUAUUUAAGACAACAAUCUACAUUUUUUUUUUGUCAGGUAGCCUAGUAGUUAGAGCUCACACAUUUAAAUUUGGAGAAAUGGGAUGUCCGAGGUUCGAAUCUCAGCUCCCACAUAUAACAUGCAAUAUUCUUACCAACCUACAUUUUGUUUUAAAUCGAAUAAUAUAUUGAAAGGAUCUAGUCCCUCGUUUUUUUUUAUAUAAUUACUACCUUUAUAAUUUUUUAUUAAAUUUUCUUUUAAUUAAGAUUAUCAAAUUCUCAUAAUUAAUCUACUUAAUAUAUCAAUACUAGAUUAUAACAAGUAAAUUUGGACUCGGGUCUAUUAAGCAAAGUUUUGGUUUGGGUCUUGUAAAUGAUUUAGAUUUUUUUUAAUCGAGUUGAUGAUGGCAAGACCCAUGGUAUUUAAGUAAUGUUCGUCCGGAAAUUUUACCCCAUACCCCUACAAUUAUACUCUCACCCCUACAUUUUAUCUGAACUAUCUAUUUUACCCUUUUAUAAAAUUUAAAAAUUUCAGUUUUUUUUGUCACGAUUUCUCAGCAUUUUAUUUUGUGUGAUCGUUCGAAAAAGAGAUUACAGGGUUUUCCGUUUUCUUGGAUUUUCAUCACGUUUCAUCAUCAUCAUCUCAAGAUAGUGAUUUAAUCAUGAAUUUGUUAGUUCUAUUUGUUAAUAAUAAAUUUGUUUUGCUGCUCUAAUCAUGAGUAUUCAUUUGUUCUCUUUCAUGCCCAAAAUCAAUUAAAAGAAGGCAUCGACUCCAUAACUGAUUACAAUCUUACAGAUGUAGAAUUAAGCAUUAAACCAUGGGUUCGAUGGUAUCGAUGAUUUAAACGAUAAUAAAAUGAAUUACAUAAUAGUUUUCACUGCUUUUGGGACAAAAAUUAUAACCGGAAAUGUUGAAAAAACGUUUCCAGAAAAUACAUACAUGUGGUGUGGGGGUGAACUCAUGGAUUUGAAAAUGUUGUAAGUGAGGGUGAAAAAUAAUUGUGCAAAAAGUUAUAUGACAAAAGGGCAAUAAUGGAUUUUUUUAUAAUUAGUAAGGGUGAAGGUAAAGAUGUAGGGGCAUGAGGUAAAAUUUCCUGUUCGUCCCUAUCGUUGUGAAGUUUGUUCUAUUUAAGCGAGGCUCAUAAAGAAAGCAAUUCUUAGUCGGGACGAGUAGGACAACGUCAUAUUAAAAUUGAGAUUGUUCUUUAAACAUUUAACAAUUGCUCACAUAUAUUUCAAACUAUUGAAAAUACUUCCACCGAGUGUUAACUGCCGUAGCAUAACAUUUUAAGUCGGUUGAACUGGUUCUGAUGUUUUUUUUGGUGUAUGUUUAAAUAGCAACCCCUAAUAAACAAGGCAAGGCUGGCCUGCUGGGGUCCAUUGAAAUGAAAUGCACAUCUUCUAUCUGCGUUUAACUUUCAGUUAUGGCACGAAUUUGAAUAGAACAGAAAAACUACUCUUUUUAUUGGUGUGUGUUCAGAGUUGGAAACUUGGGAUUUGAAAAACGUAACCAAACAUAGCACGCAUGGGUCAUAUGUAUGUAGGGGCGAAGGAUGGAACUAUAGUAAUUAAAAUUCGUCUAAAAAUGUAGGUUCAAAAACAAGUACUUUUUAAGUGAUUAUAAAAUUACAUGAACUGAUGAAAGUCAAAUAAAUUGCAAAGGGGAGAAUAAAAGAGACCGUCAAUUUAUAAAAUUUAAUGUGAGAAUAUAUAUUCUCAAAUCACGUGAAUGUUUGGCAUAUGUAGUCUUAGUUCCUUGUAUAUCACAUUCGUAUUUUCAAGUUUGUUACAUAUAUAUGGAGAGGUCAUAAAAAGAAUAUAUGCAUGGAUCGAUGAAUGUACCUAGGAAUUCAAAGGUGCAUGUGUUAUAAUUUAUAACCGACCCCAGCUAUAGCUAAAUUGAUCUAAGCAAUGUGUUAUAUUGUGCAACACAAGGGUUGGAUGAGCUUCUUUCCACAUGGACUAAGACAUGGUUGGUGGCAAAUAUCAAGUAGACCCAGAACUACUGGCAAAGCCACUUACUUAUGUCACAUCGAAACGUUGCAUGAUUUGCAGGAGAAAGAAGGUGAAAGUGAAAUAGUACAAACAAAACAAAAACAAAAUACGACAAACCAAGAAUAAUGGCUUUUCAUUUAGAUCUAUACCCCAAUACUUUCUAGAUCUCAUGGUAGCUACUAGGUAGGGACUAGUAAAUUAAUUUGUUACUUUGUGAAGGAUUGUUUUCUUUAUCAUAAAUAUUUUUCACAACAUCAAUAGUAUGUUAUAGUGUUUUCAAUUUGUAUAUAUUAUUUUUUCUCUCAUCUCGGUUCCACCAAAGGAAAAAAGAUCAAGAGAGAUAGACACAUAUUUUAGAAGAAGUGAGAAUGAGAGAGUGAUUGAGAGAAGAUGAUCUAAAUUCAAACAAUACAGAUUCUUUAUAAGUUACAUAAAUAAUUGCGUAAUGAAACUAAUUUAAGAAAUUAUAUAUAAUAUUAGACCUUUUUAUUUUUCAUACCUUGCAAUCCGUUUUUUUUUUCUUUUUAAUUUCUUUUAAGUGAGUAGGAUUUCAAUAACUCACCGGAACUAGGACAAGAGAUAUGUCGUCUCAAGACUCGUGUUAAUAGUGAAAGUUGAAUCCAACAUUCUCACGAAAUAUGAUACAACUUCUUAUCAACGGAAUCAUUUUUGGUUUUAAAGUAGUUUAGUGAUUGGCUGAGCCUUGGCACAACGAAAUUGUUGUCGCAUGACUAAAAUGUCACAAGUUCAAGUUUUGAAAACAACUUCUUCUGCAAAAAGCAGGGUUAAGCUACGUACAAUAUAUCAAUUUGUAAUUUUGUAGGACCCAUUCCCAAACUUUGCAUAUAUGUUAGACCUUCAAGGUACUGAGUUGUCCAAGUGGUUUAGACGUUUAGUGACUAGAAUUUCACUUUUAUAAACUUAAGGUUUAAUGAUGUGUUUCGUCUUUGCAAUUAGGCGUCAUUUAAAAAUUAGUCCCUUUAAUCGCUAAUCCUGGCAAUUUACCCUUGCAUUGUUUAAUCAUUUAAAAUUUCGUUCUUUGACCAACUUAAUCACCGCCAAGUCAUCAAAUUAACAAAAUGGCAUGGGAAUGAACAAAAAUACCCUCGUCUUUAUUAUGAGAAGAAGAUGAACACAGGGGUAAAAAAUGUCAUUUCACGAAUGGAUGACGAGGGUAUUUUUGUCCAUUCUAAUGUCAUUUUGCUAAUUCAAUGACGUUGGAGUGAUUAAGUUGGUCAAAGGACGAAAUUUUAAAUGAUUAAACAAUGCAAGGGUAAAUUAUCAGAAUUAACGAUAACAGGAACCAAUUUUUAAAUGACGCCUAAUUGUAAGGAUGAAACACAUUAUUAAACUUAAACUAAACUAAAUAAUAUCGAUAACAAGUGAGUUAUAUUCUCGGAUUCUUCUUGUGGUAACCCGUGGUCCCGUUGCAGUUUAUGGUUUUCAUUUUCUGGCCAUUUAUGAAUUGUGGAUCAAAGCUAACUUAUCGGGCACGCACGGUCACUGAAAAGAUUCUAAUGUCAGCCCAUCAUUUUCUUUUCUUUUCUUUCCUUUUCAUUUCCCUGCCUCCUUUCAGUUUCACCUCUCUCUAUUGUCCACCUCAUGAAUCACAGUUUCACCACACAUUCUUGAGCUUAUGAUCACUCACAUAAAAUAAUAGCUUUAUUUAAACCUAGAUUUCCGUGUAUACUUUUUCUUUUUUUUGAGAGAAGCGUAUACUUUGUUCUCAUUCUCAUAUUUUAACAUUGAAUAUAUAUCCAAUGAACAGAAUAAUACUAUUCUGGUAAAAGUUUUUCUCUAAUAUUAUGGCUAUAUGUUUGAAGUUUGUACUGAAGUUAAUGGAAACUAAUUAGAAAUGAUGAUAGAUUAAAAAAUCAAAAAGAAGGUUAAACAGUGUCCCAAUAACAUUAGUUAAGUAGUUAAAAAAAAGUAUUUUUUUUAUUAAAAAUUUGUGUAAUUAUUACUUAAUAAAAAAUAAUAUCUUAUAUUUAUAAGAUAUAGUAUUUAUAUCGGAACAUGUUAUAGGUUUGACUCUUAUUUAAUGCGUUAAUGUUUUGACAUCAAGUCCACUACAUUGGUUUUUUAAGGCAUUGUCCGCUUUUGAUCUUGUGCGAGCUCUUUAAAUUUUGUCGUUUACAAAAGACAACUUGUUGGAUAUUAUUGAUAAUCUUCGUUUGUUUCUAAACUUUUCUUAACUAAGAUUCUUAAGCAAUGUGAGCCUUUUUUGGUGUAGCUAAACAAAUAUAUGCCCAAAAAUCUAAAUAUCAAUUAAAUGUAAUAAAAAAGUGGUAUAAAAAAAUAGCUUUUUCUGUUGAUUAAUUAAAGGGAGUCUGUACGAUAUUAGUGUAUAAGCCAUGACAAAAAAUUGUACUGUAAAAUUGUGAAGCUGGUGAUGAUAUUAUAAAUGUCAUCCCAAAGAGUUUGGACCAUCCUCAUUUUCACGAAUAAUAAAACUACAGGAUAGAGUAGCUCAAUUGUACAAUUAGUAAUAAACAUUGAAGAAGUAGUCACUUUAGUCUCUGAAUGGAAAAUGAGUAGUCACUUUAGUCAGUGAAAUUGCAAAAUAGUUCAUGAAUGUAAACUUUAUUGGUCAAUUUCAUGGACUAAAGUGAUUAACGGAGUCUAUAUUCAGGGACUAAAUUAACUAACGGAAUCUGCAUUCAGGGAUUAAAUUGACUAACAAAGUCUACAAUCAAUGACUAUUUUGCAAUUUAUCUACAUUCAGGGACUAAAAUGGCGACUUCUUUCAUAUUCAGGGACUAAAGUGACUAAUUUUUCAAUAAAGAUUGCUUUAAAAAUGUGUCAGCGAGAGAUUCAAGACUAUUGACCAAUGUACCAAACAUAAGCUUUCUGGUAUCUUCAUCACUCUUACAUUAAAAUUAUUCGUGUCACUUUGACCAGAACAUUAUCCUAUUAAGAUGAGGAUUGAGGAAAAUAUAACAGUGGCACAACAUAACUAAAUAGAUAUAUACACGAUACAUAAAAAUAACUGUAGUUUACUAUUGUGUUGGGUCAUGAGGGGAGCUCGGGGACCAUCCACAUCCUCAAGUCGAUUGCACCGUCGUUGCCGCAAACGGAACGACACCGAUUGCACCGUCGUUGCUGCUUUAUGCACAAACGAACCGGCUGUCUCGAUCGCAUCCUUCGACGAAGGGGGCUCUGAUAUCAGAGUUGGGUCAUGAGGGGAACUCGGGGAUCGUCCACAUCGAGGCUAGAACAACCGCACAAGUAAGAAAGACACCACACUCUUACCCAAAACCUUAAAGUAAUGGAUUUAUGGGUCCUCUUUCUUAUAAUGUGUUCAACCUUUACUAUUUUAUCCGAUGUGCGACUUAUAACUCACACUUGUGCACAACAACAUAUUGAAGUUGCCUGAGUUUGAGGCAACAUUCAAGCAAAUGUAGUGUUGGUACAGAUUUGCAUAAUUCACAAAGUGGUAACAUGGUAGUCAAAUUUAAAUUUCAAUGAUAGCUUAUAAAGAAAGACAUCUCUCAUCUUAUAAGCUUAUUUUUUUUAAAAACAAAUUAAAAUCAAUAAAAAAAAAAAUAUAACAUGGUAUCAAAAUCUGUCGAUUUAAGUUUUCCACCAUUUAUAUUCAUGCACCAAACAUAGUGAAACUGGAUAAAAACAGUUUUAUUUACAACUAAUUACUAUAGUUAGAUAAAUUGAAAUAAAUAAGUGGGGUUUUAUUUGUUAUCUCGAAAGACCAUAACAACAUGAUUUUCCAUUAUAAGAUGGACCAGCCGAUGACUAUAGCUGAAAAGGUUAAAACCAAAAAUUCAUGAAGGUCCAAAAUUAAAAAAAUCUCGGUUUAUCCUUGCAAUAUUCUUCGAUUUUGUACAGUCAAAAUUCAUGAAGGUCCAAAACCAAAAAUCUUCAAAUUACAAUGACGAAAUUCAACUUUUUUACAUGAAUAAAAUUGAAAAUAACCUAUAUUACAAGUGGAUAAAACACUAUUAACCCUAUUUUGGAGGUUACAACCUUUAUGUUACUUACAAAUUGUUGUGUAAUGUUCCUCUUCUUUUUUUCUUUUUUAUUUUUUUAUUUUUUAUAUAUAUUAUCACUGGAUUGUUUGUAGCCUAAUUGUUGUGUAAUUAUAACUUCUCAGUUUCUUCCAGCACGUCGACGUGCUACGUCGACGUGCUUAAAGAACUGUGUUGUUUUUCUUUAAUAUAAUUUUGCUUAAUUUCUUAAAAGAAAAUGCUGCACUGAAUUUUAAAAGUACAAAUAAUUGAAGAUAUUGGUUUAGCAAACUUAUAGAUUUAAAAAAAAAAAAAAAUUGCAUUGCAAAACUCAAUGUUUUAACUUUUCAAACAUUGAAUAUACAACUUUAAAUAAUAUUGUGUUCGCUAACAUGUUAGCACUUUUAAGGACCUUUAACGAUCAUAUAUUAUGAAAAUUGUGUGUUAAAUACACUACAAAUUGAAGUAUUUAACGAUGAUGUAUCUAGUCUAUAUUAGAAACUAGAUAUAUUAUUUAUUAAAUGAAUCUGAAAAAUUAUCUUUCUCUUAUAAAUGAGACCGAAUGAAGUACCCCGAAACAUUUAUUAAAAAGUUUGGUUUUUUUUAUAAAUUAGCAUUUUUUUCGUUGGUAAAUGUUUUUUCAUCGCCCACUCACCGACUUCAUAACGUGGUUCAUUAUAAAAAUUGCUCUUUAUACAUUUAUAGUUUGCUCUCACACAUCACGAAUUGACCAUUUUACUCAUAACGAGGGUUAAUUAUCGUUCGUUGAUCAACGUUGUCAUUUGCUUCCUACAUUCGUUUAACUGUCGUCGUUCAAUUGAUAUGAGUUUUUCACAACACAGCAUAUAGUUUACCACUUUCCAUUCUUGAGACGCAUACAAUUAAUAUUACAAUUUACAAAACUACAAAAGCCAAAGUGUUAUUUUUUGAGGAAUAUAGAACUAGCAACUAGCAAAUUAAAAAAUCCUCUCUUAUUUAUGACCUCAAAUUUUCUAUUGGAAAAUUAAAGAUGUUUGGUUUUGCUGACUUUUUUUUUUUCAAGUAGAUCAGCGGCGGGAGUUCACACAUUUUUUUAAUAUAGUGAAGUGGGGUGUCCAAAAUUCGAACUUCAACCUCUACAUAUAUUAUGCAUUGUCCACAUAAACUGGAUUAAGCUUACAGACACAUUUACAUCAGUGUUGUUAUUACAACAAGUGGAAUUUAAAAUGCCUUCAUAUAGAAAGAGGGCUCAAUCAGAAGACAGAAAUAGCAUAAAUUACACGUGAGUGGCAGUUAAAUGUCGUAGGUGAGUGACAGUAGACUAUGAAUGUAGUCAGUUCAGGGUGUCUGAAAGUAGACUAUGAAUGUCUAAAGAUCAAUUUUCGUUCAGUAUUUUCUCAUGAAUUACUCUAGGAGUCCAUUAAACUCACACUAAGUAUGAGACAAAAGAAAAGCCGAAGUAGUAUAAUGCCUCCGUUGCUAAUGCUUUUAUUGUAUUCUUGGGACGGAGGGAGUAACAUAUGUAUUUAAGGUGCCAAAGAUGAAAAAUACUAUGUAUUGGAGUAAUUACUAUUUAUAAAAUCCUUGUGUUCUAAAUAAAAACAUGUGAUUACCAAGAAAAUAUUUGAUCUGGUGAGUAUUAUGUGGGCAAACUUUGAUUUUGGUGUGGGUCAUCUCUUCUUUCUUUUGUCAUUUAUUUGCCUUUUUAUGUCGAUGCCUAAAAAUAAUUUUAUUUAUCACAUCCACACGUGUGCUGCCUUUGACUAGCAACAUGUUAUCCCCCCAAAGUCAAAGGACAAAUGUUGACUUGGCUGCUUUCGUAACUCGUAAGCUAGAAGAAAUAUUUCCCACGUAUUCUUCUUCUUGUCCACAUAUUCCACAUGUCAAUUCAUAACAAUAAAAUGCAUCAUUCAAUUUUAAUACGUUGAAAGUUAUUAGUCAAUCCGAAUUAGGGAGGAUUUCGGUAGGUUUGCAGAGUAUAUGUAUUUAUACCUGUAUAAAAAAUUAUUGAAUCCUACUUAAAUUUGUAUGAAUGACAAUUAUUGUAUAUAAAAUGGAUAUUGUAAAGGUUAAUUCCUCAAGUGGAAUUAAACAUCAUAAGCUAAAGCUUUUACUCAAUUAUAUCGCAUCAUCAUGGCUCAUUCAAAUUUGAGACUAUUGAUCUAGUUGAAAGAGACAUUUGAUCUCGUCCAAAUGAUACUAGAUGAGAUAUUUUACUGUUUUAGGCUUUAGCAUUGAUACAUAUCUUUGAUAAAUUAAAAACGGUAUUUUUCUUAAAUUGAAUUACGUCAGUUUCCUUGAAUAUAUAUUACGUUAAAAACGAUUAACGAAAAGCAUCGAGAAGCAAGAUAAGAUUAGAUUGGACGCAGUCAUAGAACUUCAUUUUUUUUUUUCAUCCCUAAAUAUGAUGACAAUAUUAUUUAUUUAUUUGACUGAAUGAUAAAAAUAUUGUUAAUUAAUUAGGUGAAAACAUGAAGUUUCGGAGAAACACACACUUUAUGCAUUUCCUAUGAAUUGCAUCAACGACAAAUGAAUCUAUAAAUACGGCAAAACGCACGUACAAAACAAAACACAUAUAUUAAUUAGUCAAUCAAUAUGAAGUUGUCAGAGUUAGAAGCAGCAGGAACAAAGUGCAAAGAGCACCAAAAUGACAAACAACUACCUGGUGUUUGCUAUUAUUGCUUAAGAGACAAACUCUCAAGGCUCAAUAACAGACAAAUUCAUCAUGUACCUCAAUCUCCUCAAUCCUUCUCUUCAACCUCGGCAAUUUAUAUGUCUCAUGGUCAUAGCCGCCGUCACCGCCGCCAAACUUCUAGUGUGACAGAUUCUUUUUCUUCAAAUUUGGUUAAUUUCAAUUAUGGUUUAAAGAAGAGCAGUUCGAUUGCCUUUGAUUCAAGAAGCCAAAUCAGAGAUAGGGAAAUCAAUGGAGAUAUUCAGGAAAAUAAUAAGAAAAGAAGCUUUUGGUCAAAGCUACUCAAAUUGACAAGAAAGGACUCCAAAGAAGCUUUCACGCGUUCAAGGACAGCGAGGGGGAGAAUGGGUUGACUUUUUAUUACAAGUUUAACUUAGAUCACUUUUCUUUAAUCACGUAGCUACACAUAAUUAAAUUGUAAUGAUUUCACAUUAAUUAUUACGCUUAUGUUUAUAAUAAUUAUCAUUGUAUAGUUUUCAACCGUUGCCUGAGGUAUUGCAUCAUUGUUUCCGGACUUUCAAUAGUCUGUUUAAUAACUUUCUGAAAAAAAAUUAUCAGGUAGUAAACUCAUGAGCAUAACAUGAGAUCCACAAUAAGAAUUCAAUUUCGGGUUCUUUUUGAGAGGUAUGUUAAACGCUAUGUGGACAAAAAUUACAAAACAAAACAGAUCAGAGAGCAACAUUGCUGUCUUGUAAAAUUUGAAUUUGGAAGUGCUCCAUUGUUUUAGGAUUUUUACAUUACUUACUUUACUCUAUAAUAAAGCGAAUUACUCAUUGUGGAGAAAUAAAAUCUGAAUAUACUGUGUUUAUGUGAUUCGCUUGGAACGUAUAUUAACUCCUGUAUAGCAGACUAUCUUUCCUUCUUUACAUUGCUCUGAGCAUUAAACUACCAAAGAAAAAAAAAAGUUAAAAAGGAAAAGAGAAGAAAGCAUGCCAGAUUUCUCCACCACUGUACACGAUAGUAUGGAUAUAGCAUCAACAAUUCUUGGAACACUUGCAACUUCUUGCCCAAACUAUGGCAUCAUCGAGAAGAACCAUCAUUGUAAAAGGCUUGGUCCAUUGAAGGCUGUUUCAGUCUUAGAAAUAUAUCAUCAAGGGAUUCAGAUGAGGAAACAUGAGAGAUCAUAUCUUGUUGUGUUUGCCGUGUGGGUAAAAACCCUUUGGCCCCACCGAUGUCGGCCUUGAAACUCGUAAACCCUUUCUUUAAUGUUUGCCAUGUUGAACCCAAACCAUAAGUUCCAGAAGUAUUUCCAUAAUGAGUAUUGCCUUUAUCAAGCAAGGAAACCUUAGCAGAGUCUAAGUUUCUCUCUUCUGCCUUCAAUUUAGAUGCUUGUCCACUCUGCUGUCUGACACCAGCAUACUUCCUGCUGAUCGCUUCACUGCUUGAACUGUAUCUUCUUGUCUCUUCCUUCAAAGUUUUUGACAGACGCCCAUUAAUUUCUGCAUUAAUUAAAGUGGAAGUUCCUUUCAUUUCAACAUCAUUCUGCUCCUGAACAAUAUAAGUCAUAACAUGAGUGGAACUGUUUGAAAGAGCAAAGUAACAAACAUUAUAUCUUGCAUCUGUCAAAGUCACCAUGAUGUUAAGCUACACAUAUUGCAAGAAAUAUGAAAAUAAUGAGAAAUAAUUGCUUCCAUUUUUUCGGGGGUGGCAUGUCGUCAUACCAUAAUAUUGUUGUUUGAUUCAACGUCAAUACUAUUAAAAUUCCUUGCAAGUGGAACAACUUGCUCGCCUACUUUACGUCCUUGUUCAAGCCAAUACCGUUCUACAAGUUAUAUGAAUUCAAUCAUCAGCAAUGCUACCACAAAUUCAAUAUCCCACAAUACAUAAAGGUUUCCUAGUGUAGACACGAUUUGUCAUUUAACUUGAACUAGAGCUUUAACAGCUAAGAAGUUUUGGUAUGCAUACCUUUCUGCAAGAUAAUCAACCCUGAUGGAUUGAAGCCAUCCAUAUCUUCAGCUUCAGUUUUGAAAAUAUAUCUCCUCCAACCCCCCAGAAAAUCAAAUACUUUGUCAAAGAAGUUGCUUGCAACCAAGAGGGUGUAUAUAACCAUUAUUAGUGGAAAGAUUUUGUUAAAUUUAUCUCCAAAGAAAGGGACAGCAUUAUCAAUGUUCCCCAUUCGCUGCAAGCAAUUGCAAAAUGCACCAAGUUAGAAGAAAACAUAUUUGAAAUAUGGGCCAAUAAACUUCAUGGAGACAUAGUAGUACAUUCCAUCUUUUUCUACUUACAAUAUGUUUCCUUUAUAUUAUAUAUAUAUAUAUAUAUAGAGAGAGAGGGCAUAUCAAAUGAGAGGAGUUGUUAUAGUGAGAGAUGAGAGGAGUAAUUAACAACCAUCCGAUUAAAUCCAACGGCUAAGAUGCUUUCAACUUUAAAAUAUACUAAAACCAUAUGAUUAAUUUCCCCUUCUUCUUAAGCGUGGCUUCUCUUUCUUGUCCAGUUGCAAAACAAAAACUGCAUCUUUCCUUCUCCCUUCUUCUCAAACGUGACUUCCCCUUGUACCAUUUAUGCAGCUAUAUGAAUCGUUGUUUUUUUAGAGGAAUAAGAAUCGUUGUUGUUGUUGUCAAUCUCUUCCCAAACAAAAAUCAAAUUAAAGACAUAAACUUUUUUUAAAAAAAAUCAACACAAAGCUUAGAUAUUCAACAAUGGAGGCUUGCUAUUCAUGUUUUAAUUUCAAUCGAACUGUUCUCUUAUUUGAAAUAAAAUUAAAUACUCUCCUUCCAUAAUUUUUUUUUCUUUGUAAUUUCAUAAAUUAAUUUAAUUCCUUAAAAAGUAGGUUGAAAAAUUAGAAUCCAAAGGUAGAAUCAAAAAGUUUCCAAUCUGUAAAUCUGAAGAAGAAGAGGAGGAGGAAAUUUGUGGACAUCCAAGUAAUGGGUUUGAAGAGGAAAUUCAUAGGAACCAGCAAAAGAAUUCCAAACAGUACGAAGAAGAAAAAUAAGGGAAUUAAUCACAUGGUUUUAUUAUAUUUUAAAGCUGAAAGCAUCUUAACCGUUGGAUUUAAUCGGAUGGUUAUUAAUUACUCCUCUCAUCUCUCACUAUAACAACUCCUCUCACUUGAUAUGUCCUCUAUAUGAGGGCAUUUCAAAUGAGAGGGCUUUUUAAAUGAGAGGAUGAGAGGAGUUAAUAAGAACCAUUAGAUUAAAUAAAUGGCUCUGAUUAAAUGAUUCAUUAAAAGUUUACUCUGACUGUUUGCCUGCCUCGCUUUCACGCUGACUACUCAGUCUCCUUCCCCAUACCGGCGGCGCUCCGACUCAGCCUGACUCUCUCUACGGCAUCUCUUUAAAAUGUCAUAGUUACAUGUUUGGAAUUUAUUUUUUAUAAUAGAAUAAUUCUGAUCUGUUCAUAAUUUAGAAUAAAAGAAAGAAUAGAGGUUUCAUAAAAAAAAUGAACUGCGGUUGUUGAUCUGAAACAAUAAGGAUGAAAAACUUCAUUGUUUUUGUUUCACACCGAGAGAUCUCCCUUGAAAGAUUCAUGUCAACAUUAAAUUUCAUCAAAUAGAUAUAAUCAAUUAGAACAGUGUCAUGGUUGGAAGAAAAUAGCUUGAAAUGAUAUCUUUUGUGGUGCUAAAGUGAGCAGGAAGAAGUCAAUAGAAUGGAUUACCAAACUGAUUGAAGUGAGAAAGAGCGACGAAGUGAGAAGGCGCAGAAAGAAAAAGAAAAUCGCAACAGUAACAUGGGAGAGAGAGAAGAGGCAUGGAUGAAGGUGCUGAGAAAUAAUUAGGCUGCAAUUACUAAAAUUAGAUCUCAUGGUAAGGAUUGAUCCAAAGGCUAUGAUUUAACCCUCUCAUCUCAUUUUAAAACUCCUCUCACUUGAUACACCCUAUAUAUAUAUAUAUAUAUAUAUUUGUGUGUGUGAGGGAGGGAGAGAUGUAGGUGCCUAUGAAUGACUAUGUUAUCACUAAUUGAAAUGUUUUUUCAAUAUUUUAAUUCCUUUGGAGUUUGAUUAUUAGAUUUAAGCCUUACAUUAAUAUCAUAUGCAAAAGAGUUAGCAGGGGAAUAUUUACCUAGAAAGCAAUGGAUAAAACUAUGACAAAAUAAUUACCUGUUCAAAUAUAGUUGUUUUAUGAGACCCUAGGCGAAUGAGAUUGAGAAAGUUGUAUGAAACAGGGGGAGCAUAGCGAGCAAUCAUACUGGGAACAAAAUAGAAAAUAAAUUAUAUUUGCUAGAUAGCACCAGAAAAUUGAGAAACAUAAAUAACUAGCAGUGACAGUACACAGUAGUGAAUAUUUCUUACGAGCAUAUCAUAAGCAGGUUAACUGGGCUAGUCUGUCUGGGUGUCAAUGAGUAAAACAUCAGCCUUCCAAUUUUGAACAAGGAGAAGUAUGUGCAAAUGCACAUGUACAUGAGUGGAACAAAAGCAAAAGCCUAAGCAAGAAAUUGAAGAUAUGUGAUUCAGAAAAUGGCUUGUCUUCAUUAGUAUAAUACAGUAAACAUUUCAUUAAGGCAAAGAGACAUCGUGUGGUAUUCAAUGAGUAAUUUAAUUUAAUUGUAAGCACUGAAAGUGCAAAAAUGUUUUACACUGAUGUCCAGUCAAGCUUUACCAUUUAGAUAUGUUAAUAUUAUUUUUCAAAAUACCUACACAAAUAUCUAAAUGGUGAAAUGUGAUUGAAUGUAUGAGUGAAAUUAUUUUACAUUGUUAAAUUUUAAAUUCUGAAUAAUUUGCAUGCAUCGAUUUCAUGCAUAACCCAAUUCCAAAAGUGAAUUUACGUUCAAUACUUGUCUUAUGCAAGACAUGGUGUUGGUAAUACAAGAAAUCAGGUAGUGAAUUACAGCCUUACACCAAAAGGAUGCAAGUUUAUUUUAGCUAAGAAAAGAUAAGCAGAGAACAAUUCAUAUUUAAAACAAAAAAUAAAAUAAAGCACAGGUGCAAUUGACCAAUAAUAUGCACCCCAAAAAAGGCCAAGAUUCUCAAUUAUGAGGAAGUUCAUAUGAGACAAUGUCCGUUCAAUUUUAAAUUAUUGUAAGAUUUUCCAUAUUGUAGAACAAAAAAUAUUCAUUAAAAUCUUUUUUCCACAAUGUGAGAUGUUGUGUAUGUAUGUAUAAGUAUAUAUAAAUUGGUCUACCUGCACAAGCAUCUCCUGUGUUCCAACAGAUUUUAUAAGAAUUGAGAAAAGAGAUAGAUCAACACUAGGUAGAAGUGUUGCCUCUGCUAAAAGAAUUGCAACAGACAUGAUACCAAGUACAACAGCCAGCCCUUUUUCAACUUGUUUUCUCAAAAUACACCGCCAGAAAAAUUCUGCAAAGAACCACCAUUUAUUCAGAAACCUAAAUAAAAAAAAAGUUCCACUAUGUAUGGACACAAACACACAUGUAAUAUUUGCAUUAUUUCAUCAGGACAUGUAUGUUGAGAGGUCCCUCCAGAAUUGAUAAGACACCAUGAUGAAUGAAUCUUGAUAAUUCAAAUGCAUGGGAACUAACAAUGAAACAAAUGCAUUAUUUCACCAUUUGAAUGAAUCUUGAUAUUGCAAAUGUUACAUGUGUGUUUGUGUCCAAUUCCAGUUCUCUGUUGGGAACAACUAACAGAAGCAUCUUUACUAAGGUUAAAUCUUGCAAUACAAUUCCAAUUGCAGGAAAAAUAUUACGUGGAUUUAGGAACAAGUAGAUUAACAGAGAUUCUUAAAAUUACCUAAAGUGUCAAAUAAAGACCCUAACUUGCCAGUCCGAGCAGGUCUGAUGCUUGACAUAUAUUUCCUGAAAUAAUAACAAAAAUUUCAUGAAGUUAGCUGGAAAAACCUUUAAAUUUUUUUGAAGCAUAUUGAAAUGGGGCAAAAAACCCACAAAAAAAAUUAGAAGCAAACCAUCCAGUUGUGCGGCGACGUUCAUAAUUCUUUGUAGCGUCUUCCACUUCAAGGGCUUCUAGUACAUAAGUCAUGUACUCACUGCAAAAGCAACAAUAUAAGGAAAUACCAUGUAAGGGUUUGAAAAAUGCAAGAGCUACAACCAAAUAACCAUGUUUCCAUAUAUAGCCAGUUAAUAGUAUGGAAGGGUGGAACAUUGCAAAUGAGCAAAAGAAUUAAUAACUUAAAAUGACAGUUAACUAUUUUCUUACCUUUUAUAUCUGUAGUACUCCUCAGUAGCCCCCCGGAGAUGACGUCUUAAUGUUGCCAUUGACUUCUCAUCAGUAUCGUAAUCCAUAUCACUUCCCCCCAAUCGGCCACCUUGUGGUGUGAACGACGGAUCUUCCCUAAACUGGAAAGUAGAAUAUUAUCCUAACAAAGAACCAUGUUCUGCAAUCAGAAUCUUUAAGCAAAGAACGUGAGAUUUAUACCAUUUGAGUUAGCACGUCAUCAAUAACAUCCAUGUAAGGUCUCAGAGGAUCACGCCUAGACAUCUGAUUCGAAGUGGCUUGAGCAACCUACAAAAAUAAAUCACCACAGAACUUCAAGUUUUUGCCUUUUGUCGUGAGGGGGUAGGUUUAAGAAAGAAAAGAAAGCAGGGUUAGUCUAAAGUUCAACUAAACUGUAUUGAUCCAUUCCUAUCUUGCAUCAUCCCCCUACCCACAUUGUUAAUAGUAGUGUAUUAAGCAUGUACUAGUAUUUAGUGUGUCUUAGAAUUUGGACUUAGGAUCUAACUCGAUCCAACAAAACUAGGUAGUAAGAGAGGAAUGUCAUAGCUUCUAAGCACUAUAUAGGCCAUCUCUCUAGUUAAUAUGUAACUAUCAGCACACACCCAAUGCGCUCAGGGCUAGAAAUUUUAAGUUUGGACUAAAGUGUGUGGGAUAAUAGGGAUAUCAAUAGUGUGCAUGUCCUUUUCCCGACCACGUACUCCACUAAAAAUAUUGUAUAAAAACAGAUGUCCUGCAUCCUUAUUGGAUUAGUUUUCUUGAUUUUUUCCACAUUAGAACACUAGUUCUCUCUUUAUUCUUUUUCCACUUUACUUCUCUUGCAAAAAAUUUCUCUUUUCCAAACAAAAAAAGGAACGUACAGCAGCAGCAGCAUCUUGACCUUGGUCAUGAACCAAGUUAAGUCAGUGCUGCUGUGUCAGCCAAUUGAUUGCUCAGGAGACUGGCAUAGUCAUUGGUGAUAGUCUAGCAUCGAGACAGACUGGUGGGAUCUUAAAUUUGACAUAAAGAAGGCUAGGCUAAACAAAACAAACUACAUGUUAAGAAAACUAAAAUCACUACUACUCAAGAGCAUAGGACAUAAGAGUUCCCUAGGCAAGAUUUAGUUGACCUCCGAUGAACUGAGUAUAAGUUAGCUUGCAUGAGAUUGAAAAAAAAAAAAUCCUGUUUGCCUAUGCAGAUUGGGAAAACAUACAACAUAAAUUUUAUGGACAAAAUGUACGAACCACUUACAACAAUAGCAUUUGACAGUUCUUGAUGAGCAUCAUCAAGUUCAACAGCCAUUUUAGCAAUUUUGUGGGAAAGAACUUUUUGGCGGGUGGUCCAGUCAGCAUUUCUCCAAACAUUUUUGGGAAUUUCACUUAAACCAAAGCCAAGAAGAAAUGCGCCAGUAACUAGUCCGAAAGUAUUUGAGCAAGCCAUGGCUAAUCCCAAAAUACUUCCACUCCUGCUUAUAAAAGAAUCAGCUAACUGAAGUUAAAUUUAAAAAAAAAAAAAAAAAAAAAAAAAAAAAAAGAGGGGCAGGGGCUUCACUUGAAACCAAAACGCAUAUAUGCACACGUAGAAAUGCAAAAAGGGUUAUGCAAACUGCUGAUUUGUGAGUUAUAUGCAUUAUAUAGCUUUCCAAAAUGUGCUGAAAGCUGAAUCACUAUAUAUCUUAUUAUAAACGCAGUCUUGGAAAGACUCACAGAGACAAUGCAAUGAUAGCAUCUUGGAGUAAAUGCAAAUAUGUCAAAAACAAAAAAAAACUAUAAAUGUUGGAUAAAAUUAUGGCUUGCAAAUGUACGGCUUUCACAGAUAAAUUGUUAUUGCCCAUAAAAACUGGUUCACUCAAAUCCUCCUUACUCACAAAAAUUUUAAAAAAAUAGAAAGAUGUUUUUUGGGCACAAAUUUCUGGAAUACAUCAUUCAUGUCGAAGUCCAAACAUCGUUAAAAAAAGCAUCUAUCCUUAUGACUUAUAAAUAUUCAAGAAAAAAUUAGAUUAGUUGCUAUGUGUGGAGCAUUGAGGAAACAAUGAAACUCUUCGAGUGAAAAUAAGAAUAUUCAUUCAAAGAAAACUAAUUAGAAAACUCUAAGCAAAAAUACCAAAGGGACAAUUUCUUGCAAUAAAAAUCUGUAAUAUAGUUCAUAACAACAAAGGUUAGGAAGACGAGAACCAACCAGUGCCUGUGCAUCAUAAUGAGAAGAAUAAGUCCAAAAAAGCCAAUGGAUCCGACAAUUAGAUAGAAGACCAAGUUAACGUGUAUACUAGUCUUCAAUCUUUCCGAUACAGUAAAGUCACCAGCAUCUUCAAAACCCUGAAUAAGGGGCACGACAGCCCUGCUUAGGAUAACAUAAUUUAAUAAAUGAGCAAAUUUCCAUUUCUGAUGAGUAAAUUCCAUUUAUAUAUUUCCUUGAAACAUUUAGUUAGUACUAUUUUACACAAGAAUAUGAGAAGGCAAGCAACAUUAAAACAAAUUAGCAAAUAGCAUAAUAGCUCAUGCACAAAAUCAUCUAAGAUGUACAGCUAUGCAUAAUAAAUUGUGUUUUGUCAUUGAUUAUUAUUUACAGCAUGGCUUAAGCCUCGUAAACUUAUUGUCGAUUAUAUAUUAUCGAGAAGUUGAAUAUGAAAGAUAUCAACCGAAAGAAUAAAGGAAAACAAGCACAAUGAGUUAUGAGGUUAAAGUUGUUCGGAGCAAUGGCUUAGCUUAAUUACUAGGAGAAAGGGUGGAUGAGGAUUAAUUUAGAGUUGUUAGUGGUGGGAAAAUGAGCAGCAGCUAAAUUGUGAAAAGGGGGAACCCUGUAUUGAAGGGAUUGGAAGAAAAUUAUCUCGUUUUUCUGUUUGUCAUUCAUCCUACAAUCAAAUAAGUAUUCUAUCAUUUUCUCUUUUAUUUAUCUCUCAUAUCUCUUUCCCUUUGGGUCUGUAAUACAACCAAAAGAAAAUAAUCUGAAUUUCAUAAGAUGUGUAUUGAUAAAAAAUUAUAUAUAUUCUCAUUAAAUAGUUAUUUUAGCUUAAUCCAUUUAUGCAUCAUAUCCUGUACAUGAAUCAACCAAAGUAGAUAUUCCAUUUACUCGAACAACUAAUAUUUCCUUGCCAUGUUAAGAAAGAGCAAAGUACUACUGAAUUGAUAAACAGAAAGACCUCAAAAAAGCAUUGGUCAAUUAUCCAAUAUGUGGGGAUAAAUAUUGGCCUUUCUGAGUCACAAUUAUACAACUUAUUUGAACUAACACAAGAGAUUGUAUUGUAAAAGUGUUGCAGGCAUAAACAUAGAAAGUUUUAAAUGAAGCGUACCAAGUAAGCAAAAAUGUACUCCAAUAUGACCAGCUCCAGAAGAAAGAAAUUCCUCCAUUGUCCAGUUGGGAAGAUAUUGUCUGCAUGAGUUAAAGAAAGAAUAGCAUUAUAUGAAUGAAAUCGUUGCACGUAUAAUUCUUCAAUGAUCCAAAAUUCUCUACAUUGUUCCACUUUUUAAAGGAGGGGGGAUACCUAUGGAAGUGCCAAAUUGAAGGAAAUGGCAGGCUUAAAUACAAAGUCAAUCUUUGCGGUGCUAAAUUAAGUAAUUAUUCUUUCAAGUUUAAGGCAUGACAUCUAACUGUUCAUAAUUUUCUUUGUAUCGAAGACCUUUUGGAAGGUUAACAGGUUAAUACUCCCUCGUGAGGCUGCUUUUGGAGUUUGAGUUGAGACAAAUAACCAUCCCUUAUUAAUGAAUUGAGCAUUGAUUUGGAAGCUAUGGAAUCAACCUUUUGGUAUUUUUUAGGUGUAAAUAAUCUUAGAAUUGGAUCAUGCUCUCGUUCAUACAGAUAAAAAUAUUUAGAGAUUUUAAUCAAAUUAUUCCCGUUCAUCUUGUGUUUCUUACAAUUGAUAAGGACUUAUGUAUAAUCAACACUUCAAAUUGAAGGUGUGUCUGAUCCAACACUUGCUCUUACAUUCACUUACAUUUUCUUAAAUUAUAACUAAAUUAGUAUAAAUAUGUCCAUACGUUUUGUGAAAAGCAGCAUAUAAUGAAUUAUUUGAAUUUAUCUACUUAUGCAAAUAGUUAACAAUUUGAUUUGAUUUUAGUAUUGUUAUAAAAGUAACUUAAACAUAAUCUAUAAUUAAGUUAUUUAUACAAACACAGUUUUCAUAUUGAGGAUGAUUGCAAGGUAUACUAAAAUGGUGAAUUAAGUUGAAUUGAAGGGAAUGAGAGAUAGAAAAAGGAAUAGUACCACCCAGAUAUCAGCGGGGACGAGGAUGAUGAUGGAGAGGGAAACGAACCAAGUGUAUCCAACGGUGAAGAGAACGUAGAGUGGUACGGAAGGUCCAGCGAAGUACCGAAGCGUUAACAGAACCAUUCCCAUUGUGAGGGGAAGAGAUAUCAUGUAGAACACCCACAUCUUCGCUCUUCUCUCGAUUGAUCGAAUCACACAAGUCAGUCACACAAGUUCGUUCCAGCUGCACCGCCACGGCAUCGCCCCCAACCCCUCCUCUUCCCUAUGGGCUUCAUGCACAAAUUCUACGGCCCACUUUUCUUCUUUGUAUUCUUUUUUCAUAGCUUCUUUUCCCACCUCCCACUUUUCUUAAAAAUCACAUAAACCCAAUUUAUUUUUUUGAAGAGGUUUCUAAAAUAUGUAUUCAUUCUAAUUAUCUAAUAAUAUCCAAGACUCUUUAAGUGAAUCAUUCAAAUGAAGUGUAAAGAUAAAAUGCUAGUUAGAUGAUGUAUUCAGUCUUUUAUAUGUCUAGUUUUGGAAGUGAGGUGGCGUGUUGAGAAUUUUAUAUCAGAUGAAAUAAGAUCUCAAUAUAUUUAAGUAUAAGUUGGGGCAAUUUUGAUCUUACAAUUUGAUUUUAUAAGGUUGAGUUAAAGAGACUUAAAAUCUAAUAUAACAUGAAGAAAAAAAAAAUCAAUCGCAACAUUUCAAUAAAAAAAACUCAUGAUCAACACAACACUAUCACUCUUGCUCUCAACUUGACGUUGCACAAAAAUCACUACAUCGUUAUUAUUUACAUAUAGCACCAGCAUCUUCCUUAUUGCAAAUAAGCAGCAAUAGAUUCGGUGACUGCUCAAUAGAUUUAAGUAUUUCUAAAACAUCAGAAAUCAUCAAUCUAUUAAUCUUAAAAAUGUUUUACACCUUUAGCAAAUCAAUCAUAUGUAUGAUCUUAGAAGUAGUUUAAUUAAAGUCACAAAUUUUAAUAGUAUAACAAUUAUUAUUAUUUUUUACAAAGUAUAACAACAAUUAUUUAUUGAUUGACGAAAUAAAAUUAAAUACAACUCAUACAAAUCUUUCCCCUCCUCCCACGUGAACCAAAUGGACCCUUAGUUGGCGAGUAGAUUAUGGGAGUUUGAAGAUCAAACAUGCAAAGCACGCAUUUAUUCUGUGCAUUUCUAGAUUUAAGUAUACUCUUCUCCUUCAAUUCUCAUUAACAAUUUUGCUUUAAGCAUUUUCUACAAUUGUCACCUAAAUGAAUUAGGAAAAUAUUAACGAAUGUUCUUGAACAUUUUUUAAGACCUUUAAAUAGUACUUCAUUCGCUUUAAAAUAAGUAUCGUUUUAGAUGUUUACACACAUAUUAAGAAAUGCAAUGAUUAAAAUAAAGAGAAUGAUUAUUUUACAUAAUUAUUCUUAUUAACUAUUGGUUAGUUUUAAAAGUAAUACUUUGAAAAUAGUGUGCAGAGUAUUAAUUGGAGGGUACAAUUGAAAAGAAAAAGUUAUUAUUGUAUUGGAAACUGAAAGUGACAUUGAUUUUAAAACAAUUUUUUUUUGCUAAAGCGACACUCAUUUUGAAACGGAUGGAGUAAUUUUUUUGAAAUUUUUUAUAUUCAAUGCAUAAAAAAUUGAAAUAUUUAAUUUUUUUUAUAAAAUAAUAUAUUUUUUUUAAAAUCUUUAAAGAGUGUCUCAUAACACUCCUUAACGAGAGCUAUUGUAAGGCUCUGUUUGGUAAAAAUAGUUGAUAGCUUAUAAGCUAACUGAUAGCUUUUAGCUGAUAGUUGAUAGCUGAUAAGCUAACUGAAGUGUUUGAUAAAAUUAGCGGUUCAACUAGCUUAUAAACGUAAAAUGACAUAAAAGGGUAUUUUUAAUUCAUUAUAAAAUUUGUAUCAAUUGAUAUUUAAAAUUUCAUAGUUUAAAUAUAUUAAUCUAAUAUGUCUUUUAUAUGUUAUUUUUAAAUUCAUAAAUUAGCUAAUGUUUUAUUUAAAAUUGAUUUUAUUUCAGUUUUUAGACUUUAUAAAAAAAUUAAACAAAACCUUUAAAAAAAAAUUAAUUGUUACCCACUAAAACAAAAUGAAACGUAUUGACCCAAAAUCAAACAAAAUUUUGUUUUUAGACUUAAAAACAAAAUUAAACAUAACGUAAUAUGAUUUAUUUAGGCAAACGUAACAUAUAUUUUUUUAAGAAAAAAUGUAGUUUUUAUUUUUGUAAACAUGAGCAAAUAUUUUGUAAAAAUAAAUAAAAGCGUGAGCAUAUAUAUUUAGUUAAAGUGAAAUUUGGGAUUAAAAGUGCUAUAUUUUUCUUCAACGUAGUUAUUUAUUACAAAGGGUAGUUAUGAAUUUUUGUUAAAUUGAUAAGGGUAAAAAUGAGACAAAAAAAGAGAAGCUAUAAGCUAUAAGCUCAAACGCUACUUGGAAUAGCUUCUGAAAAAUAGCUUAUAAGCUCGUGAAAUAAGCUAUAAGUUCAUGAUCAAAAAGUGUUACCAAACAGAACUUUUUUUGUGAAACGAGCUUAUAAGCUAUAAGUUAAGAGCUAAAAGCUCUUUUUUUGAGUUUACCAAACAGACCCUAAGUCAAAUACAUGCUUUGGCUUGUAGCAUGAGAGAUUGAGACGACAUGUCCAUUGAAAACACACGACAUAUACUACUUUAUUAGUGAGUAGGGAAAACUUAUUCUACCUAAUAAAGCAAAAGAAAAUGACUUUCGUUGAAACUUCAAAACCCACGAUGGAAGAGACAGACCCAAUUGGACUUUUCAUUUUCAUCUCAUUCAAUCAAAAGAAAACUUAUUCAGUACAAAAAAAAACGAUUUAAUUUUUAUAUUUUACAUUUUUAAUAAUAAUGAUAAAAUGAUUCGUCAUGCAUGGACCCAGCGGCCAAGUUCAGACAAUAAACAUUCAUGAUUCAACCACUACAGAUUUCUUUGUAUGUAUAGCAACAACUUUGGUAGGUUACUGUUUAAUGGAAAUAACAGCUAAUUAUGUCUAACCAUAGUCCAUAAACCAUAAAUAAAACAAUAAAAAACAAGUUGUACAUGUGGACGAAACAGGUCUCAUUUUUUAUUUACCAGACAAGCCUGGAUUUGGCUAUCCCUUCAAAGUAAAGGCUACAUUUUUGGAGUUUCUAAAGAGUUAAAUAAUAAUAAUGUAGUAUCACUAUUUAUUAAAAUUUUAAUAUUAAAGUUAUUACACAGAUAUAAUAUAAAGUUAAAUUAUUCUUUGACCAGAAAUAAGUAAAAUAUUCUCAGUUUAACUUUUUCAACUAUCAAUUAUAACAGCAUACUUUUCCUUAAAAAAAAAUUAUAACAGCACACAUUAAAUACUUUAAGGGUCUUACUAAUAAGUGUCCUCAAAGUAUUGGUUAAAGAAUUUAUAAAUAGAAAUUUUAUUUUGAAAAUAUAAGAUUUUACUUUUGAUCAAGUAAUAAUCACACAAUUUUUUUAAUAAAAUGUUAGUAUUAAUUUUAGAUGUUUAAUCAAUGUCUUAGGGCACUGAUUAGUAUUCUCCAUACUUUACAUACUUAUAUUGUAACAAAUACAUUGAGGAUAUGUUUGGUUGCUAGAACAAAGUUUAAUUGAACAGAGAAAGAAGUGAGAGAAGAGAAAAAUAGAUAAAAUAAAAAAUAUUUGGUAGAUUUUUAUGUAGAAAAAAAAAGUGAAGUGAUAAAUGUCCGUUUAAUUUUUAAAAUGACGAAAAAACGUGUGUUUGAUCUAUUAAAAAACGAAGGUUUGGACAAAACAAAUCUUGCUUUACUGUAUUUCAUUUGUAAAAUUGUUUCAGAGACAAAACAAACUAGAAGUAAAUAAGAGAAAAAAACUGAAAGCCUUGUUCCUCACAACCAUUUUGUCAAAUAUUUAACCUUAUUCAUUGUUGUGUCACCGUUAAUGAAUAGGUAGUGAUAUUUGUACAUCCAAUUGAUGACAACUUUGAUGACAACCUUGUUUUUCUCUCUUCUUAUUGGUCAAAAACAAUGGAGAAAGAAAAAGGAAGAGAGAGAAUAAGAAUAUCAUGCGAGUAUGAGAGAGAAAGUUGUCUAAAAGUUGUCACAUAAUAGUUGUACAAAUAUCAUUUCUCUAGUGAAUAAUGUUAAAUAUCUUGUCAGCGCUAUUUUCAAAGUUUUUAGUAGAGUAUUUACAUUGAAGAUGGGGAUGUCAACGGUGGGGUUUAGCAUGGGAAAGGAGAAUUGUUUCCCACCAUAGGAAAGUCAAUUUUAACCAUUAGAUCUACAAUCUUAUCAUACACUCUCAACACUAUAUUUUUGUCACUAUCUUCCACUACCAUCUCUCUCCUUCAUCCCCACCAACCCACCACCAGCAACACCAUGAGAACUAUAGUUUUUACCAAUCAGAUUCAAAAUUUUAACAAUCAAUAUUCCAUGAACUUACUUUUUGCAAUUCAAAGUAAUCAAUCCUUGCAGGACACUAUAUAGGAACAAAUUGUUUGAUUUGAGCAAAAUAUAUUCUCAACCUCUGGCUGACGGAAGAGUUGGGUCUUGAAUAAUAGAAGGAACAUAUAAAAAUUCACACAGGUUAGCAUACAAAUUCACAGAGUGUUGUGACUAAUUUCUUUUGGAAGAAAAAAUGGAAAAAAAAUAUGUAUUCGUGCAGUCAGGUUAAGUUAGCUGCCUCAGCACUCAACAAAUACAAAUGGAGAGGUUAGAUUUGUGGUCUAAUAAUGGAAGGGAAGCUUAGAUUGCUCCAAAUCUGAUAUCCACUUCAUAUAUAAUAAUGAACAAUCAAAAUCAUGAGCAAUAUUUUGGAUUGGGAUUAAUACAUUGCAGCAAAGAAAAUAAAAUAAGGUUUGAUGAGUCGCUGGUUAGGGGUUUGUGGA
rnacentral:lncRNA from 1 species